AAAUCUUCUCCAAAUUGUCAAAGAGGAUGAAUCUCUAGAAUCCCAAGGUUGCUUACAAGAGAAAAGUCUCAGAAAAAUUGCAGAAAGAAAACGUGGAGAGAAAAAUAGGUUUCUCUGGGUUUUUAUACCCAAGUACAGAAAAAGGCAAAUAAACCCGGUUAAGGAAAACCGGUCUGGUCGUCGAAAAAGGGUGGAUCGAUCGAUCCCCACCUGGGAUCGAUCGAUCCCGAGCUCCUGGAAUGAACACGUCUGGACGGAUGAGGGUUGGAUCGAUCGAUCCCCUCCUGGGAUCGAUCGAUCUCGAGCUACUGGAACUUUUGGCUUCAUCGUCACAAUUGGGAUCGAUCGAUCCACGCCUUGGAUCGAUCGAUCCCCAGCUCCUGGUGAUCUCUUGUACCGUUUCUCCAUUGUUUUAGCUCCGAAUAGGCUCAAUCAUGCACAAGAUGCUCCGAAUCCAGCUCGAGCACCUAUAACCUGCAAAGGACUCAAGACACAACCGAAAAGACGCAAAAGACGGACUUUGACACGAUAGAUGACUCAAAACAUGGACUAAACCAAGACUCGAAACCGUUAAAAACGCAACACAUCACACCUGACGCUCUUCUUCUGUUGAGACACUUAAAUAAAUCUCCAAUCGUCCUCUCCAUUCGUUAAAGACUGGUUUCCUAGGGAAAAAUUCAAUCCGAUGAGUGUUGUCUAUGCACUUUUGCUACGGAGUCUGAGGAUCACAUCCUGCUCCUCUGUGAGCUUUUCUGAGGUGGGAAAUUUGAUUUUCUCUAGGCCUUAUCCUCAACAAAGGUUGUUAUACUCUUGGGCUGAGCUACUUUAUUGGACCCAACGCUCUUCCUCUCCUUACACUUUUAAAGAAUUGCCCUCUCAUCAAAGACUGGCUUCUUGGGAACAAAUUCAAUCUGAUGAGUGUUGUCUUUACACUUUUGCAACAGAGUCUCGGUAUCACCUCAUGCUCCUCUGUGAGCUCUUCCCAGGUGUGGAAUUUAGUUUUCUCUAGGCUUUGUUCUCGACAAAAGUUGUUUUGCUCUUAGGCUGAGUUACUUUCUUUGUCCUAACGCUCUUCCUCUCCAGAGUCACUUAAAUAAUUGCCCACUCGUCAAAGACUGGCUUCUUGAGGACAAAUUCAAUCUAAUGAGUGUCGUCUUUGCAUUUUUGUAACGAAGUCUCAUGAUCACCUUCUGCUCCUUUGUGAGCUCUUUCCAGGUGUGGAAUUUAGUUUUCUCUAGGAUUUUUCCGCAACAAAGGUUGUUUUGCUCUUGGAUUGAGCUAUUUUCUUGGACAUGACGCUCUUCCAGUCAUGUGCCUUCUUUGCUUAGAAAAGUAGCAUCUCAAGUGGUGGUCUAUAAGUUCUGGCGACAGCGUAAUAACAUUCUCCAUAACUCCUUGCGGCUUGCUGCUCAAAUCAUUUUCAAGAUGGUGGAAUGGAGCUACGAAACAUCAUCACUUCGAGAUGAACAAAGCUUAUGCUUAUUUGGAUUCGUUAUCUAUUUCCAAAUCUUUCUUUACUCUACUGUAGUCUUGUUUUUAUCUCUUUUUUUGCCAAGGUUGCUUUUGUGUAAUUAUUUAUCUUUUGUAAAGCCUCAAACUUCAUUUUAGAUCAUAUUUACAUGUUUAGGAAAAAACAAUUCGGAAAAAUGGUAACAAAAAAAAUAGAUAAGCUUAGUAACUAAUAAAAAUUUCUGUGAUCCUUAGCACAAAACAACUCCGCAUUCCUGCAACUUUCAGUACACAUAUUUUUUAGCAUCAUUCGGGUGCCAUUGCAAACAAUAGUAGCCAAAACCAUAAGAAACAAUAUCAUAGAAACGUGAUCGACUAAUAAAUAUUCAGAAAUUAUAUAUACAUGAAAAACAACAAUAUUCGAAUACAUCGAGUGACUUCUAUUCUAGUGAAUCUCAUGAUAAAUAUGGUGAUAUUAUCGCAUUGUUUACUCCGUUCUCUCAAAAAUUUACAACAGGAUCCACCAUGUAGUCGACAUUAUAGACGUAAAUUUAUUAUAAAAUUAAGUUUUUAGCAUACUACCCAAAUUAAACUAUAACAAAUCUAAUUUUGAUUAAAUUAAUAACUUACAAUUCAUCUUCUAAUUCCACAUAAACUUGAUCCCACACAUUAUUAUUGGUUUUCCGUCUUCAAUAUUGCUAACACUCACGACCCAACCAAUUAAAUAUAAUUAUUUAAAUUAAUAGAUCAAACCAUAACAAUGCAAAGAAUAAAAUAUCCAAACAAAAGAUAUUAUGGGACCAGGGAAAUAAACAUACUCAAAACUAAGUAUCAAUUUUCCUAAAAGAUGCGAAUGCGCAGUAAUCAAUCGCACCCAAGGAAGGUAUAUGUGAAACAAAGAUUGAUAAAUUCCAAUGAAUUUUAAAAUCAUAAAAAGUAGGACUAAGCGAACCGAUAACAUGAAUCAAAAUCUCUAAGUGUUAUCCAUCCAGGGCCUGCCCUGAGAUUUGAAGGGCCAAAUACUCAAAAAAAAAAUUUUGGUUAUUUUGAAAGGUUUUAAAAUUUAGGGCCAAUUAUAGUAAAAUAAAUAAAAUUAGGGCCGUUUCGUAAAUAAUUUUUGUUGAAGAAUGUCAGAAACAAAAUUUGGGCUACAGCAAAAGUUUCUUGUUGAUGUCUAUAGGGCCGGCCAUGUAUCCAUCGUCCUUGGAAAAACUUGAAUCCACGAUGACGAUAAUACUCUCUAUCAAUUAUAGUAUGUAUGUCGUGACCCUAACAAACAAAAUAAAAUUGUUAAAGGUAUAGUAAUCUUUCAGCAAACAAUUUAUUUUAUUAGAAAAACCAAAAAUCUGUAUAACCUUUGUAUCAGUAUAAGUUGGAACAUAUCGUCCAAUAUCGAAGAACACUUAAACCUAUUAAGUAUCUAUACUCAGAUACUCUGAUUUUACAAGGGAGCACUGAAGGGUGCAGAUAUGACACUCAUGCUACGAUAAAAUCUUUCAAAGCAUUUCUUGCUCAUCUUCGGGGUUUUGUCCCAUAUUACGAGCCUAGCUAAUCUAAUCAAAUAUACAUGAUGAGAAUAUGUCUUUAUCAAGUAAGUAGUGGAUUGAUUAGGGUUAAGUGGUAUACCAAACCUCCUUAAUUAAGACUCUUGGUCUCUUAGUCUCUGUUUCUAUACCCUCUGUAUUACCUCUUUGUAAAGGAAGAAUCUAGAUUGUUCAACUUCAUGACGUAUUAAUUAAAUUUUCCAACAUGCUAUUUUUACAUUUCACCGAAUCGUUUGCUUCCCGGAACAUUUUCCUUCAAACAUUGAGAAAAAAAAUCAUCAUUAUUUGAUGUUCUAAAACUGAACAACAGAGCAGUGCAGGUAUAUCAUGGAUAUUGAGGCUUAGAGUUGAUACAAAGUUGUUUCUGAAAGAUUUACCUUGCUUUAAUUACAGAAGCAUCAGUGUUGAUUUUAGUCUUUUCUCUCUGUCACAUUUUCCCUUAGCACUGUCUGUUUUCUAGAAGUAGCAGACACAAUCAAAGGUAUCUGUUUCCUUUGAGCGGCAGAGCAUAAUGAAAUAGAUCUUUCAAGACCGUUGAUCUUCUUCUUAGUAGGAUUAUUCAUGGCUCGGUUACUACAUAGACAGAUCUGUGAUGCUAAGUUUAACAUGUAAAAGGAGUUUUGGCUAUAUUCCCGAGGCAAAAAAAAAUACAAAAGGGUUAGCAUCGCUUGCAGUUACAUUCAGUGAAUCAUAAACUUAAAACGAACUCAACAACAAGAAAAGUAUACCAAGCAUGUGAUCAGCAACGUCUGUUGCAUCCUUUUAAACAAUCUUUCAGCAUUCGAGUGAGUUUGCUCUCCCGAUAUGGCACAUGGGAUUCAUUUCCGUUGAGAGCAUACAUGACAUUCUGUAAAGCAUAUAUCAAAGUAUUAACUCUGGCAAUCUCUAGAGGAGCUAGAGCACUGUUUUGUUUCCUGGAAUCUGAUACGAGUAGUUUAUAGAAAAGGGUAUUUCAUAGAUUAUCAAGACGAGAAUUACAAGGACUCGAGGAAUUUGACAAUGGAGCUCCUCCCACUCCCCCUAAGAUUUCUCCAAUUACUCGAUAAAAGACCCUCACAACUCUCUCAGACAUUAUAUAUAGACAUAGACCAAACAAGAAAAGCUAAACCAACUAUGGUUUACCCUCAUAAUAAACCUUGGUUAAAUUGAAACCUUAGUAAAUAGUAAUUAGUCUUUUAACUGCUUCUAUCAGAAUCCUUAUAUCCUAUAAGAGAAAGACAACACAAAUCACAUGCUGACAUAAGAUCAUCACAUAGAAAAGACAAUUAAAAUGUGAUAUUAAAAUACUCAACCUGCCAUAUCAAGAAAGUUCAUCCUCCCAAGGGAGCCUGGAUUGGCGUUGCCAGUGGUAACAUGUAUCAUCACACCUUUAUGGAAUUCUGAGAGUGACUUCACAGGUAUCUGAAAGCAGAAACAUUGAAAUAUUAAUGAUGGUAAUCUCCAAAAUACAUAUGACGUUCCAAGACUUAAUGAUCAAGAACAAUAAAUGACUUGCCUGAGGAAGUCCCUUUAGUUGAAUUUUCCCUUGUGCACCUUCCAGUACAGCAACCACUCGCUUCUCUUGGUCUAAAAGGUCAUACACGGUUUCUUGAGAAACCUCGUAAAUUGAUACAGAAACUGAUACAGCCAUGGAUAGCAUCUCAGACAUUGUAAGAACGGUUAAACCAAGCUCCCUAUCAUUUCCCUACAAACCAUACGAUACAAUAAUUAGCAUUUUUCAUCUAUAGUAUCAUGUCUGAUAAUCAAUACCUUAAUGGGAUUGCUUUCAAUACAUGUAUGAGAUGUGUUUUUCCGCAAUUUCUUGCUCCGUGGGCGAUGACAUUAGCAUCUUUACCCUCACAGACAGUAGAGAUAAGAGGCUUUAUCUCAUUUGAUAGAAUUGAACCUGUGAUUCUGUUUUUUUUUUGUAGCAAUAGUCCAAUUUAUAUGAAUCUUUCGAACUGCCACAACACAAUAGUUAAUAUGGCUUGAAACGUUGCUAAUCCACAACAGACUGUGAAAGAUUUAACUCAAAACUCAAAAGUAUAUUCUACUCAGUGAGAACAUUUUUGUAAAAUUAGAAAAUCGAUAAAUUAAAGAUAAAAGAUCAAUUGAAACAUCACCUGAAUCUUCUUCAUGCAUCGUGGUUGCUUUCAUUCAUCCAAAACAUACAAUCGUUUAAAAAAACAAACACUAUUAGAAUUUAUAGUAACGAAAAUAAUAUGUAUAGCCAAAAAAGAAGAAGAUGAGCAUACCAAGGCUCCUCGGAGGCAACGAUGGGUGUCUGAAAAUUUUAGCAGCGUUGUGCCUCUUGUUGGUUGGAAUUGGAACACCAGCUGGUGUAUAAGGAUCACACAUAACCUGCAUGUAUCAAUAAUCAAUAAUUUCAUGGAUCUGAUAUAGUUCCAAUUGAAUUUGGUACACUAAUCAGAUAAAACAAACCAACCAAGAUGUUGUUGCCUUUAUUGAAGUUUAAUAUAAUAAUUGAUGAUUAAGCGUUACAUAGAUGGAUAAAGACGUGACAAUAAAAAAAGAUAGAUAAAAACAAGCUUUACGUUUUUACACGCCUUGAUUCAAGGCAAGACACCGAAACACCCCGUGAAACGAACCAUGUUCAUACCUAAAUGAAAAAUCCACAAAGAGAUCAGUAUUUAAAAAAGAGAUAAAACUUCUGAUCGCAUCAAUACAAAGAAAUAAUAAUAAUUGAGACUCCUGGUGAAAGAUAAUCAGAGAGAAGCAAGAGAAAAAGAAGAGUUCCCAACGAUUAUAGUCUAUUAGGGUUGUUGAGAGGCCGUAAUUUGCAUCAUGAUGGAAGCAAUAAUCAAACUGAUAUCAAAUUAUGUAAAUACAAAAUCAAAGCUUCUUUUUUUUUUAGUGAAGAAUAUGGUAAAUACAAAAUCAAAGCUUCUUUUUUUUUUAGUGAAGAAUAUUAAAUCUAAGCUGCUCGCAAAAUAUUAUGGGAAAGCUUAUAGAUUUCUCAAUACAUCCAAGCAUAAUUUAAAUAUUAAACAUGAAAGUACUAAAGUGAAAAACUCACCAUAUGUUCGAUUGAAUCAGCAAUUUAAUUGUCCUGAAAUUGUUUAACGACGUUGUAUCCGUAACCUAUAACCAUACAUAAACACCAUGAAUUCAUAUGUGUAAAGCCAAAUAAAAUAAAAAAAAAAUAGAAAACAAAAAAAAUGGGGUUAGUUAUGAUUUGAAAGUGAAACCUAGAGAAGGUAUUUAUAUUAAACUGAAAGGCGGUGUACGAUCUUUAAUUUUUGAAGAUAAUUACAACAACAAGAAAGGAAGAUUUAAAUAUUGUGUUAGAUCAAAUCUUUAUCAAAACAAUUAAUAUUCCUAAAAACAAUUAAUAACUACUAUGGAUAUUAAUUAUAAAAAAAUAUUCCUUAUUUUAUUUGUUAAAAAAUGGAACAAUAACAUAAUGUUUUUUAGAUUUACAAUUAUAUUUGACAUUUUUUUAGAUACACCAUCAUUAUCGGUAUAAAAUAUUAAAGAAAGUUUCUUUUAUUUUAUCAGAUUUGUGAAUUUAAAGAAUAUAUGAUAGUUGUUUUGAUAUUAUCGGCAAUAUCUAUAUAUUUUAGAAAAGUAAAUUUUACUUUUAAAAACAAUUGGCUCGUAAUUAUCACAACAUAAAUUUAUCAUUAAUAUAUCAAAAAUAUAAUUAAACGAUUAAUUAUGAGACACAUCUUUUGUUGAAAAAAAAAAAGAACCAAAAAGGAAAAAAAAACAUGGAAAAGGAAGAGAAAAGAAGAAGACACGACCAAUCAUUUCUCCGACGUAAUUGUAUGUGACUCACGACCAUGAUUAGAUUGGUGGAGAUUAAUAUACCCGUCGAUUUUGUGCAUGCUCCAAAACGAAUAUCCUGAAAAUCUUUCCCACGAGACUCAUUAGUCUCUUUAUUAUCUAAGGUAAUUUAAAAGAAUAGUUUGUUUGAUUGGUUGCAAUUGUAGGAUGCAAGAUCAUAUCAAUAUGAUGGUUUAAAGACAAAGGAUGGCCAAUAUGAUGGUUUUCUAUGAUGAUUCAACAGAUCAAAAGGUGGUUUUCUAUCAUUAAAUUGCCAAAUUUCUGUUAUUGCUAUGAAUAUAUGUUUUAUGGUAGGAUAACAAGUUCUUGGUGGUCAUUGGAUGUUCUUGGUCGAACGAUAAACCGUCAUAAAAAGGUAUGUAAACUACAUUUGAUCCAAAUUUAUUUAUUUUUUUUUCAUUUUUUCGUGUUUAAGAAUAUUACUAUUUUUAAAAAUGUAAAAUAUAUCGAAUUUUUAUAUUUUAGGGUCAGUUAUUUUUUUAAUUUUAAUUAAUAUUCGAAUUAAUUUAAUAGAGGGUAUUUAAGUAAUUACGCAAAAUCAAGGGCUCAACAAGAGCCGAGAGUCCGACACGUCAGCAAAAACACUUCUCAAAUAUUGUUAUUUAUUUAUAGAUGUUAAACAAUACAGGAUAUUUUGGACUAUUCAACAUAUUUGCCUUUUUCCGGGCAGGAUAUAUAUCACAUAUUUUUCGGAAUGUAUAUAAAUUAGAGUAUCGAUAAUUGUGGGAUAUAUGUAAAUUUUGUUGCGAAUAUGUAAACAUUAUCGUAUAAAUGUAAAACUGCUAUAAUUUAAUAAAAUUACAGAGAAAGUUUUUUUAUUAACAAUAUAAACAUAACAUGUAUAUAACAAUUUGUGAUAGUAGAUAUUAUUUUUUCCGGGCAGUAUAUAUAUCACUUAUUUUUCGGAAAGUAUAUAAAUUAGAGUAUCGAUAAUUUGUGGGAUAUAUGUAAAUUUUGUAGCGAAUAUGUAAAUAUUAUCGUAUAAAAAUAAAAAUGCUAUAAUUUAAUAAAAUCACAGAGAAAGUUUUAUAUUAACAAUAUAAUCAUAAACUGUAUAUAACAAUUUGUGAUAGUAAAUAUUAUAAUCGAACCUAUAUUUUGUCUCGUUAGUCUAAAUUUCAGAAUACAUAAAAUAAUCAUUUAUACAAGCCUAAAAAUAAUUGUAAUACUUAGGGUAUGAAACUUUGUAUAAUGAUUCCAUAAGCUACGGAAAUCUGAAGUCGUGUAGCUUUUACACAGUUUACCAAUAGGCACAAACAGUCCAAUUGUUUUACUGAACUAAAUAAUCAAUGUUCAGAUAUAUCUUGAGGAUUCGAUGUAAUCUUUUAAUUUAUUAAUUUAUUAUUAAAUAUGAACACAUACUUGGCUCUUCGAUAUCCCUUAUAUAUUAAUAGGGAAGCAUUCUAAAAAAUAAACCUUACAUUCACGUGUUAUUAACCAAACUGCCAUGCUGACGUGUCGCUUUCAGAGUGACUUUCCACCUAUUUAAAUUCUUACCCAAAUUUUACUAGAUUAUUUACAGAUUUUGCCAUUAGUCUUAAUACAUACAUAUAUCACACAAAUAAAAAAUAAAAUUAUAAUUAAAAAGCAAAUAAUUAGGCAACUAAUCUUCAUAUUUAUAUUUAACAACAAAUCAUGAGAACUUUCUUUAUUUAUAUUAAUAACUUUUUUAAAUAAUUAAAAAAUACACUUUUGUUUAUCUUAUAUUAAUAAAUCUUUAUAUUUAUAUUUUUCUUUAUACACAUUUAUAUAAUCUUCUCUAGCCGAUGUAUAAACAAUCUUUAUAUGUUAUAUCUAUAUUUAAAUGAUAAAAUAUAUACAUUUGGUUAAAGAAUCUCAAUUCAAAACUACAAAAUCUCUACAUCUUUCAUAAAUUUUUAUAUCUAUUGUAGUUAAAUAAAUAAGAUAAUCUCUUUUCUAUAUAUAUUACGAAUACUUAAAAUCCAAUUUUUAUGAAGGGAUUCUAACUUUUCCAAGAAAAAUAUUAUGACCACAUUUAUAUAUAAACCAAAAUUUGGCCACAUUAUAACCAUUUCGUAAAUACUUCAUUCAUACUCUAAGAAUCUUAGAUUUGGAAUACAAAAUCUUAACUUGGAAAUGGAAACUAUCAAAUCUCAUAUUUGCCAAAUUUUUUGGAUUCCUUGUAUUUAAAUUUAAAAAAAAAUCUUUUUAUACUAUAAAUGGUAUAUUGCCAUAAAUGGUAAUAUUUUGUAAAUACUUUUUUUUAUCACGUUGAACCUUUAUUCCAAGUUCAAAUAUUUCACGGGUAAAACGUAUUUUUAUACGAAAUAGUCCCAAAUUUAAAUUAAAAAAAAAUUACAUGUUUCGUUUUACACAAACGGAUCUUGUAUGAUUGGAUUUCGGAUAAUAAUUUUAUUUGAAUCACUUUAUCCCGCAUAUAGUGCGGGUUGUUAUCUAGUAGACUUAUAAACCAGGCGCUGUAAGAAACGAUUAACUACAAGAUAUUUGUUCAACAGAACUUAAAAAAAAAUACAGAACAUGAUUUAAAGUAAAACAAUGUCAUUUGUCAAUAAAAACAUAACACAAUACCAUAAUAAUUUCAAACAAAAGUUACAUAAAUAAUUUGCACUGUCGAAAUAGGGCCAUUGGUGAAGAUCCUGACAUUUUUUGGACCGUCAAAACAAUGAUCAAUCUUCCACUAUCUCAAGUGGACGAUAAGAGGUAAUUCCGCACCGAACUGUCGAUAAUUUCGAUCAAAAUCCACAGCCUCUCUUUUCAUGGCCAAACCAUCUAACACACAAUUCCUUAACCAGAAAAAAUAAAGAACCCUAUCAAAAUAAUCCAAUAAUUAUUUAGGAAAAUAAAAAAAAAUCAAAGAUGAAGGCUAACAUUCUGUCUUUGAUUUUAAAAGAAAAAUCAUGAACCCAUGAAUAUCAAGGGUACUGUUUGCAACAUUUGGCAAAAAAAAAAAAAAAAAGAUUUAACUUUAGGACAACAUAAUCUUUAGAUUUUACCUGUUAAGACGGACGUAUGUGCGAAAUCAUAAAUAAUAGAAGAAAACGCAGUCGAACUCCAUGCACUGUGAACAUAGAAAGAUCUAUUGACAACGGUGUUUUUUUCAAAGUUUUUCUUGUAAGGGUGAGGAGUUGCCUUUUUUUUGUCAUUACAGGAAAUGUGGGUAUUAAUAGCGGCCGAAAAACGCAAUUAUUCAUCUACCAUAGCGUUUCCUUAAGCGCUCUGACAUCGCCCGAUAUAGAAAGUCGGACACUUUUGAUAGCGGUUUUGCGUUGUGCAAUAGUUAAGUAUACAACGAUAGCGUUUAAGACGCUGCUAUUAUUAAUAUUUAUAAUAACGUGUAAUAAUCGUUAUGAUUGGGUUGUACCUAUUUUCAUAAUUUGUUUUUUCUGUAAUAUUUAUAUUUGAUUAAUUAUUUCAGUAAUAUAUAUUUUUUACAAUAUUUUUAUUUUUGUUAAUUAUUUUAAUUGUAUUUAAAUCAAAAAUAAAAUAAAAAAUACAAUAUUUUAUUAUCAUUAUUACAUGAAAUAUAUACAAAAACCUUUUAUUAAAAUACUACAUCAAUAAAAAUAUACAAGAUCGAUAAAUCUCCUAUCUUCAUCUACCCCUAUGUCUCCUAUCUUCAUCUUCCUCCUCUGUCUCCUAUCUUUUAGAACCACAAUGAGCAAACAAAGAACUCAUAUACAAAAAGGAUCACUAAACUCAAAUCAAAGUCACAGACCAAAGGCAUAAGAAUCUAGUCGUAGAUUCAAUCUAUUAAUGCACGUUUGAGCUAAAGGCUUGAUGUAUUCUCGAAUGAAGUCUUGGAUCUGGACGGUUUCUCCGGUGAGUCCAGAUGCCUCAGCUACAGUGACUUUGUUGUAGCAAUGCGAGAAGGAGAACACUUCUCCUUCAAUUCCAAUGCUGAAGUCGUUCGCUAUAUCAGCUGUAGAUACCGCACUCCUAGAAGCCCUCAAUUUCUCACUGCAUAAACUCAUUUAACCAAUGAUGAUGAUUAGCUUUUAUCCAGCAAGAUUGGCUUAUAUAUAAUUUGCCAUGAAAAUUGAAAAUCUUACAUUUCUUUCUCCAUCUGCUUCCGAAUAAACUCCUUGGUGUGUGCAGUGAGUUUAUCUGUCUUGUUACAGCAAAGGAGGACUGAAAUCUUGUUCUUGACAACAUUCGCAUUGGUCAAAAUAUCAUAUAGGUACCUAUUGCCGGAAAAAACAUUUUUUUCAAGAGUGAGAUGCAAACAUGUCUUUUAUGUAUGUGUGUGUGGGAGAGAAAGAGAGGGUUUAAAAUUACUCUGAAGCUGCACGACAGUUUGGGAGGAACUCCAAGGCAUCCACUACAAACACAAUGGCAGCUGCUUGGGGCAAGAAUUCUUCAAGCUUGGGUCGAAGCCGAGAGUGCCCAGGAACAUCAACAAGAUGAACAUGAUUGAUUUUUCCUUUCUGUCGCAUAGAGAAAGCACAUGACGUGGUUUGGUAAUGUGUUAGUCCAUCCCAUCACAAUCAUCUGCACUUGUUGUUUAAGAUAAAACAAAGUAAGAAUCUUUACCUUAGUGUUUUCAGUGUGAAGAACGAAAGUGCCUUCAUUCGGUUCCAUUGAUGUUACAGUACCCUGGUGCGACGAUCCAUCUCGGAGCUGCCAAUCAAACAAUUAUCAUGUUAUAACUCCCCAACAAUUUGCUUAGGCUGAAACAAAAACCAAAUCAUAAGCAUCAAUAGCUAACUGCCGACAACCUCAGCCACAACGGACCUAACCCAACCACCGGAGAUUGUCCGGAUUUCGUUAAUCCCGACAAAUGCAGAUCUAAAACACCGGAUUUAACCACAUAAGCUUAACCGACGCAACCGGAGAAUUGAUUUCGCUGUCACCACCCUCAGCUGCGAGAUCUGCCGCUCAAUAUCCGUCACGGAGAUGACCGAACCCAUAAACCCAAAUACACGACUGAAAUCUGCCUUGAGCCUCCGUCCUCUAACAGCUCGGAAUCAAUAGAAGUAGCCACCUUCGCCUCGCGAGCCGGAAAAGAAAUUCGAAGAUGUCCUCACCGCCACCUUCUAUAUCCUCCAGGACCUCCACUGAUCGGAGAUGUGAACGGGAAGCCAACUGUUUGAUUUUCACAUAAGAGAAGGAUACGAAGAGUCAAGGCAAAAAGAAGAAUAAGUUUUAAUCAAAAGAAGGAGAAAAUCUUAACCGUUGGAUUUAAUUCAUCAAUUGUGGCGAAUAAGCCAAAGUUCAAUCUCAGAGGUUAAUGCUCAUUGGCUAAGAAAAAGAACGGCUCAGAUCAAAGUUAUCAAGACAGAUCAACGGUGUACAUUAAUCGCGUCAACAAUAAGAAUGGACGGCUGAGAUCAAAAUCGGCGCGAUCUAACGGUGUAUGAUUCGUCCCAUAAUCUGGGAGGUUACUUCUCAUUGGCUAGUAAUGAAAAAAUCAGAAAAUUAUCAUAUAAAAUAGUUUAUUAAUGAAAAAAAUAGAAAUUAUUUCUAUAAAAAUUCAAUAUAAGUAUUUCAAUUUUUAGAAUAUUUUUUCUUAUAAGUAUAAAAUUUUAAAUUUAAGAACAACUAAUAUAGGUUAGUAUUCCAACUAUCUAACUUAUAUGUCCAUAAACACUAAGGCAUAUUUUAGGGUUUAGGGUUUAAACUUUGGGGUUUAGAUUUUUUUACUCAAGUAUUAUUACUUUAAAAUAAUUUCAUUGCAUUUUAUUUUGUUAAUUUAUAAAAAGUGAGAUAUGUUUCAAGAUUGAACUUCCAACCCUAAACCCUAUACCCUAAAACUAAACCCUAAACCCUAUACCCUAAAACUAAACCCUAAACCCUAAACUAUUUUUAAAAAUGAAUUUUAUUUAUGUUAUUAUUUGUUAUAAUUAAUAUUAUUACUAUUUCAAACAAAUAAUCCAAAAUCCUAUACCCUAAACUCUUUAAAAUUAUAACUUUGUUAUUAUUUAUAUAAUUAUUAAUAUUAUAAUUAAAUAUUUGUGUCUUUUUGAGAUAUUUGGUUAUAUUUUUUUUCUUUCUUUUUCCUUUAUUUUUUUUUUACAAAAUUCGAAAAUCAUAACCAAAAUCUUAAAAUCCUAAAAAUCAUUUAACUUGAAACCUAAAGUACAUGCCAUAAAAUAAUUGAUUCAAUUUUUUUCCAGUUAAGAUGUUUUAAGUUUGUGUAUUUGUGUUUGCAUUCUCAGAUAUAUUUUUACCAAGAGAAAACAUAUGCCAUUAGUAACAUAAGAAAACAAAGUCAGAGAAGAUCAUUCCCCAUUUGGGUUUCCAUGUGAUAUGAGACAAUACUUCAACCUCUUGAAAACCAGUCCUGUAAGUAGCUUUAAUGGCUUCUAUAGCUCCUAAUGGAAGUCCAUCAAAGGACAUUGCUUCAGGUGGUGGAUUUGGUAACGAAACCACAAGCAACAAGAGGUUUGGAUUCUUCACUGUCACCUAUCAAACAAACUCAUAAAAUCAGAAAACUGAACAAGAGCAUAUGGAUCUUAUACAAAUCUUAAGAGUGAAAAAUUUCACCUGAACAUGGUAACAAACAUCAUCAAAUGCAAUCCACUGAUAAUUUAGCUCCACAGCUUUAUCAAGACUGAACAAAAAUAAUAAUGAAGACCUAAAACUCUACAAAAAGGAUUGAACUUUUCUUCCAUUCUACAAAAUCUACAGGAUGUGGUCGGAGUUAGCCUCAGGUGUGUCUUUUUCACUCGGCAGUACAACUUGCCAAAACAUGGCUAAAUACUAAUCCCAUUCCUCUACAAUCAUUGUUCCUUUGCUGCUUCCCGUAAAAACAUGAAAGUCUAUGUUAAUCGCACUAAUAAAAAAACAGUCCAAAACAAAAAAUGCAGACUUUGCCAAAGAGAAGAACCUAAGAACAUACUUAAAGUGCAUCUACGAUAUAAAGCUUCCUAUGAGAUCAAAACAAAGUAUCAGUAUUUAACCACCUUGCACAUAUGAAACAAGCGAGUAUCUUUUUCUCCUACCCAAAUAAGAAACUAAAUUAUCAUGAAAAAUCUGGUCAUAAAAUAACUUUGAUAUACCUCCUCAUGUUCAUCAUCAAACCAAAUAAAGGUUGUGAUGAGCGGGCAAUCACAUCUCCACUUCCUGCAAUAAAGAUAAAAAAAACAGCAACAUGUAAAUGUGGAAGCUAUACAAACGAAGUACAAAUGGAAGUACCACAACCGGUGUAUUUUUACCUGGAUGACACCACAAGAUCACAAGAAAGCGAUAUCUUGCCAAAACAUGUAACUCAGUUAUUCUCAUGAGCGUAACUCAGUUGCAAGAAGUCAAGAACAGUCACAUAGAGAUCAAUUAGAUAUCAAUUAUUUACCAAAACAUUAAAAUUGAUAUAUCAAAAUGAAACUCAUAAACCUUCAACAGAAGUUUCACCAAGCUCUUCCUGCAAAAGAAAAAAUUCAUCGAUGUAAAUUAAAACUUUACAUGAGACAAAUACCCAAAACCCAAACACAAUGUCACCGUAAAUGUCAAAUUCGACUUACACGGAUGAAGAUCGAUGAAAAGUGACAAUGAAGGAUUGAGACAGAGAUCGAAGUACUAGACUGAGAUUAAGAAAAAACAAUAGAGACUGAAUCGAACGAGAUGCUGAAUUGAACGAGAAAUUGAUACAGAUUGAGACUACACAUAAGAGGAUCGAGAUUGACAUUCAGAGAACGAGACGAAGAUAGAUUUGCUACGAUUGAAUAUGAACAUACCUGUUGGAGAUCGAGAGAUAUCGACUGAGAUUGAGUUGCAGAUUGGAGAAUUCGAGUGAAAUCAAGUGAGAUGUGUUGUUGACUGUGAGAAAUCGAGAGAAAUCGAGAGAGAAGAAGUUUAUUUUGCCUUAAGAAAAAAAUGAAAAAGUGAUGUUUCUUGUUUUAAUUUAUUUUGCCUUAGCCAAAAUUUCACAUUUUUCCCUCUUAACAGAUUCAAUAGCGGGAAUUAAACUUUAGUAACCCGAAAAUUGGCCGCGUCAAUUUCAGCAUGUCCCGCUUAAAUCAUCUAUAGCGUUUACAAUUCAAAAAACGCUAUCUUUAAAUCACGAUCAAGUCAAACAUAGCAGAGACAUAAAAACCGUUAUUUUUUAGUGCUAUCAAUACCCACAUUUCCUGUAGUGAGAGAAUGGUUCAUAAUAACAACAAAGUUCAUAAUUGUGUAGCACUGACUCUCUUUUAUGAAAUUAGAGUAAUGACAUGCGAGUUUCCAAUCCACGACGCCUCAAUCGUUACACCCUACGUGUUCAUCUAACCCGAUACGUAUGAACACGGCUGGAUUAUUAUCAUGCUUCAUAAAAGAAUUUAAAAUUAUAAGCAAUAAUCUGUCUGAAUAAUCACAAUCAUAAUCAUCAAUAAUAUAGAUGUAGAUAUUCGUACCAAAACUCACAAUAGACACACUGAUAAGCCAAUAUAGAUGUAAUCGUUUGGUAGAGAAUGGCUCCAUCGACGUGAUCUGCGAUCAAACAAAAGAAAAAAGCACCAUCAGUAAUCGGUAUAUGGAGAUAGCACAACGAACGAUAAUAAAUAACAUAAAUCUAAAUUUAAUAACACGUCAAAAACAUCAACAAGCAAAAAAAAAAGAAAAAGACGGGGGUUAGUUAUGUCAUAGAAGCGGACACAGGCAAUGUAUUUAUACUGGAUGGAGUUCGACUUAAACCUAGGGUUUUGCUCUGUCGGCGUAAGUAAUAAAAUCAGAGAUAAGCAAUGGAAAAUCAAUAAUAAUAAAAAUAAAUAAUUUGGAUAGUUAACUGUUUUUUUUUUUUUUUUUUUUUUUGACAUCUUUGGAUCGACAAGGCCCGAUCCAUAGCCAAUCCCUACUACGCGGGGUAACGCGACUUAGUGGAGUCGAACUCCGGUGGGGAAGGCGGAGUCAUGUAAUGGAUAGUUAACUGUUUAGAAUAUUAGUUUAAUAUAUACUCAAUAGAAUAAAGGAAUAUUAACAUUUAACGAUCCCGUUAUUAUCGUAUACAAACUCGAUAUUAUCUCACAUUAGUUAGUUUUUAAAAAGUAACAAUACUAUAACUCUCAUAUUUUUGGAAUAUAUUUUUAAUUUAUAUUUAUAAUAACAUAUAUAAUUAUUAUGGUUACCAUACGAUAUAUUUAUAUGAGCUUUAUAGUAAAUAAUAAAUAGGAUAUAAACUAAUUUUAUUCUAUUAGUAAGAUUUAACGAAUAAUAAUUAAUACCAACAAUCGUAUCGUAUCGUAUUGCUAAUAUUCGCCUAUGCAAACCCUAGCAACAUACAUUAUCUUUGAAAUUCAAGAUCAUCGACGAAAAUCUCUCUACGAUGGGUUCGGAAGAACAUAUCAGAAGAUCAUAGUAAAAUUAUGGGCUAGCGAGAUGGAAAAAAAAAAGAUAUCAAGUCUGCACUCGACACUACGUUGAUUUAAACAAAAGGUAGUAUUCAAACCCACUAAAUAUGAAUCUUUUGCCGUCGAAAGGUAUAUGUUUUAUUCUAGGUUAUCAAGCCAAGUAGAUGGUCACGAAGCUAACAUGCGAUGGUGGUAACAUGAUACAAAAAUUAAGAUCACAAACUGGUACGUAAACGAUAUGUAGAAAUUGUGGAUGUCGGAUUCACACACUCAAGUAUUUUUAUUAAUUAGGUCAGAUUACUCUUGAGGGACAAAAAAUGAAUAUGUAAAAAGCUUAUGAAUUGCUACCAAAACUGCUAUAGUAUUUCUUUUUCGAGAAAAGACCCCUUUACAUGGCCAUUGGCCUCCAUAUUUAUACAUAGAAAAACGACAUUUAAAUGGCUAAUUAAAUAUAAUUAUUCUCUCUUAAAUGCGUCCGUUUUGAUCUUUGAUUUUAAUGCUCAACGUUCGAAUUUGAGUUGACUCCGAUCUCCAUGGGCCUCGCCUUUUUGGCCCAAAAUGUCCUUGGACCGACUUAACUGCGACUUCGUCUUUGGACUCAUGUCGAGGUGUAAUCACUUCGGAUUCUCCUCGUGGUGAUAACCACUUCGGCUGUUUCUCCGACUCACGGAUCUAAUGGGCUUUGUUCUUCGUGGGCCAUUACCUUGAAUACGUGGCAAUCUUUGGUUGGUCCCGGACUACUGGUGCGGGAUCCGACACCAACAAUUAGCCCCCCAAGUCUUUCGAAGUGCUAUUCCAAUUCGGAGGACUUUAAUGCUUUAAUGACCAAAGAUUGCGUUUUGAGGAAUCUUCUGAUUUCCCACCAAGAUCCCGUCAGUCCUUUAAUCUCGGCGCUACCCAUAUUUGGCCGCGUGACAUCUGGCGCCAUUAUAACCGUAUAUUAAUUAUUUACUAUUAAAGCGAAAAAACCUCUCCACUUCCCCCGCGAUUCCCAAGGCGAUUUCAUCAUUAUCACCUAGCUUGCGUGAGGUAACUUCUUUCAUCAUCAUUUUUACUUUUACAUUUGCGCUUUAUUUGAAACUUCUCUCUUUUUUUCUUCGCCGAACCCUUCUUCGCCGGACCUUGAAUUUUUCAUUUUUCUCCGAUGACUUCUGAUUCCGAGAGACCCAAAUCCCCAUCCUUUGAAAGAGGCUCUAGUAACGACGAGUGCACCCGCCCGGGUGACAUCGCUGGUCCACAUUACAUGUCUACAUGUACUCUCCAAUCUCUUAAUCAAUUGAGAGAUCUCUGUCAGAUUCCUUCUGGAAUCAUGGCUGAAUCGAUGCUGCCCGGUCCUAUGGAAUCUCCGGAAAGCCAUCGUGACGACUAUUUCUGUGUUUACGAGGUCUAUUUCAAGGGUUGCGGGCUAACCUUUCCUCUUCCUGAGGCCUUAAUCCGAUACUUGGCAGCCCUUCGCACCAUCCUUGGGAUUAUAAGUGUAGCGGCGGAAGCCGGGUAUGUUAUCGGAGUCCCCGAAUUGAAUGAACUUCUUAGCGUAAGGAGUUCGUCGAAGAAGGCGGGAUAUUUCUCCGUGUACCCCAACGCCAACAGGAACAUUAUCUCGCAUCUUCCAAACAAGGAUGAAAAUUGCCAUCAUCCUUGGUUCUUAAUUAAGAAAACCCCCGCUUCGAUCGGAAAUCUUUCUGAUGUACUACCAUCGAAGUGGUCUGCGGAGCCUGGUAGAAAUUAGGUCGCAUUUGCCUUUUCUAGUUAUUUCACUCACUUUAUUAAUUAACUUGUUAUUUUACUUCGCAGCUUUCAUCGCUCCAUCUAUCCCGUCCGAGGAAUUCAUCGAGUUCUUCAAAAUAGUCCUCGAAGGGGAAACCCUUUGGAACUCUUUUACACUUGAACGAUUCCUAGAAGCUAACCACAGACUCAGGAUGAGUCCCCCAGGUCAGCUUCACCAACUUCCGCCUCCUCCCUCAAUUCAGGGGAUGUCAUCUUGGGCCCUUGCGGCCAAGCGCAAGGCGCUCUCCAAGCCGAUAGCUGAGGCUUGCGAGGAGAAAAAAGAAUUUCUUGCGGCUUCUAUAGAUAAGAAGGACUACAGUAGAACCUUGCUUGUUGACGAUGGCAGUGCCGAAGGGGCCAGAUCCGCUGCUGCUUUCAGACCGACACCUCGGCGCGAACGUCGUGGUGAGCGUUCUCCUCGGAAGGCCCGAUCUCCUCGUCGUGACUCUCCUCGUCCUUUCCGAGAUGACUUUAGCAAUGAACCGCUUAAGAACUUGGUUCGUAGGAAGAGAGAUAAAUCAUCUCGUAGUGAUUCUUUUCCGCGAAGGGAGAAGUCAAGGGCCCGGACUGACCGUUCACCUCGAUCAUCCCCUCCUACUGAACCAAUGGGUCCUCCUCGACCUGUUGAUAUGUCUUCCUCUUCUCAGCCUGACAGCGAGAAGACUGCCCGGAGUACAUCUCCUAAAAAGGGAGAUUCUGAGUCUCGAGAUGCUUCCUCGAAGUUGAAGCCUGUUCUUGUCCCCCAAGUCAAAUCGCUUUCAGGUUUGGUGAUUUAUAUUUACUUAAAAGUUUUUGUCUUUGUUUAGAUUCCAAUUUCUACAACUCUUCUUCCUUCGCAGCUAUGGAGAAAGAAGGCAGCGUCUUCCGAUGCUUCAAGACCCGAUCGGGUUCAAUCUUGCCAGAUUUCGACAAGUGGCGCCCUGCGAUUCGUGAACGCUACUUGCUUCACGCUCAUCAUACAUCUCGGGUUAGUUCCGCUUUAUUUUUCGGAUGGCGCUAUCAUUCUUCGAACUGACUCGUCAUCCCGGGUUUAUGUAUGAUGACAGGCUAACGGCGAACUUAACGACAUGAUUGAACAUUACGAAGGGUUGGUUAUUGGACGAGAGAAAGGCGAUCACCAAGUUGCGUGAUUCCGAGUUGGCAAGGUCGGCAUCGAAAGCCAGAAAGGAGGUUAAGGGACGCGGGAUGGAGUUGAUCCAAGGGGCCAUCUGCUUCAUUCAUACCGAGAAAGCUAGGUCAGAUUUGGAAUCAGACAUCAAGGAGCACGAGAGCAACCUGAUUCUGUUGGAUCAAAUCCAUGAUAUAGAUUUCUCCGAGGAGCAAGAGAGGACCGAACUGUCGGCUAAUCUAUCUGAAAAGCGGAGUCGCUUAGCAGCUCUUCCUACUUCGACCUUCAACCCUCACCACUUCGAGGAAUUCUUCACAGAAUCACCUCCCAUAAGUGAGUCGGGUCUAGACUGGGCAGGUAACUCUUGGUUCCUGACAUUUACUACAUUUUUCUUGCCUUAUAUUUUUAACUGACUAGAACUGUCCUUCCUAGGCUCAAGUGGGACGGAAGAUGUCGUCCCACCCGAAGUUCCUGCGGCACCGGAGGUCACCCCGGAGGAUGGUUGUACCGUGGAGGGCGGACCAGGAGCUCCAUCUGACCAAGCAUCAGUCGAGGAGGCGAAUGACGACUGCUGAGCCGGAGUCCGAGGUAGCUGUCGAUCCGUAGUGGCUGUGUCCACUUUAAACUGGGGAUUGUCCCAUUUGGUUUAAGACUUAAUUUCGAACUUGUUUUUGCCUAAGGAGGCUUUAGCAUUCCUUUUUUUUUUUAAACAAGAUAUUUGCCUGAGGAGGCCUUUAAACCUUUCUAGGUUAUGAUCCCAAGAGGGUUCGGUUAAAACUACGUGUGGGUUUGCAAAGUCCACUUUUAACCUUUUGUGGCCUUGUGGUUAUGCUUUCGAGAUUUUUAGGCUGAUCAGACCUUUCUCUUUAGAAUGCGAGAACUGAGCUCGGCUUAACGCGAGUUCCCCACUUCGGGUUUAGUUAACUCUUUAAAUUUGUUGGGCUUGGGCCUUAGAAACUUUUGUAAUUAAUGCGACGGUUGCUCUUUCCCUUCUUAUUUCUUGAAAGUAGGAAAAACGGCUCGUCUUUAAUGCAAUAACUGCCUUUUCUUGAUUUCCAAAAAUGGUUUAAACCAUUAGGGCACGCCAUCAUUAUUGAAUUUUCAUUCCCAAGACAAACUCUAACCCUAUUAUAAAUAAGAGCUUGUUUGCCUUUGAUCUUUCCUCAAGAAACUUCAUAACACCACAUUAAUGGAAAACGAAAACGUAGCCCCCAUUGAUCCUGGCAGCCCACUCUUCUUGUCCGGCGACGGCUUUGAACCGGCCGGCGUUCUUUUCCCUUACGCCGUCUUUCACUUUCCUUCAAAGGAGAAGAAAGAGGCUUGCGACUUUAUUGACAAGGUUAAUAUCUGUCGUCUUUGAUUAAAAACUUUUGUUUUAUCUUAUUCAUUCAUCUUUAUGCUAGGUCGCCGACAAACACCGUCGUUUGUGUGAAGAGAGACAGCGGCUAGGCCUCAAAAGGCAAACACUCGAGGCUCGCAUCGCUCGGGUGGAGAGGAAGAUACAGGCUUUGGAAAGUGAUCCCUUUCAAUGGGAAUGGCGGAACUUUGAUUCUGUCGCUGAGAUCCCGAAGAUGCUCCGGAUGUAUCUCCGCGCUAAAGGAGUUCCGGGUCCCGUGAACGCCCCGGUCUAUACCGUUCCAUCUGACAGCGAAGUAGAAGAAGCGGAGGAGGCCAGCACCUGUUGAAAACGCGUUCGUGAUUGUCCCGAAGUGGAUGCCAAGAACAAGGCGUCCACUUCGAAAGUUAAACCGGCAAUGAAGGAGCCUGUUCCUGAGCCUCUUCCUUAAAUGUUCCCUAACUCUGCUCCUAUUUUGAACUCGUAACUAGGAUCGGACCCGCGGUCCACCGCGGGAGAAUAUUGGUUUACAUAUGUUGCGUUUAAUAUUGUGUGUGUUUUUUAGUAGAACGAAUCGUGUAGUAUACUUAUAAAUAUUCAUAAUAACGAAUUGUAGAGAAAAUGUAAAAUUGUUUAUAAAUAUACCCAUCGUAAUAAUUAUGAUUUACAAAAUAGAAUUUUGUGGUUUAAAAUUCUAAAAUUAGACGAUUCAUGGGAAUUAGAGCAGUCAAAAUAGGUCAAAAACCGCGGGUCCAGCCCACAUCAUCUCACUAUAGGGCAGAUUUGGGAAAAUAUAUUAAACCCGCAAAUAAGCGGGCCACAUGGAUUAAUUCGCAGUGGGUCAUAGGUAUAAUCGGUUUUCAUCCGCGGGUUGGCGGAUCAGCCCGCAUAUUAGUAUUUAUUGAUAAAAUUAUAAUUUAUUCAACAUGUGGUAAUUUAAACAAACUUUUAAUAGUAUUUUGAUUUAAUUAUUUGUUUUAGUAGUAUUUUAAAUUUUGGUUACUUUAAAAUUAUUUAAACAAAUUAAAUCCAUGGACAAUCCCGCAAAUCCGCAUACAUUCGCGGGACGGGUUUGUAUUUCAUAUAUGCUACCCGCGGGUCGUGCGGACCGACUAACUACAAGUCAAAAUAUUUUUUGUCUAUCGCAAAACGGACUUAACGGGACGAAUCAACUCGCUUUGACAGUUCUAAUGGGAAUAUUAUUUAGUCAUACAACAAAAUGAAGUUUGGACAUAGUAAUAAUAGAAUAUGUAUCUUAUUUGUUAGAUGAGAGAUUGAAAGAUGAAGUAUAAUGAUUAAAAAUUAAUUAUUAUUUUUCAUGAUUCACAAAAUUUAAUAAAUACUUAUCAUCUUGUUGAAUAAUUCUAAAAUCAUAUUCAAGAAAUCUUUAUAAAUUGAAAAUUAAAAUUCUUUGGUAAGCUAUAGGUAUGAAAAUAUCAUAAUUUCGAUUUAAUCUAAUUAAAUUAAAAUUAGUUACAUGGAUUUCAUAUCUAUUUAAUUUACACGACCAAAAUAAAAAUAUCUAUUUAAUUUACACGACCAAAAUAAAAAUAUCAAUUUAAUUUAUAAAAUAUAUAGGUUAUUUGUGAUAAAUUUUCUAGAAAUCUUUAGAAGCAAGUAAAUAUCUUUCAAUUAAUGAUAAUUGGCUAAAAUAAUCGAAAUUAAUGACAAAAACGUUGAUUGUUAUGGAAUUAGUCCCAAAAAUAUAUGAACAAAUUUAUUAUACGUAAUUAAUGUAUAAUAUUGUUUGGAAUAUGCUUUUAUUAUUAGUUACCAUAAGUACAAUCAGAUUUUAUUUGAUUUCCAUAAAUAUUUGAUUUUAUUUCGAUUUUUCAUUAUUAAUUCGAAUUUAUAUUCCAAAAAAAUUUCAAAGAUCCGAUUUCAGAAUUUUGGGUCAAUUUUCUGAUUUUAACCCGACCCAUCUUCAUUUGUACUUCUCUUUUAAUAGUAUAGAGAUGGGCUUCGGCCCCUUUUUUUUUAUUUAUGGAAACAUUUGCAUUAUUCCUUAUUCUUCAAAAUAUUCUCAAAGAUACGUCUUUUAAUGCAGGGUCGAUUUAAGAGCAUAAAUCUUUCCGCGAAUCACUCCAUUCCUAGGAUAAAAUCCGCGGCUUACCAGGGACAUGACAUUCCUAUAAAUCGUAGUCUCAAUUUCCCUUUACUCCUCACCGCUCUUUUUCAUUUUACUAGGUAUGGAGUUCAACCUUCGAUGUUCAGAAUCUAUGCCCGACUUCUCCAGGAUCGGAAUGAUAAACGAAGACGUUCCAAAUGAGCCAAACAUGCAGCCUCUUCCACCUCGCGGUUUCUUCAGAUCUCAGAUCCGAGCCCUGUGCGCUUUGAUCAGGGAUCUCCCAAUAAGGGACCAAGGAACAGCGAUGGCAUUCAUAGAGGCACUUACGCUUCGACAUCGGAAGCUUACAUUGGAAAAGAGGAGACUUCGGAAGAGGAUUAACCGGAUGCAACGCAGGCUUACUACGGUAUCGAGAGAUCUUCACAUCCUUGGUUCUCACCCUGGAAAAUGGAUCGAGCUUGGAAUCUCUGACUUCGCUCGAAUUUCGGACUGCAUGAUGCCAAUCCUCGAUCUUGCUGGUCAAGGAGUUGAAGUGUUCUGCUCGUCAACAAGAUUUCCCUAAUCCGAAGUGUACGAUGAGGGACAUUCCGUUUUAAUUGUUUGAAUAAACGCUCUAUUUCCAAUCUCUUGUAUGUUUGCAUAGCCGAACGUUUAUUUGCUUCAUUUGUUUGCUCAGUCGAACCUUUUCCUUUAAUAAAGAAAUAAAACAAAUUUUUAUUAAUAGCUGAACUCGUUUCCGAGCUGCCUACGUACCUAUUUCGGGAUCAAGCCACACCGUAGUUCAUGUACAUAAAAAAUGCAUGUAGCUGUAAACAUAAAACUUCUUUAGCUUGAUCACAUUCCAAGGUCGCUUGACUGGAUUGUCUUCUAAGUCUUUCAACCUAUAAACACCGUUCCGAACCACUUCGGUAAUAAUGUAAGGUCCUUCCCAAUUAAUACCGAGUUUACCGGCACCUUCUUCUUUUUUGUUGUCAAAGACGCGCCUUAACACAUAAUCUCCUACGAAGAACGGCCUACUUUUAACUUUAGAAUUGUAAUAUCGGGCUGCUGCCUGCUGGUAGUUUUGAAUCCGAAUAAAAGCCUGAUCACGCCUUUCAUUUAUAUAGUGAAUCAUUAAGCAUUGCUGAAUUUUCCUCCUCAUUUAACAGUGCUUCUGUUCGGCGAAGUCCGGGCACGUUGAGUUCAGCUGGUACUACUGCCUCCAUGCCAUAAACCAAAGAGAAUGGAGUUUCUCCAGUAGGUCGCCUCGGGGUUGUACGAUAGGCCCAUAGGACGGGUUGGAGUUCUUCAUAACAUCCUCCUUUUAGAUGAUUUAAGUGUUUCUUGAGAUUACUCAAUAUUGUCUUGUUCGCGGCUUCAGCUUGACCGUUUCCUUGCGGAUAUCGUUGAGUAGAGUAACUGACUUUGAUUCCCCAGUCCGCACAAAAGGCAUCAAACUCUUGUGAAAUAAAUUGUGGCCCGUUAUCAGUGACUAUUUCGUACGGAACUCCAUGUCGACAUAUAAUAUUUUUCCAAAUGAAAGUCUUCACCGCCGAAUCCUUGAUGCCAACAUAUGCCUCAGCUUCAAUCCACUUCGAAAAGUAGUCCAUCAAGACCAAAAGGUAUUGUACACCUCGAGUUGACCUGUGCAAUGGUCCGAUGAUGUCCAUUGACCACCUCAUAAACGGGUAUGGGGCGGAGAUGGAAGAGAAUAACUCCGAAGGUUGAUGGAUCAAUGGUGCAUGGAGUUGGCAGCGCUUACAUCUUUGGGCGAAUUUAACACAAUCCGUGAUCAUAGUGGGCCAGUAGUAUCCCAUUCUUUUAACUUUAAAAGCCAUAGCUCUUCCUGAUGAAUGACUCCCGCAUAACCCUUCAUGCACUUCGCUCAUAACGAUUUCGACUUCGGGCCCAAAAAUGCAUAAUAGGUAAGGGUCACUGACACCUCGUCUAUAUAAUGCAUCCUUUGAUAGACAAAAUUUCGCGCUAACGAUUUUCAUUUUCCUGGCCUGCCACUUAUUCUUUGGGAGCUCGCCUGUCGUGAUGUAGUGCUUUAUUGGCUCCCUCCAGUCAGCCCCCCAGUCUUUAGCCGGAAUUUGGUCGACCUUGUUAAAUACUCGUGGCUCUGGUUCGGGAUGCUCGUUUGGUUCUAGAAUAUCCUCCUCGAUUAAUGGCUCGGUCUCUAAUAUUGUUUCUGGAAUCGCAUCUCCUGCUAAGACAAAGGGUUCCUUGUUAGAUGUGUUUGAUCCCUUUGACUUCCUCCGUUUGUUGGGUGGCGGUUCGAUCUCUGGUUCGCCACGGUCACGUGCCGCUGCUCGAGACCUUGUAACGACGAGGGUUUCUUUGUUGUCUUGAAUGCUUCGCUCCGAAAUGCAUUCCACUAGAAUAACUCUUUUCAACUCAGGAUCUGAUGUUGACGCCAAUGCGGCGAGUGCGUCCGCAGUUGUAUUCUCCCCCCGAGGUAUGCAGAUUAAUUUGAAUUUCGAGAAAUUUUUAGAUAGAUCCUUCACCACUUCGAGGUACGCUUCCAUUCUUGAGUCAUUGGCUUCAUAGUCUCCAUUAAACUGGUUAACUACUAAUUGCGAAUCACAAUAAGCCACUAUUUCCUUAGCUCCAACUCCUUGUGCCAAUCGAAGUCCGGCAAUCAGGGCUUCGUAUUCUGCCUCGUUGUUGGAGGCAUUGAAUAACAAUCGAAAUGACUGUUCUAGAAUUUCUGAUGUUGGAGACUCCAACUUGAUUCCCACUCCGGAUCCUUGUUUUGGUAAAGACCCAUCUACAUGUAAUUUCCAAGUUUGGUUCUCCGGUUGCUCUAUCGUUCCAGGUAUUGGUAGCUCGGUCAAGAAGUCUGCUAAAACAUGAGCCUCCAUACUGAUCCGGCUUUUGAAUUCUAUAUCGUACUCGCUUAAUUCCACCGCCCAUUUCGCCAAACGUCCGGACUGACUUGGACUAUGAAGUAUUGUUCGGAGUGGCUGGUUGGUUAAUACUUCAACCGGAUGGGAUUGAAAAUAUGGGCGCAGCUCCCGAGCCGAAGUCACCACCGCGAGUGCGAGUUUUUCCAUCAUUGUGUAUCUGGUUUCCGGAUCCGUCAUUGACUUACUUACGUAGUAAAUUGGCUUCUGUUCCCCGCGGUCUUCCCGAACCAAGACUCCACUAACCGCAUGGUUUGAAACCGACACGUACAAAUAAAGUUUUUCAUCCAUUUCUGGUUUGGACAGUAUAGGUGGAGUGGUUAAGUAUGCCUUAAGCUGCCCAAAAGCUUCUUCACACUUCUCAUCCCAAAGGAAUCCUUUGUUUCCUUUUAGAAUUUGGUAGAAAGGUAACGACUUAUCUGUUGAUCUCGAGAUAAAACGAUUCAAAGCCGCAAUCCGCCCAGUUAACAGUUGUACUUCCUUGAAGUUUCUUGGAGAUGGCAUGUUUAGAAAGGCGUUAAUUUGAUUUGGAUUGGCUUCAAUCCCUCUUUCUGUCACAAUAUAGCCAAGAAAUUCUCCGGAUGGGACUCCGAAUGUGCACUUCACCGGGUUCAGCUUCAUUUGAUAUUUAUUGAGAAUAUCAAAACAUUCCUCUAAAUGCUUAACGUGAUCUUCUUUCUUUAACGAUUUAACCAACAUAUCAUCUAUGUAGACUUCCAUUGUUCUUCCGAGAUGAUGGUGAAACAUUUUGUUAACCAACCGUUGAUAAGUUGCCCCUGCAUUUUUCAAACCGAAAGGCAUUACCUUAUAACAAUAGAUACCUCUAUCAGUGAUAAAUGACGUUUUUUCUUGGUCUUCGGGGUUCAUCAUUAUUUGAUUAUAACCCGAGAAGGCGUCCAUGAAUGUUAACAGCUCAUUCCCAGCGGUGGAUUCUACAAGUCGAUCUAUAUGCGGGAGUGAGAAACUGUCUUUGGGACAUGCUUUAUUGAGGUCUGUGAAGUCGAUGCAAACCCUAUCUUUCCCAUUCUUCUUCUUGACAACGACAGUGUUUGCUACCCACUCCGGGUAUUGCACUUCCUUAUGGACCCUAUCUUCAAAAGUUUAUCUACUUCAUCAUUUACUAUUUUCGCUCGCUCCACUCCAAGCUUUCUUCUUUUUUGUUUUACCGGCUUGAAGCUUGGAUCCACGUUUAGUUCAUGACAAAUUAUGCUUGGAUCUAUGCCAGGCAUAUCCGCCGCUGACCAUGCGAAUGAUGUUAUGUUUUUUCUCAAGAGUUCGAUCAAAGCUUCUUUUAUUUGGCCAGUCAAAGUUGCCCCAAUUCAAAUUUUCCGGUCCGGUUUGUCUUCUUCCAACACCACUUCGAUUACUACAUCAUCUUUUUUCUGCCUGCUAGGAAAUUUUGUUCUUAGUCCCUCUUUUGCGGGCUUCGUUAAUUGCUAUUGAAUCUUCAUACAGUGGCUAGCUAGAUAACACGUCCGUGAAGCUUCUUGAUCUCCCCGAAUUGUUUCCACUCCUCUUGAUGUUGGAAAUUUGAUACAUUGAUGAUAUGUAGAGAGGACUGCUUUCAUUUGAUAAAUCCAGGGAGUCCCGAGGAUGAUGUUGUAAGCCGCGGGAUUAUCGAAGACAACGAAAUCCACGAUCUUUGACACCCGUUUAGCAAGGACUGGUAGUUUGAUUGUUCCGAGGGACAUGGCUGAUUCACUUGUGAAUGCCACUAAUGGAGAUGGAGGCCCUAUAAUGUCUGCCCGACUAAUUCCCAUUCUUUCCAAAGUACUUAAAAAGAUUAGAUCGACCGAACUACCCGUAUCGAUAAGAAUCCUUGAUACUUCGAAGUUGGCAACGUCCAGGGUAAUGACUAAUGCAUCAUCAUGAGAUCUCUCGAGGUGCCGCGUUUCUUCUUCGUUAAAUGAUAUUGAUGCACCUUGAGAAUCGACUUCUUCACUCAAACUUGCUUUGAGUAAAACAUUUCGCCUAUGUUUUUUGAUGGAACUUAUCGAAUCUUGGCAAAAUUUAGAACCUCCUAGAAUCAAAUUGAUCUUACCCUUCGAACAUCUUGGCUCUUCCUCAUUGGAUAACUUUGGUCUUUUAGAAUUUUGAUCUUUGGAGUUAUCCUUUGAUUUGUGGUAUUCCUUUACGAAAUCUUUUAUAUCGAAUUUGGAAAGAUCUCCAUUGGCCCAAAGCUCCGCGAGAUGCCUCUUAAGGACACUACAAUCCUUGGUUAAAUGUCCGGUUACGUUAUGAAUAUCGCAAUAUAAACUUUCAUCACGGACCCAAGUGUUCGACCUUCCUUUUCCUUGGAAUUGCUUUCCGACGGUACUGUUGAAGAGUUGCGACCCAAAUUUUCUUGGUCCUUUGUUCUCCUUAGGCUCAAACUUCUUGGUAGGGACGGUGAUUGCCGGCUUUUCUUGCUUAUUUCUUUUGGCGAAAUUUUCUUUUUCGUCCUCUACUUCCAUCCAGUUGUUUGCACGGAAGAGUGCAUCCUGAAUCGUGUCUGGUUUAUGAAGUAUUAAAUCUUCUUUAAACCUUGAAUCAUGUCGCAAUCCUUUUCGUAGGGCAGAUAAAGCUGAUUGCUGCGAGAUUCUUGGGAGCUUUGACAGCACUCCUUUGAAUUUGGUGAUAAAAACUCGAAGUGACUCAUUUGAUCCUUGUGAUAGGUUCCAAAGAUCGGCAUCUGAAACGCUUUUAUCCAUAAGGAUGGAAUAUUGCUUUAAGAACACAGCUGAUAGCUCGUCGAAAUUGCUGAUCGAACCCGGCUCUAAUUGGGUGAACCACAUUAAAGCUUGGCCGCAUAGAUUUUCCGAAAAGAGCUUGCAGUAACCUGCGUCCUCAUCAGCUUCAUCCAAUUCGACUCUUCCAGCAGCGAUCAGAAAAGCUGCGAGAUAGCUCUUUGGAUCCUCCAAUCCGCUGUAAGGGUCCAACUUGAGCUUCCGGGAAUCUUUGAUUCUCAAACUUGUAAUUCGCGAGAUGAAAGGUGUUCGCCUAGCUUCUUCAAUGACUCGAUUGAUGUCUGGCUCCGAACUUGUAGCUUGAUGAAAUUUUGAUUUCAUUUCUUUUAAUUCCUGGCUAACCUUCCUCGUGGUCUCGAAUUGGUCGAGGUUCUCCUGCUCGUAUUGAGCUGCAAGUUGUUCUUCAUCUUCGAGCUGUGUCUCUCCUUCCAACGGAUGUACUGCCGUAUUAGUAGCACCAUGAGUUGUUUGUCCGCUGGUUUCAUUUCGCGCGACGGAACUUGGCGAGUUGAAUAUCCUUCUUCGGAUUACCACAGGGUUUCCUGCACUUAAAGAGCGAACACGAGUUUGUAUAGUACUGACGUUUUGACUAAGAGAUACUUGGGAUGUUUGUAACGUGUCGACAGCCUUUUCCACAUUGGAGAACUUCUGCGACAUUUCCGACAUAGUUUGUUGCAUGGCUUUGAGGGUUUCGGCCAAUGAUAGCUCAACUGCGUCUCCUCCGGACAUUGCUGCUUAUCUCGGAAAUGUAGUAAAGAAAAAUCUGACCACUCAAGAAUCUCUAUCCCCACAGACGGCGCCAAAAUAUGGAUGUCGGAUUCACACACUCAAGUAUUUUUAUUAAUUAGGGAAGAUUACUCUUGAGGGACAAAAAAUGAAUAUGUAAAAAGCUUAUGAAUUGCUACCAAAACUGCUAUAGUAUUUCUUUUUCGAGAGAAGACCCCUUUACAUGGCCAUUGGCCUCCAUAUUUAUACAUAGAAAAACGACAUUUAAAUGGCUAAUUAAAUACAAUUAUUCUCUCUUAAAUGCGUCCGUUUUGAUCUUUGAUUUUAAUGCUCAACGUUCGAAUUUGAGUUGACUCCGAUCUCCAUGGGCCUCGCCUUUUUGGCCCAAAAUGUCCUUGGACCGACUUAACUACGACUUCGUCUUUGGACUCAUGUCGAGGUGUAAUCACUUCGGAUUCUCCUCGUGGUGAUAACCACUUCGGCUGUUUCUCCGACUCACGGAUCUAAUGGGCUUUGUUCUUCGUGGGCUGUUACCUUGAAUACGUGGCAAUCUUUGGUUGGUCCCGGACUACUGGUGCGGGAUCCGACACCAACAGAAAUGUCUAGAGAUUUAUUUGAUGUUAGGGUAUCAGGUUCUUCAAGUAACCGGAUGUUCUUGGUGGGAUGAUAAACCGGCAUAAAAAGGUACGUUAUUUGCAUUCGAUCCUAUUUUUUUUUUUUUGUAUUAUGUGGUGUUUAUAAAUAUGGAUAAAACCAAUUAAUAAUUUUGCCUAUUAAUAUAUAUAUAUAUAUAUAUAUAUAUAUAUAUAUAUGUAUCGAAUACCGAAUAUCGAAUAUUUAUAUUUUUAUUUUAGGGUAGAUAUGUAUUUUAACCUUAACUAAUUAAUAUUCGAAUUAAAUAAAGGGUAUUUAAGUAAUCACACAAAUUCAAGGGCUCAACUAGGCCUGGGCAUAUGGGUAACCCGUUUGGGUUCGGGUAAAACCCGUUCGGGUUCGGGUUGAAUGGGUAAUGAAUUUAUGGUCCAUUCGGGUAUUCCUAUGGUUUCGGUUCCGGUCCGGUUCGGGUAUUGUCGGGUUCGGGUCGGUUUGGGUAAUACCCGAAGUUUAAAAUCACUUUACAUACUCAAAUGAUCAAAUAAAGAGAAUAGAACAUCAAACAUGACAUUUAAAUACUAAAAUCCAAUCCAAAAUAACAAAGAUGACUAUUUCACUCUUAAGUGUUAAGAGUAGAUUUUAGUUAUCUAUAUACAUAUAUAAACAUAUGUGUAUUGCAUAUAUAUAAGUAUAUAUAUAAGUAUAUAACUAUAUAAGACUAUAUAUCUAAUUAUCUACUGAAAAUAUUUAUACUAAAUUUUAACCCGUGGAUGAUUUAUUUUUUAAAGUUACUAUAUAUAAAAUUUUGCAAAUUGUAUCUCCUUAUAAAAUAUUUAUAUAUUACAAUUGUUAUUAAGUGACAAUAUACCACGAGUCCACAGGAUAAUUGUUAAUAAACUGAGGAUUUAACCUAGGCAUGGGCGUUCGGAUAUUCGGGUCGGGUUCGGAUCGGGUUUUUCGGGUUCGGGUUUUUCGGAUUUAGAAAACUAAGACCCGUUCGGGUAUUUUAAAACUUCGGGUUCGGGUCGGGUUCGGAUCGGGUAUUUCGGGUUCGGAUUCGGGUUUACCCGAAGUAUCCAAAUAUUAGAAAUUUUGUAUCCGAUUCUAUGCAAAGUAUUGAAAAUACUCAAAAAAAUCUAUAAAACCCAGUAUUUUAACCCAUAUCUAACCCAAAGUAGCUAAAACACCCGAAAAUAUCUUAACAUCCGAAUAAUUUAGGCACUUAGGUUAUUACAAGUAUAAAUAUUACUAAUAUAUUAUAACUAUGUACUUAUAUUUUGGAUAUGUUCGGGUACUUGUUCGGGUUCGAGUUCGGAUCGGGUUCGGAUUCGGGUUUUCGUGUUGUGAAGUUUAGAACCCGUUCGGGUAUUUUAAAACUUCGGAUUCGGAUUCGGGUUGGAUUUUUCGGAUCGGGUUCGGUUCGGUUCUUCGGGUUCGGGUAUUAUGCCCAGGCCUAAUUUAACCCGUAUUAAGCGGAAUGUUAAUGAUAUUUUAAAUUUUUAUAAAUAUUGAUUCAAACCCGUCCACCAUAUAAACUCGUUCUGAAAUAUAACCCGUCCGUAAUUUCUUAACUCGUCCCGUGAUUUGUUUUCUAAAAGUAGUGAUUUUAAAAUUUAAUGAUUAUUUAUUAUAUAUAAAAGUUUACAAAUUGUGUCAUUCUCUAAGAUAUUUAUAUUUUAAUAAACUGAGGAUUUAAUCUGUAUUAAAGCGGCAUGUUAAUGAUAUUUUAAAAUUUUAUAAAUAUUGAUUCAAACUCAUCCACCAUAUAACUUCAUUCCGAAAAUAACAUGUCCUAUAAUUUCUUAACCCGUCCCGUGAUUUGUUUUCUAAAAAUAGUAAUUUUAAAAAUUUAACGACUAUUUAUUAUAGAUAAAAGUUUGCAAAUUUGUAUCAUUCUCUAAGACAUUUAUAUUUUAUAGUUUCCAAUUGUUAUUAAUGAACAUUAUACCAUGGGACAAUUUUUGGUUUUAUACAAUCUUUUCAAAAUGAGACUGAUUUGAUAUGUCUAAUAUUGGUGGUAUUAAAAAAAAUUAAGAAUUUAAUCCAUAUUGAAACGGCGGAUUAAUAAUAUUUUAAUUUUUUUUAUUAUUGUUGAUUCAAAAACUGUUCCGCCAAACCCGUCUAGCCAAAAUACCCAUUUAUUUUAUUAAUAUUGAUAUUAUUUAUGAUAUGAUAAUGAUUCAUUGUCUAAAUAUUUUAGUCGAUGUGGAACGUUGACUACACAUUUUUCGUCAAUUGGAUAAUAUAUGUCCGUUUUUGAAAUUUCGAAUCACAAUAUAUGUAAAAAAAUUGAUUUUUUUUUUCCUUUAUGUAUUAUAUGAUGAUUCAAAACAGUGAAAAACAAUUCAAACAAAGAUGAUAGGAGAAUCAUAAUUCUAAAAUCUUACUCAAAUCUUCUAAAUAUCUAAAUUAUUAAAUAUAAAAUAUCCGGUGUAUGAGUUGGGUUAAAUAUAACCCGAUCCAACAAUAUUUUUUAUGACCAAAAUUUGUAAACGGGUCGGAUACCCAUUGUAUCUAAAUGCAUUUUUCCCCAUCCGCUAAAAAUGUACUUCAAAAAUACUAGUAUAGAUACGAUAAAAUUUUAUUAUACAAUACAUAGAAGUUUAAAAUAUAUAGUUUAACUACUGAAAACAAUUAUUAUACUAUCCAGAGAUAUGAGAAAGAGCGAAGAUAGAAUUUUCAAGGAAACUUAUCAAAUAAACUUUACCCACUGCAUAAAACAAAAGCCCAUAUGAGAAAGGGCGAAUAUAGAAUUUACUCAUUUCUAAGAAAAGAUUUGGGCAAAAGAUGAAAGAAAAGAUCUACAUUACUUAUUAAAUAUAUUUAAGUUUUGCAUAGAAACCUACAAAACAUCUAAUAAAAUGAAACAAACAAAAAAACUAAAAAACUUAUAUAUUGGGACAUAGGGAGUAUUGUUUAAAUUUGGCCAAAAAAAGGAGUAUUGUUUAAAUAUUAUCUUAACACAUUUAAACAAUAGUUGUUUAGAUUGUUUUAACCAUGAUACUAAAAACACCUAUAUAAUCUAUGUUUUUUAAUCGUGAUAAUAUUUUUAAAUUGGAUCAUGUAAUAAGUAUUUAUUUGAUACUAUAUAAAAAUAUGAUGUUUAUUUAAAAUUAUUUGAAUAUUAAUAUACUUUGAGAAAGUCUUAUGAUAAUAUUUCUCAUGUCGUAACUAAGAUUACUAUUUUUAAUUUUUCAUUUCAUAUAAAAUAAUUUAAAAAUUCAAAUUAUAAGAAAUUGACAUGACAUAAAGGUGAAUAAAUUUUAUAGAAACGUUUAAUUUGCAUGCUAUUGUAAAAUAUACAUAUUUAUUUAUGAAAAUAACAUUAUACUAGUCCUCUCUGUAUUGGUUGUAAAGUAUAGAAAACAAAUUUACCAUCCUUUUAUCUCUUGACUAUUAUUUAUCAUAUUUAGAUGCAUGAAUAAAUUUAAUUAUAUUUUCAUACAAUUUUGAAAAUUGAAUGUCUACAGAUAAAUGUGUAUAUGUAUCAAUAAGUAAAUAUAUAUACUUCAAAACAAUACAUUAUAUAUGAUGAGAUAUAUAUGCAUUUUACAUAUCUUUAUUAAAAAAAUAUAUAUAAUUUGAAGAAGUUAUGAUAUAAAAAUUUAAUUAAAAAGUAAUAUAUAAUGUUGAGUUCUUUAAUGGUGUCAAUGAUUCAAGCGAAAAUUAAUGUUUUCCUAAAAACUGGUAUUUAUAUAUGUUUUCAAAAUAUCUUAUAAAAAGAUACAAUUGACUUCUCAGCUUUGCAAUCCGAACUAUUUUGUUUCAAUACUUGUUACUUUCCCAACAGUCUGACCAGAAUUUUUCGGCUCUUAAAAUACAACCAAUAUUUUUAGACUAUAUAGAACUAAAUGAACCUUUUUAUUUUAUACAAAUAACUAUGCCUCCAAUUAAAUUAGAUAAUUACGAUUCAUAAAUCAGAUUUAACCAUAAAAUUGUAUUUACUGUAUUGCGAUUAGGAUAACCCGAUUAAACAUGACCUUACGAUAAUCGAUUUUGGGGAGAAAUACAAAAUUGAUUUGGGGAUUUAGGGUUUGUUCUUCAUAACUCGAGCAUCAAAUUUCCAAAAAAACAUGAGCUACUCUUCGGGUUCAAACGGAUUUCAUCGAGAAGCCUUUCCUUCUAGUGUUCUGACAAAAUGCUGCUGUGGAGAAGAUGUCAUCACCUUCACCUCUUGGCCUUUCAUAUUCGCUUUAACAUCUCCAUUAUCGUAUCCAUCGUCUCCGCUUUCGUCGUUUUCGCUAUCAUAUGUGCUUUUGUUGCUGUUAUAUCCGCUUCCACCAUCACUCUCUCCAACUUCGCUUUCAUUGUAAUCGGGGUCAUCCAUAUCACUAUGAUAAAUCAACUCUGCGAUAAGAAUUUUAUCUCUAACUUGGAAUCAAAAUUCGUAUCUAGAUCCCAAUUUCACGAUUUUGGAUUGACAAACCAAAUAUUCCCAAUUUUGGAUUGAAGAACCGAGGGAGGAACCCUAAUUUUGAUUUUCUCUAGAUUUGAGAUAUGACGAUUCGAUUUACCUUUUACGUAUAAUUAAAGAGCUAAACGACAUCGUUUAGCUAUGAUUUUGUUAAAGAAAACAAACGAGAAGCGACAUUGAUUAACUUUCUUUCGCUCUUACUUAAAAUAAGUUAAGUAUCAGAAGUUCAGAACUAAUACUUUUAAUUAAUAUAAAAUUUAUUUAAAUUUCUAUAGCCAUUUUUACUAGAGAUUUAGUUCUUACACUAAAAAUAACGGGUUAGAUUUGAUAAAAUCCCUAUUUGUAUUAACUAAAAUUGCUCAAUGAUGUAGUUUGAAAUUAAUGAAUAAUAAACUUUGAGUGUUGAUUAAACUUUAUUUUCUUAAUGUUAUAAGCGAAUAUAAACUACCAUACGUACCAUCUCUUUUAUGAGAUAUAAUGAUCUUAUACAGUUUGAUUUUUUGACAUAGACCAAUUUAUAUAUACAUUUAUCAACAUUUUAUAUUAUAUUUGAAAUAUGUAGUAUUUGUUGAUAUUAAAUAUACUUGGAAAGACAUAUACACUAGGUUAAUCCUUGACGAACGUUAUGAGGAAAAUAUUUAUAACAUAGUAAUAGCUUUUGCUAAAUUGAUAUUCCCUCCAUUUAAAAUUAAGUAUUAUUUUAUAUUAGAGAUAAUAAUAUCCCACAUUGGAAAGGACAAUGAAUUUUGACUGGUAUAUAAGAUAUAUGGGAUAAUUCUCUCAUUGCCAAUUGGUUUUGAGUUGGACAUAGUCCAAUAUUUUAGAUUUUUAAUGUAAGAGUUUAGUCGACAUUCCACUUUUAAUUUUAUAUCAUUUUAAUGUAUUAAUAAGAAAGAGAAAAGUAUAUCUGAUAUUAAUAAGGGGUAUUGUAAAAAAUUUAAUAGAUUGUUUUAAUAUUUGUAAAGAAAAAUUAAACGACACUUAAACUAAAACGGAGGACGAAUAAAGUGAAAACACUAGUAUAAAUAUGUACAUAUACAAUAAAAGCUCAAUAAAUUAAGAACAUUGAGACUAUGACAUUUUUAUAUUAAUGUGUAAAGUUAUUAAUUUAUCGAUAUAUUAAUUAAUCCAAAUAAACCAAUUCUGGACUAAAGAAAUGUAUUUAUUUAUCGAGGUAUUAAUUUAUAAAGGAUAUACUUGACAUAACUAUCUAAGUUUGUAAAUAAUCAUUUUAUUUUAUAAAGCCAGAUAUGAUAUAUGCAUGUAGAUAUGUGAUGUGGAACUUAAGUACUUUAAUGUAGCAAAUUAUUAUUAUUAUAAAUACUGUUACAAAAGAAGCUAAUAAUUUAAAUUAAAAAUAAAGACAAUUAUCAUUGAUAAUUAUUUCUUAAAAAUAAGAUUACAUCUGAAGAGACAAAUCAAGGCCCCAAUCUUUAGAAUCAUUCAUGAUGGAACUGUUUCCUGUGAACUUUGGAAUAAGAUCUACCGAGUAGUGGUCACGACUUCCAAUGGUUGAAAUGAGAUCCCUUGUAUAAAGCUCCGGGAUAUGAGCAUUGCCACGAACAAGAUUUAGUGAUAAAUCACACAAAAAUGAGGUUGAAGGACAAGAAGAAGGGGAAUCAAAACUCAUGGUCAAACAACCAUGUUCAGAACUAUAACGAAUUUUCUUAAAUGGUUGGAGAUCUGAUUUGGCUAUAGAAGCAUCAAAGAAACAAGCACUAGUACAAAAUUUAUUGAAGGGAGAAAAGUUAUUCAAAGAUCGACAACCUUGUGAAGAUCGAGAAAAUUGGGAGUAUUGAUCAUAGUAGAAGAGGCUAGAAUGCUCCUUCUCCAUAGUUCUACUUAUGUUAUGAGAACAAUUUUGUGGCUUUGUUUUGAGAAAACUUUUUCUUGCUUAAACCCUAGAUUGUAAGACAAUUUGUUUUCAGACUAUAACUCAAACCCACUGGUUUUAUAUAAGGGUUUGUUUGGCUGGCUUUGAAAACAUUUGAUGUGCGCUGUGUCCAAUUUAUUAGUCCAAGUAUCUAACGGUCUUAAUUAAGCUUAUUUAAGCACUUUUGGUAUAAAAUCUUUAGAGUUUGAAAAUCACAUUAAUGUCGUGAAACUAGAAAAAGUUAUAAUCAAAUUAUAUAGAAAAAAAUAAUGCCCAAUAUUAACUUUCUUCCUUAAAUGAUAUUUUAUGUGCUUAUAUUGCUUUCAUAAAACUUUGAAAAUUAAAUGUACAGCUAAUUAAUACUCAAUUAUUGAUUAUUUAGAGUCAUAAUACUCAAUUAUUGAUUACAUGUUAAUAAUGAGUCACAAAAAUUAAUAAUGAUACUGUCAUUUAAUAGAUGCCAGUGCAGAUAGAACAAAAUAUCUAAUAUAAAGUUCUUGUGGCUAGGAAAAAAUUAGUAACUCAAAAUGAAUUUGUUCAUUGAGAAAAAGAAGCAGUUUGUUCUUAGACAUCAAAUUUUCUUUUGUCAAAAAUCAAUAUAUCAGAUAUUCUCUUAAUAUUUUUUUUUGUUGAAAUUUUAUGUUUUAUAAUGAAAAGUCACAAAAUGUAUACUAACCACAUUGAAUGGCAUAACUUUUACUUACAUAAAUUCAGAUGUUAUAAAGAAAAUUAUAUCUAAUCAAAAGAACAUUUUUGUAGAUAAUUCUUUUUUAUAUUAUUAUAUACAAUGUCUAUAAUUUAGAUGCUACGCGAAAAGUGAUUGAUUAAAACAAGAGGAGGUAAAUAAAAUGAUUCAUCCCUAUAAGUGAACCCAAGAAUUGUUUAUCUAAUUAUAUAAGAAACACCGAUCAACUCUUUUGAGUUUCACUGUAUCAGCAUUUUAUAUACAUUACAUUACGUUAAAUUUAAAUUUGUUAUACAUUAUUAUUUUAUUAUUCACGAUAAACUAAUCUUAUUGUUUGCAAUGCUUAGAUAGAUAGCAAACGAAUCUUGACGAUCACAAUAGAUGGUUUUACCGAAAGUUGAACUUAAAACCCAAACGAUGGAUGCUUUGGUCUUGAGGCCCAAAGCAUAUGAUGUAUUUCAUCCACCAUGGAAUUGACAAAAAAAAAUUAUAGUGUAGUAAUAGUGGUCUUUAAAGUUUGUGUUGAAUGUCAAAAAGAAAAAUAUCAACUAGAAAGGGAGAGAGAAGUCGCGCGUGGAUCACACUCGCGGGUUAUUUCUCUCCUAACUUUUCUUCCUUUUCUGAGCACAAUCUCUUGCGUAGUUGAUGGAGGUCUCUGUUGAUUCCGGCGACGAUGAGACCACGUGGCUCAUGGUACUUCAACCGUGAUCCGCUACAUCUUCUCGGCGAAGCUAUCCAUACAAAAUCAAGGGAGCAGUAGAGCGAAGAAGAUUCUGCGAGACAACACCGGUAUGAGCUCUAUCGGUGGAGUAGCAUGCACGCAGAGUGGAAGAGAGUCUUCACGAUGAGGAACGAGGAAAGAAAACGGUUAGAUCUAGGGAUUGGAGAUUCUGGAAGUUUCAAGGGGUCGUCGCGUGAUGGGGGAGGUCGACUCUGGCCCGGUAAAGCUAAGCCACCGUCGAUGGUCCUCAGAUCUACUCCUUACUGUCUUCAACUCUCACGACUGAGCAUGGAGAUUCACGAGAAAGGAAGGUUGGAUCUCUUCUUCCUCCUCAAAACUGCUCUACGGUAGCGGGAUGGCAAUAAAUCCUGGAUCACCAUCUCCGUUCGGCACACGUCGUCCAGGUUCACCGGAGGUUUUCUGUUCUGGCGAGUUUCUGCAGGUCUUGGACGGCGACUCUAUCGUAUUCUACGAUUAGAGAUCAGGGUUUUUUUUUGGCUCCGGUUUAGAUCGGUUAAGUAAAACCUAGUCAGUUUUGUAAUAGAUGGUUUAGUUCGGUUAGAUGCUAGUUUAUUGGAUCCUAAGAGAAAAUGUAUGGACCUAAAUCCGGAAAUAGCCUAUAUUUAUAAAAUUUUCAUACCCUUUAUCAAAAAAAAAUUUUGCGCUGAAAUACCAAGUUUGAGUUUUUCUUUUACUUUCGACAAAAAAAAAAAAGUUUUUCUUUUACAAGUCAUUUUUAAUUUAUAAAAUUAAUCCCAAAAUUUAUAGGACAUUAAUUAAUUAAAAUAUAUACAUUGCUACACUCGUGCCUUCAGAGUUCAGACUCACAAGACCGGUUCUAAUUUCACCCACAAGACUAAGGUAAAAUUUAUAGGACAUUAAUUAAUUAAAAUAUAUACAUUACUACACUCGUGCCUUCAGAGUUCAGACUCACAGGACCAGUUCUAAUUUCACCCACACGACUAAGGUACACAAAAAAUGGUUAUAUGUGUACUACUAUAUUCACGGUGGAUAAUUUUUAUUUUAGAACGUGGGACUACUGUGACCGACUCUAUCUACACCAGGUUGAAAAAUCUCUGAGAAUUGAACUUCAUAUCUGGAGUAGAAACAUUAACUAAACUCUUAGUCAAUCACUGGAGCAAAAUAACUUCCAUCAUUUUAUUGCAAUCCACAAAUAAUAUUAUUUCCUUGAUAGAAAAAAAUAUAGGUAAAAGAAAAUAUUAUAAAAAAUAUUUACUCUAUGUAAGUUUUUUGUUUUGGGUCUAUAAUAUGCAUAUGAUGAUUUAAACUUAAGUGGUGAUGCAACAAUUAAUUACAUUAAUUAACAAAAAAACAUUAGUCAUAAUUUAUAUAUUUUCAUAAGUUAAUUGAUAAAUCCUCAACAAUGGCACGAGCACCUUUGGGCAAGUGGCUUUCCUAUUUAAUUCAUAAAUCAUUCAAAAAUACCAGCGAAUUUUAACAUUCAAAAACUACUAAAUCAGAGUAGGACACAUGGACAUGACAUGAUCCCUUAUGGUCAUCAUAACGAGGAGCUCCAUUUAAAAGUACAAUGUCCAUAUCUCGGUUGUUCGUCAAUACACUUCGACAAUUACAAUUAGGAGACAAUCGGCAUCUCUGUCAUAGAUGACUGCGUGUCAUUCAUCGCUAGCAGCUACAUAUAGAUCUCUUCAUCGGCAGUUGUUCGUCACUCAUCUUGAGCGCCUAUUUUUAGAAGGUCACUCCUAGGUCCGGCUCAUAUACCAAGCCACUAAAACCAUUGCUUUGCUUUGAGCCUCAAAAUUUAAGAGCUUUUUUUUUUGUAGGGUUUUAUAGUAGCAAACAAUUAUUUUGCUUGUUUCGACACUUUGAGGGUACUUUUUUACCUCGGCUUCAACUACAACACUAAAACAAACAUGAAAUCAAUUAAAAGUGUCUCUCUUUUUUCUCUAAUUUCAUAGCUUUGUUUGUUUUGUCUAGUUCUUCAAUUUAUGUUUCAAUUUUGUUCAUGGUUGGUGUUCAUGAUUAAUGAAUGAUUGUUAACCUUAUUGUAUAUUUUCUAACUGUUUCUGGAAUUUGUAAACUUUAUAUGAAAAUUAUGUGAUUUUAUUCAUAUGACUAUUAUUUAUGGUUUUUUAUAAUAUAUGAAAGGGACAUAUUUUUAAGUCUUGCAUAGGACAUCCAAAAAUGUCGGACCGGCAGUCACUCAGUAGUCGGUACCUCCGGGAAAUGGUAAACUAUUGACUAUUGUUAUGACUGUUGACUCGCCUAGUGAACGAAGACUAUAUCUAUGUUGCUAUGGUGCAUGGGCUAUUUGAUACGAAUUACCUUUUCGUCUUUGAGACUCGUAAAUGCAAAACUGUCUAUUAUAUUAUUAAAUUAUUAAUUUAUAAUUAUAACUUCCGGUCAUUCAUAUUAUAAGUAAAAGAUUUGUAAAAUUAAAUUAUUUUAGUUUUGUUAGGAAAGUGACCCCUCAAAUCUUAUGGUGAAGAGCACCAGUUCAUAGUCAAAUGGAUUUACUAAUGUACUUACUAUUUCCAAUAAAACAGUUUUUUUUUCAAAAUAAAAAACAAUCUUUUUUUUAUAACAUUUUCUCUUGAAAGUUGAAACUACUUUCUAAAAUUUUCGAAAUGCUCUAAUAUAUUUCGGGCAUCCCUCUAACUUGACCUUUUAUAAACCAAAUAAUAGACUCAUUUUGCAUAUAAUGCCCGUUAAGUAAAGUAUCAAUUUAAUUGAUGUACGCCAUUAUCUUUUCAUAGCGAAAGUUUUUAUCUAUAUAUUGGCAUAUUGAUAACUUCAAUCUAAAUAACUUCAGGGAGAGACAAACAUAUUAUAAAUAACUAAAUUUUAAAAUCUAUGGAUUAUAGGCUAUACUUGAAACUUUUGUUCAUAUACUUCAGAUGAAAUCUAAAGAAGCUUGGUUGGCAAAGUUACACCUCAUAUCAUGAUGUUGAUCAUCGGUUCCUACUGAAUUUGGCUUUAGGACCAAUAUGAAAUCUAUUUUGUACCCCUUGCUUGCUAACUAUGCUUCAUUCGGUACUAUUGUACUCAUUAUUCCCAAAGUAUCAUAGUUUUUUUUUUCUGAAAGUAGAUGAUAGAUUUUUUUAAUGUCUUGAAAAACAUAGAACAUACUAGAUUUUAACCCGUGAUGUACCGCGAGAUGAUUUAUUUUUUAAAUUAGUAUAUAUAAAAUUUUACAAAUUAUAUCUCUUUAUAAAAUAUUUAAUUUUAUAGUUUACAAUUGUUAUUAAAUAAUGGUAUAUCACGAAUCCACGGGACAAUUGUUAAGAAAGUGAAGAUUUAAUCCGUAUUAAAGCAGCAUGUUAAUGAUAUUUAAAAAUUUUAUAAAUAUUGAUUCAAAUCCGUCCGCCAUAUAAACCCUUUCCGAAAUAUAACCCGUCCCGUAAUUUCUUAACCCGUCCCGUGAUUUGUUUUCUAAAAGUAGUGAUUUUAAAAUUUAAUGAUUAUUUAUUAUAUAUAAAAGUUUACAAAUUGUAUCAUUCUCUAGGAUAUUUAUAUUUUAAUAAACUGAAGAUUUAAUAUGUAUUAAAGCAGAAUGUUAAUGAUAUUUUAAAAAAUUUUAUAAAUAUUGAUUCAAACUCGUCCACCAUAUAACUCCGUUCAGAAAUAUAAUUCAUCAUGUAAUUUUUUAACCCGUCCCGUGAUUUGUUUUCUAAAAGUAGUAAUUUUAAAACUUUAAAGAUUAUUUAUUAUAUAUAAAAGUUUGCAAAUUUUAUCAUUCUCUAAGACAUUUAUAUUUUAUAGUUUACAAUUGUUAUUAAGUAACAUUAUACCACGAGAUAAUUUGGUUUUAUAAAAUAUUUUCUAAAUGAGACAGAUUUGAUAUGUCUAGUAUUGGUGGUAUUAAAAAAAAUUAAGCAUUUAAUCCUUAUUGAAACGGCGGAUUAAUGAUAUUUUAAUUUUUUAUUAUUGUUGAUUCAAAAAUCUGUUCCGCCAAACCCGUUCCGCAAAAAAAACCAUUUCUUUUAGUAAUGUUGAUCUUAUUUAUGAUAUGAUUCUGAAUCAUUGUCUAAAUAUUUUAGUCGAUGUGGAACGUUGAACACACAUUUUUCCCCAAUUGGAUAAUAUAUGUCCGUUUUUAAAAUUUCGAAUCACAGUAUAUGCAGAAAAAAAAUGAUUUUUUUUACUAUAUGUAUUAUAUGAUGAUUCAAAAUAGUUAAAAACAAAUCAAACAAAGAUGAUAGGAGAGUUAUAAUUCUAAAUCUUAAUGAAAUCUUCUAAAUAUCUAAAUUAUUAAAUAUAGAAUAUCCGGUGUCUGAAUUGGAUUAAAUAUAACUCCGACCCAACAAACUUUUUAUGACCAAAAUUUGUAAACGGAUCGGAUAUCCAUUGUAUCUAAAUGCACUUUGACCCACCCGCUAAAAAUGUACUUCAAAAAUAGUAGUAUAGAUUUUGGAAAAUUCCAGUCAACACGAUUUACUCAAAUUACUUUUUACAAAUAUUCAAAUUGUUCCAUUGCAAAUGUAAAACUAUGUUUGAACAUUGCUCUAAGUUAACCUUCCCUAACCUAAAUAAAAGACUCAUUCCGUGAGUUUGGUCUACGAGUCUUUGGCUUAAACAAAUAUGCGAAGAUUUCAGAGGCCUUAUCAUCCUAUGGUUGGAUCAUUCGUCAAUGCGGGCUAUCAUCUUAUGGAAAUCAUCGAGAGCACUACAACUACUCAUCCACCUUCUCCUGCCGCUGGGCAAGAUUUUCCUUUAUGGAUGUUUAAAGAGGACUUUAGACCAUGUUUUUCCGCUAAGUACACUUGGGAGCAGGUUCCAAAAUACUACUUCAUAACCUGUGUUGCUCUAAAGAUAGGCUUGCCACAUGAUCUCGGCCACAAAGUUUGGGAGUUAUACAGCCAUGUCUUCUAUGCAGCGGGCCGAAAGGGUCACAUGAUCACCUCUUCUUCUCCUGCCUGUAUUCUUUCACCAUAUGGAUGGAAAUCAGCGAACCUCUUCUCCAUCAUCACAUAAUGCCGGACUGGAAAGACACAAUCUGAAGUCUGCUUAGCUGUGAAGAGUACAAUCACUUUUUUUUUUUAAUUUCCAUUAAAAAAUGAAUUAUAGAGCUCAGAGGCCCAAAAAGAGCCACAAAGCCCAAACAAAAUAAAACAAAACAUGCGACUGUACAAUCAAAGCCACACCUGCACAUCAAAAGACAACCACAACAAUUACAAGGGAGAACCCUGAAAAACGCUAAACCUAGAACCCAGGAGAGACAAAGCCAGGGGAUAGCAGGCCUAGCCCGGGAGAGAGGAUCAAGACGAGCAAUGAUGGUUUGUUUGAUUACAUUAUCUAUUGUGUAUGGUGCUUAUUAUGCCAUUUAGUAUUCCAUCCCCAAACUUGAUUUUUACUUUUUAGUGACACAACAUAUUAUCAAAGAUACAAAUGUAAAGGAACAAAAUAUAUAUACACGGAUGUACAUUACUAAUCGAAAGACCCUAAAUGUUUCUACUACUUCAAUGUUAUAACAUCAAUGUUAUAGAUGUUCAAGAAAACUGACAAAUAGUUUUGGUUUCUCCACAUACUUCAAAUCAAGGCACAUAACCUUGGGGGGAUUUAAUUCGUUAUGAAUAUUUAAUCAGGACGUAUUGGAAACUGCAAAAAAUUGUAGAACACUCACGCGAUAUAGAUAUUGGAGUAAGAAAAAAAAUUGGGAAAUAAUAAAAGAAAAUUAACUAGAACACAAUUAGAUGUGAAUAGAAGAAGAGAUGAUACAAGGAAAUGAACAUUUAUAAUGAAAUUCAAUAACUUAAAAAGGAUAACAACAAUCUUCAUAUAGAAAUGUGGUGAAUAUAAGGUCUCUAGUAACUAUGAAACCUCUAAAAUGAAAAAUUACAUAACGCAUAAAACUAAAAAAGAUACUCAAAGGGAUAGAGAUAAAUCAAUUCCCCCGCUUUUAGUUUUUUCUUCUUCUGGUUGGAUAUCAUCAUCAUCAUCAUCAUCAAUCUCCACAAUAUUGUUCUUUGUUCCAAUCUUUGAGAUGAAAUUCUCCUCGCUCAAACCGUUUCCUUGCGAAACCAAAUUGCUAGAAAGUUUGGUAGUUUGAAAAGGAGGAAAAGGAAGAACGUUUCUCGAGUUUAAUGGGUAAAGGUUGUUGUAGGAUGGUAAAGGAUUAGGGACCCUUGAAGCUGAACCAUUGGUACUAGUGUUCCCGGUGAAGAAGCGAGUAGGAGUCACACGAGGAACUACAGCCACGUUCAUAUCCGCAAUUCCUCCAAUGACCCCACUCUUGAAAGAUGGGUAAAUUAAACGUUUAAAAGGAUCAAGAGUGAUCCCAAGAUGAUUUUCAUUUGAUAAAGCAUCUUGUGAAUACCCACCUAAGAGAAUGUGAGGCUUAUCAAGGUAAGGGUUAAAAAAGGCGAGUCCAGGGUAGUCGGCUUGCAUCUCCUUCCGCUUUUUGUCCCACUCCCGCUCUUGCUUGUGCGCGUUCUGGUGACCACCUAAGGCUUGAGAGGUUGAGAAUCCUUUCUUGCAAAAAUGACAAGUGUAGAUCUUGUUCGAUUUGGACGGAUAAAACUUCAUGAUCUCUCUUCCUCUUCGGACAGCACUAGAUCCAAAACUAGAGUUCUCAAACCUCCUUUCAGAGGUAACCUCUUGAGGAGAACCUAGUUUCAGAUUAGUGCUCCUUGUUGCCUUCUCUUUCGACUUCUCCAUGGCCACAACAAUGCCUUUGAGUUUUUUGGAUUUGGGUGUGGGUGUGGAAGAGCUUGAAGAAGACAUAGCUUGGUUCUUUGUCACAAAUCUUUUUUUUCUUUGUUCGGAUUGAUAAGUGAUCUUUAUCUGUUUGUGAUAGAUACGGAGCAAUGAGGAUGCUAUUUAUUGAGAAGGUAACCUUAAUGUUCGUUAACUAUUAUGGUAUAAAAUCUCCAAGGGUAAAAUUAAUUUAAAAUCACAACUACUAUGACUUCAUAUCUGGUUGUUUCUUUAACUAUGUUGAUUUUACUUGACUUACAAAGUGAUAUUCUUGUGUGAAAUAUGUAAUAAUAUAAUAGUUAUAUAACUCAGUAUACAAGUAUUAUGAAUCCAUAAUUUUGAAAUUUAUGGUUGUUUCUGUAACAAUUUUUUAUUCUUUUCGUCUCUCAAUAUAACAUUUUUCUGUGAAAUAUGUAACGUAUAAUUUAUAUAACUAGGUAUUUGUUUAUACAUUCUAAUAUAUUGCAUUUAAGUUCUUUUUUUUUUCAGUUUUGUUUAUACUUUCGAAUAUAUUUCAUUUAAGUGUUUAUUUUUAUGUUAGGUAUAUCAAAAUAAAUCCAUAUUGUUAAAUUUUUAUAGUCGAUGUAUAUGUUAUAUAAAAUAUAUAUUCUUAUAAAUAUAUAUUUUUAAAUUUAUAAACAUUUUUGUAACAAUCUUUCAAUUUACUAUUUUAUAUUCCAAAAUAAUAAAAAUGUGAAAUUUGUACCAAAAUAGUUUAUAUUAUCGAUAUUAUUUUGGUUAAAUUUAUAGAAUAAUUGAUAUUUAUUUACUCAUUUAAAUAUGUCGUAUUUACAUGUGCUUACAUUACAUAAAAGUACUAUGAACAUUACUUUAAAAGAAUGCUUUUUCCAACCAUCUUGUUAAGGAAAUUGAUAGUUUAAUGUUACAAAAAAUAGGGCGCGAAAAUUCGUUUGAACAAGUGUUACAAACUAUUAAGUUUUCUAUGAAAUCUCGUGUUUAUUUUUUUGUGUAAAAAUAUAUUAAUAAUUUAAAAUGAAUAAAUAAACAAUAAACCAACUAGUCAAAGUAGCAUCUUUAACUACUAUGGAAGGAUGAUGUUAUUCUUCACUAUUUUUAUAGAAAAUAAUUAGUCAUUGCAAAUACAAUGAAAUUGCAUUCUACUAUAUGGAAAAUUUACCUUGGAAGGUGUUUCAUAAACAUUAAACUUAGACAGCUUGUGAUUGACUACAGUUGUUUCUUUCUCAUUACUAAAAACUAGAAAUAAAAAAUGUGAGAUUUCUUUAAUUAGUUUUCCGGCAGUAAUCAAAUUGUUUACUUUCUUUGUUCUGAUUGGGAGAAAAAUACCCAAAAAGGAAUAAAAUGACAAACAUGGUCUAUGAACUGUAAAGAAUAACAAUUUUAUUCCUUAUAUAUAUAUAUAUAUAUAUAUAUAUAUAUAUAUAGGAAUAUAUAUAUUUUCAGAUAUAUAUAUUCAUAAAAAGAAAGCUUGAAUACCUUAAGUGUCACUUUUUUCUUAAAUGAGACUACUGAAGUAUUUGGUAAAAGAUAUCCAAGAUACAUUCAUGAAUACUGACGUAUUCCCACAAAAUAUCCAAGAUACAUUCAACAUUUUAUAAUUUUUCAAAUUGUAAGUCUGUAAAUAAUUAAUUUUGAGAUGAUUUUCUAUUUAAGCUUAAAUACGAAUAUGAAAAAAAAAAACUAAGGGGAAUAAUUUUUCAAUGAAUAAAUUUGUAUCUAUUAUCCUAUUAGGAAAAGAUUUUCUAAAAAUAUUUGAGAAAUUUAUGAAUACCCUUAGAGCAUCUCCAUCAAAGAGUUGUCAACUUAGGUAUCUCAAAAUUAAGAAAGCAAAAAUAUUUAUAAUUUAAUGUGUGAAUAUCUCAAAUAGUUGAAAAACUCAUUUAAAGAGUUUCUCAAAUGAGAUACUUUUGAGUGGAUUUCUCAAUUAUUUGAGAUACUCACUCAUUAUAAUACUAUUAGUUUUGCUAGAUAAUCGUAUUAAAUAAUGGUAGAGGUGUUCUUAUGUUAUGUCUAAAGAUUGCGGUACUCUUUAUGACUUUAUGUGCUAUUUUAUUAUUGUUUAGUUAUUUCAUUAAUCUAUUUUAUACGAAUAAUAACAGUUAUAAGAUAUUUAAUAGAAAGACUUAUAUAUAUUUUAUCAUUAUAUAUAUCUAGCAACCAUUUAGUUUCUACCACAGGAUAAAAAUUCAGUUACUUUUGUGGAACACUAUACUAUCUGAAACUAUGAAUUUCUAUUUCACAUAAUUAGAACAGGUAGUGACUCUAUAUUUUUUUUUCCGCUAGUAAUGAGUCAAUAUAUAUAUAUAUAUAUAUAUAUAUUGGAAAUGACCGCAUAUGUAUAUCUAAAAUUAUAAUUAAUUAUUACCUUGAAAUAUAUUUAAACUUCUUGUUUGUUUUCUUGUUAACAUGUGAAAGAUUUCAGAUUUCUAAAAUACUUUCUCUGGAUAUAAGUCGCACAUAACCAUAGUGGUAUAUGUAUAUAUAUUUUUCAAAAAAUAAUAUUUUAUGAAUCCCAAACGGGCUGUGGCUCUUGGGCCAAGAAAAUUGCACGGAUAUAAUUACCUUCUAGCUCUGAUGUUAAAAGAACGUUGUGGUGGUGAUGACAGCGUGGUGGUGGUGGUGUGGUGGUGGUGACGACAUCGUGGUGGCUGUGGAGGUGGCGGUGGUGGUGAUAGUGAUGGCAUUGAUGGUGGUGGUGAACUGGUGAUGGAGGUGAGUGGUGGUGAUGGUGAUGGUAGUCACAAGCCAAAAAAAUAUUAUAAGCCAACUAAUAACAUAAUUUUAGGGGAAAAAAAUGGGAAAACAAAAGAGGGGAGGAUCGAAACCGUAACCUCGGCUACUGAAGUUUUUCUCAAUAAUCAGCUGCUCUAAUAGAUAUUAUAUUAAGGGCCACAAGCAUGUGCUUGAUGAGCAUGUGGUCAAGGCCGGCUCUAAUGGUAGUAAUUUACAUCUUUUUUUUUGGACAUAUAUAUUUAAAUCCGAGUCUGGUAAUUUUCAGGGUUGGGCCAGACCGAUCUGCGGACUCUGGUUCUAAUUGAUAUGCCUAGUAGUAAAGGAAAGAAGUGGUGGUGAUGGUGGUAGAAACACUAAAAUGUUGAAGAGAGAAAUGCAAAAUGGUCUAAAGUCUAAACUAUAUAUAAUACACAAAUAUCAUAGAUUCACAAUAUAUUAAUUUUUUUUUGGUUAGUUUACCUAAUAAUUAGUUUGUUUUUUUUCUUGGUUAGUUUUGCAAGAAAAAUUAUUAGUUUUGAAUAUUUUUCUUUUAUGUCCACCAAAUUAUGUGAGCAAAAUUAAUUUUUAUUUCCCACUAUAUAACUUAAAUUAAGAUUGAUUUUUAAUUAAUAUUCCAAGUUUAGUAAUUUGGAAGGAAACCACAAACCUAUUUUGGUCUGUCUCUCACAUUCUUAAGCCAAACGACUUUCCCGCCAAACCUCAUAAAUCAAAGCAACAAAAACUACGAAACUCUUUAUCUAUCAUAAACAAAAUUAUCCUUGUACAUAUUUUCAAAAUUAUGCAGAAUUCACACUCCUAAAGAGGCUACGUAAGCUUCGAAAUAAGAAACAGCUCUUCAAAAAAAAAAACACAAAACAAAAAAAAAAAAAAUCAACAAAAACGAGCUGUUCAUAUAUAAUUUUUUUUAAAAAACAAAAAAAAAACUUAACAAAAAAAAAAUGUCAUAUGGGUACGACGAUGAUGCAAAGAGGAAAAAGAGAUACGUUAUUAUCUCUAUCUCCUCUGUUCUUUUGAUCUCCAUGGUUGUUGCAGUUACCAUAGGCGUUAGCGUCAACAAGUCCGAUAACGGAGGUGAAGGAGAAAUCACAACUUCUGUUAAAGCCAUCAAAGAUGUUUGCGCACCGACGGAUUACAAGGAGACUUGUGAGGAUACUCUUAGGAAGGAUGCGAAGAACACAUCAGACCCGUUGGAGCUAGUGAAGACAGCUUUUAACGCGACGAUGAAACAGAUAAGUGACGUGGCAAAGAAGUCACAGACUAUGAUUGAGCUACAAAAGGAUCCGAGGACGAAGAUGGCUUUGGAUCAAUGCAAGGAGCUAAUGGAUUACGCAAUCGGUGAGCUUAGUAAGUCGUUUGAGGAGUUAGGGAGGUUCGAAUUUCAUAAGGUUGAUGAAGCGUUGAUUAAGCUGAGGAUUUGGCUUAGUGCGACGAUUAGCCAUGAGCAAACUUGUCUUGAUGGGUUUCAAGGGACACAAGGGAAUGCAGGUGAGACGAUUAAGAAGGCAUUGAAAACUGCGGUGCAGUUAACGCAUAACGGGCUUGCAAUGGUCAGCGAGAUGUCGAAUUACUUGGGACAAAUGCAGAUUCCGGAGAUGAAUAGUCGACGGUUGUUGUCCCAAGAGUUUCCUUCGUGGAUGGAUGGCCGAGCGCGUAGGCUUUUGAAUGCUCCUAUGUCCGAGGUCAAACUGGAUAUCGUGGUGGCGCAAGACGGAAGUGGUCAGUACAAGACGAUCAAUGAAGCAUUGAAUUAUGUCCCGAAGAAGAAGAACACGACUUUCGUGGUUCACAUUAAGGCCGGAAUCUAUAAAGAGUACGUUCAGGUGAAUAGGAGCAUGACACAUCUGGUUUUUAUCGGCGAUGGCCCUGAGAAAACUGUCAUUUCCGGCAGCAAAAGUUACAAGGAUGGUAUUACCACCUACAAAACCGCCACUGUUGGUAAUGAAUUAUCUUUAUAUGUUUUACAAAUAUGGAGAUUAAUUUUUUUUGUCUAGAUAUUGCUUAAGGUACAAUGUUUUAAUGACCCGGCACGGAUUUGAUGAGUCUUAUAUGGUUAUUGCAGCAAUCGUUGGAGAUCAUUUCAUUGCCAAGAACAUUGGGUUCGAGAACACAGCCGGGGCAAUAAAGCAUCAAGCGGUUGCGAUUAGGGUUCUAUCAGAUGAGUCAAUAUUCUACAAUUGUAAAUUCGAUGGUUACCAAGAUACUCUAUAUGCACAUUCCCACCGUCAGUUUUACCGCGACUGUACUAUCUCGGGCACCAUCGAUUUUCUCUUUGGAGAUGCAGCUGCGGUAUUCCAGAAUUGUACUUUAUUGGUGAGAAAGCCACUUCUAAAUCAAGCAUGCCCCAUUACAGCCCAUGGACGUAAAGAUCCGCGAGAAUCCACGGGAUUUGUUCUCCAAGGAUGUACGAUUGUUGGUGAACCGGAUUACUUGGCAGUCAAGGAAAAUAGCAAAGCUUACCUUGGAAGGCCAUGGAAAGAGUAUUCAAGAACUAUCAUCAUGAACACGUUCAUCCCAGAUUUUAUUCCGCCGGAAGGAUGGCAACCGUGGCUUGGCGAUUUCGGUCUUAACACACUUUUCUACUCGGAGGUACAGAACACUGGGCCAGGUGCACCUAUCACAAAACGGGUUACUUGGCCUGGAAUCAAGAAGUUGAGUGAAGAAGAAAUACUUACAUUCACUCCAGCUCAAUACAUCCAAGGUGAUGCUUGGAUUCCGGGUAAAGGUGUUCCGUAUAUCCCAGGUCUUUUCACUGGAAAUGGCUCAACAACCAAUCCGACCGAAUUGGGCUCCACAAAUUCUACCAUAACUGGCUCCGGUUCGUCUUCUAACACAACAGGUUCAUCAGAUUCACCUUCGACGGUAGUGUCUCCUUCAACUUCUCCACCAGCUGGCCAUCUUGGUUCCCCACCAGCUACACCUUCAACGAUAGUGUCUCCUUCAACAUCUCCACCAGCUGACCAUCUUGGUUCCCCACCAACUACACCUUCAUCGGUAGUGUCUCCUUCAACUUCUCCACCAGCUGGUCAUCUUGGUUCUCCACCAACUACACCUUCAACAGUAGUGUCUCCUUCAACAUCUCCUUCAGCUUCUCCUUCAGCUUCACCAUCAGCUUCUCCUUCAGCUUCACCAUCAGCUUCUCCUUCAGUUUCACCAUCAGCUUCUCCACAAAGCUCGAUAGGUUAAGACGGAGACUGCGGCUGACUAGAGGUCAUGUGAUUUCUACUCUCAAAGCCAAAAAAACAAAAUUCUAGAAAGUAAACCAUAUUUUGACAAACCUCUGUUUUGGUUUUAAUAUUUAGACAAACUUUAAGGCCUUCAGGUUCAGUAAUCAGUAUUAUUGGUCUGCCAAAUUAAUGUGAAUAUAUCAUGUUCAGUAGUUUUGUAAAUUCAUGUUUAAUUGUUGUAAUUAAUUUAUUAAAACCCCGAUGUAUAUUAAUGGGUAGGGUUUUCUUUUGUAUCCAUAUAUAGAAGAUUUCAUACAAUAUACACUUACUUUCUUAGGCACCAUGAUGGUUGAGGACCUUCGGGUUCAUGCAAGAAUAGCAUUGUCAUAUGAUUCGGGGGAUGACGAAUAGGAGGUAUAAGAGCAUCUCCAACGGAGAGCUCUCUCCACGAGACUCUCUCAAAUUUUUUAUUAUAAAUUUUUUGAAAAUGUGAGAUGAGAACUUUUGUUUUUUUUUUUAAUUUUUCAUAGUCCAAUGGUAGGUUCUCUAGUGAGGUUCUCUUAGAAAAAAAAAUUAUUAAAAAUAUUCUUUCAUAAAACUUAAUAAUUAUUGUAAUUCAUAAAAUAUUAAACAUAUAUGACAAAAUAAUGUAUGAUUAUAACAAUAAAAUUUUGUCAUAAAUCAUGACCUAGUAAUAAUUUUUAGUUAAAUAUAUAACUAUAACAAUAUAAUUUUGUAAUUCUGUCAUAAAUCAUGAGCUAAAUUAAAACAGAAAUAGUAAACCAAAACAUUUAACUAAAAUAAUACACCAAGUCAUAAACAAAAAUUAUUGAAUUGCCUCACUUCAAAACCAAUUGAGAUGACAUUUUCCCUGAUAAAUUUCCUUUCUUGAUUUAUACUUCAGAAGCCAAUGUUGGUUUAUUUCCACAAAUUGUGGAUUCUUUAGUAUGGAAUCUUAUCGUUCUUGAUUACACAUUAUUUGAUUUAUAAAACAGCUCGUUAUAUAUAUGUUUCAUAGUUACAAGUCUAUCACCAAAUCAGAGAUACAUAAAGCCAACAAAACAAACUCCAAGUCUUGUACAUCCAAGUCUCCAUAAGGCCAUGAGCUUCUGCUGCUUGGGGCAAUGGUAAAUACUUGUGAAUCACUGGUUUUACCUUCCCUGCUUUUAUCGCUGGCCAAACAUUCUUCUCGACUUCCGCAACAACAACAACUUUGUUUUCUAUGCUCUUUUGUCUCAACGCAGCUCCUGCAGAAAAAAAAUAUAUAAGAUGCCAAAUAUGAGAAUGGAUUAGUCUUCUCCACAGAAACAUAAUCAACAACGGCAAAACUAAACACACACAUUAUACAAAAACUCAUUAGAAACCAUAUACUAGUCACAGCCAGGCCUGAGUUUUAGUGGGCCACAAAAGAUUUUUUUAUUAUUUUAAAAAAGGCUGAUUUAUAUUUUUUUUUGACAUCUUUGGAUCGACAAGGCCCGAUCCAUAACCAAUCCCUACUACGCGGAGUAACGCGACUUACUGGAGUCGAACUCCGGUGGGUAAGGCGAAGUCAAAUGGACUUAACCACUUGACUAAAGGCACAUCUCCAGGCUGAUUUAUAUCAUAAUUUGUUUUUGUACAUUUAAAAUUUUUAAAAUAAACAUGUGGUAAAUAAACCUUUUUUGUCUCACAAAAAAAAAUAAGGGAGACUCACAAAAAUGCUCCUUUUCUCAUGACCUUUUUCAAAAAUAACCCCUCCCUAAUAGCUUUUCUGAAACUGAUCAUUUUACCUUUAAUGACAAUUUAACCUAAAUAAAAAACCCUAGCUCCCAUCACCUAGAUUGCCGCCGACUACGCCGCCGCUGACGAGAUCUGUUAAGAUUCCUGCCUCUCGCGUUCGUUCUUAUCCAAGCCAGCUCUGCUUCACCGUCGCAAUCUCCGUCUUCUCCAUUAGAUCCAACACAGAAGCUUUUUCUACAUGAAAUUCGGCAAAGAGUUUCGUACUCACCUCGAAGAAACUUUACCUGAGUGGAGAGACAAGUUCCUUUGCUAUAAACCUUUGAAAAAGCUUCUCAAAUAUUAUCCUUACUCUUCCGAUCACCUCGAUUACGCCAUUGCCUUGUAAAACUUUUAAAUUUUAAAAACCUUAUAAAACCUUUUAAAUGAUUUAUAAAUCAUGUUAUGUAUUAUAAAUACUUUGUAAAACCCUUAAAACACUUUGUAAAAUCAUUAAAACACGAUGUGAAAACUUUUAAAAUACCUUGUAAAAUCUUCAAAAUACAUUGUAAACCCUUUAAAAAACUUUGUAAAACUUUUAAAUUUUAAAAAUCUUAUUAAAAUUUUAGAAGAUUUUAUAAAAACCUUAUAAAAUCAUUUAAAAGUUUUAUAAAUCAUCUUAUAUCUUAUAAAAUACCUUGUAAAACCAUUAAAACAUCUUGUAAAACUUCAUAAAAUCUUUUAAAACACAUUGUAAAACAAUUAAAAUACCUUGUAAAACCUUUAAAAUACCUUGUAAAACAUUUAAAUUUUAAAAUCCUUAUAAAACAUUUAAAAGAUGUUUUUUUAAGUUUUAUAAAUCAUCUUAUACCUUAUAAAUACUUUAUAAAACCAUUAAAACACCUUGUAAAACAUUUUAAAAUACAUUGUAAAACCCUUUAAAAAACGGAAAAAAACUUUUAAAUAUAUUGUAAAACUUUUACAAGAUUUUUUAAAGGGUUUUAUAAUGAUGUUUUAUAAGGUAUUUAUAAGAUUAUUUUAAUUUUUUAUGAGGUAUUUAAAAGAUUUUAUAAAAGGUUUUAUAAGAUCUUUAAAAGUUUUUGUAAAACGAAAUUGAUGGACCAACGAUUCACAAGAACCAUCAUUUAUAUUGUCGACUGAAUUUUAUAUUAGCAAAUAUUAGUCUCCAAAGACUCACAAACUAUAUAACGAGAUCCAUCAUCUAAGUUAUCAACUCCAACAAAAAGUUUGCACAACAAAAAAUCCACACACACUAUUACAUAAACCAGUGGACCCACCCUCAAACUGUAUGCAUCCCAAGAACCAUUCGUUGAUUCACAAACCAAACUGAAAUUGUAAUGCAAGACCUGCAAUUUUGAAUCUUCACAAGUAUCAUCUGUGACUUCAAAUCUGAUAGAGGCUUUAGAUAGGAGCAUGCCUCUUCUCACCGUCAGCCACUUGCUCGUGAAGCCAAUAAACACCUGGCUAGAGUUGAUUUUUUAUUUGUCAUCCUUAACAACAGCAGAAACAAUCAUGGUCAAAUCAGAGGUUUUCCCAACCAAAAGGAACACAACGAUAUUCAAAGUAAUGCUCAAAACGAAUUAGCUCCGAAAAUGGCGUAAUCAAAGUGGAAGCUAGAUGUAUCUCUAAAAACCAGAAACUCAAAGUUGAUCCAUGGAAUAAACAAGAAAGCUAAGAAGCAAGGAGCAACGUAAUAGGGAGAAGUGAUUCCAUCAACAUUCCUCUCGAUUCUGGCCCUAUUACGUUUAUUCCAUGAAUCAAGAAGCGCUUGGAAAUUGAAAUUGGCAACAUUAGAGGCGUUGAGAAGCUUUGUAACGUGGUCGAUUGAUUCAACCUUCGCCUUGAUCCUAUUCGCACUAUCUUCUUCUCGCGUUUGAGAUUUCGAUGCGGUAUCGUCUAGACUCACUUAAAUCUACAUCUUCCACUCGGUGAUGCUUGCUCGUCACAAACCCCCCCAAUCACUCGUGUCGUCGUCAUCAUCAUCAUCCAUUAUCGUCAAGAGAAACCCCAGUUUAUUUACAUCCAGUGGGAUUCGAAUUAGGAAUCAACGACGGUGUCGCCGGCUCCUCCGCCAUUUUCAACAGAUUACGGGUUCGAUGGAGCAGACGACGACAAGAGAAGAUGGGAUUUUAGGGUUUUGGCCUGCAACAUGUAUCUCAUUAAACAAGGGUAUUUUGGUCAGUUUAGAUAUUUUUGAGGGGUAUUUUUAAAAAUGACCAACUGAAAGGGACAUUAUUAAAAAAGGGCAUAUGAAAUAGGGCAUUAUUAACAAUUUCUCAAAAAAUAAACCUUUUUUGUUGAAAUAUUUCCGUAAUUUAUUUAUACAUCUGUAGAUAUGUAGAAUAAUUUUUGUUUUGUUGAAUAAACAAACAAAAAAAUUUGGCUGACACAAGAAUCAAACACAGGUUAUGACCAUCGCUGGGAUGUAAACUACAAGAAAAUAUGGGUAUACUCAUUUGUAGCGACCAAAUUGCGACUAAUUUACGACCACCUUUCGACUCACUUCAAGUAGUCGUUAAUUUGUCGCUAAAUAGCGACCAAAACCAAUAGUCAGGCAUGUAGUCGUCAAAAAGCGACUAUGCGACGACUAUUUUGUGGACAGGAGUGAAUUAUCGCCAAAUUAGCGACUACAGUUCGACCAAAUUUAAUAGUCGCUAUUUUGGCGACUAAUUUGUGACUCAUUCGUAAGCUAGUCACAAAUUAGUCGUAGUUUAUAGUUAGAAAACACAUGUUUUUUGUUAUGGGGUUGGUGUACCGGUUUUUGGCGACUACGGCAUUUAGUCGCUAAUUAGUCACCGUCAAAAUGUAUAUAUAAAGAAAAUUCAACAACUCUCUUCAUUCAUGCCAAAUAAAAAUCGUUUGGAAAACAAAAAUCAGAGAAAAAAAGAAAAUUUUAGUUUUUAUUAUUCUCAUAAUGGCGGAAAAUUACAAUUAUCGCGGUAAUGGCUGUUUUUAUCGGGAGUGGAUGUACAAGAGGUUCUCGAUUAAGUGACGGGAAAUUUUACGGCAGAAUUCAAAGCAAGGGUUGAAGAAUUCAUGACGUUUGCUAAUAGUCAGCCCAUAGAACAGAGUAAUCGGGGUAAAUUUCAUUAUCCUUGUAGUGUGUGCAAGAACAAAAAACAUAUCGUCUCCGGUAGAAGAGUUAUGAGUCAUUUGUUUAGUCAAGGAUUUAUGCCAGAUUAUUAUGUUUCGUAUAAGCAUGGAGAAGAAAUCAAUAUGGAUAUAGGAACGAGUUAUGAUGAUAGGACGUAUCUAAGUGAGAAUCAUGAAGACGUGGGUAAUGUUGUAGAAGAUCCACAUGUGGGUAUGGUGAACGAUGCAUUUAACGUGGGAUUUGAUUAUAACUAUCAUUAGGAUGGUAGUUAUCAGAAUAUGGAAGAACCGGUACGUAAUCAUUCAAAGAAAUUGACUUGUUAGAAGGUGCAAAAAAUCCAUUAUACAAUGGUUGUCGUGAAGGUCAGUCGCACUUAUCCUUAGAUGCUCGAGUCAUACAAAAUAAGGUGUGUGGAUUCGAGCAGCUAAGGAUAACUACGACCGACCUUCACGACAACCAUCGUAUAAUGAAUUUUUUUGCACCUUCUAACAAGUCGUAGAAUUUAUUUGAAUGGUUACGUACUGGUUCUUCCACAUUCUGAUAAUUACCAUCAUGAGUAUAGUUAUAAUCAAACCCCACGUUAAAAGUAUCGUUCACCAUAUCCACAUAUGGAUCUUCUACAACAUUACCCACGUCUUCAUGAUUCUCACUUAGAUACGUCCUAUCAUCAUAACUCGUUCCUAUAUCCAUAUUGAUUUCUUCUCCAUGCUUAUACCAAACAUAAUAAUUUGGCAUAAAUCUUUGACUAAACAAAUGACAAAUAACUCUUCUACCAGAGACGAUAUGUUUUUCGUUCUUGCACACACUACAAAGACUGUGAAAUUUACCUCGAUUACUCUGUACUAUAGGCUGGCUAUUAGCAAACGUCAUGAAUUCUUCAACCUGCUUCGAAUUCUGCCGUAAAAUUUCCUGUCACUUCAUCGAGAACCUCUUAUACAUCAACUCCGGAUAAAAACAGUCAUAACCGCCAUAAUUGUAAUUUUCUGCCAUUAUAAGAAUAAUAAAAACUAAAAAAUUUCAUUUUUUCUUUGAUUCUUUUUUUUCCCAAACGUUUUUUUUUUCCAAACGUUUUGUGUUUGACAUGAAUGAAGAGAAUUGUUGAAUUUUCUUUAUAUAGAUAUUUUGACGGUGACUAAUUAGCGACUAAACACCGUAGUCGCCAAAAACCGGUACACCUACCCCAAAACGAAAAACACGUGUUUUCUAACUAUAAACUACGACUAAUUUGUGACUAGCUUACGACACGCCGAAUGAGUCGCAAAUUAGUCACCAAACUAGCGACUAUUAACUUUGGUCGGAACUAUAGUCACUAUGUUGGCGACUAAUUGGCGACAACCCACUUCCGUCCACAAAAUAGUCGUUGCAUGUCGCUUUUUGACGACUACAUGCCUGACUAUUGGUUUUGGUCGCUAUUUAGCGACAAAUUAACGACUACUUAAUGUGAGUCAUAAAGUAGUCGUAAAUUAGUCACCAUUUGGUCGCUAUAAAUGGCGACUAUAUACAUAGUCGUGGGAUGAAUUAAAAUCAAUAUAAAGUUUAUAAUAUUAUGAACAUAUUAAAAAAAAUAGCACGGGACGGAUUAUAUUGCGAGAAGGGUUAUAUGGCAGGUCGGGUUUGAAUUAACAUUAAUAAUAAAUUUAAAUAUCAUUAACUCGCCGCUUCAAUACGGGUUAAAUCCUCAUUUUAUUAUUUUUAACACCACGAUUAUUAGACAUAUCGAAUCAACCUGAUUUAAAUAAGAUUGUAUAAAACAAAAAUUAUUUCGUGGUAUAACGCUAUUUAAUAAUAAUUGUGAACUAUAAAAAUAUAAAUUCCUUAUAAAAUGAUACUAUUUGUAAAUUUUUUAUAUAAUACAUAAUCACUAAAUUUUAAAAAUCAUUACUUUUCGUAAAUAAAUCGUCCCGCAGGUUAAAAUCUAGUUUUUAAGUAGAAUGUAAUGCAGACAUAAUGAGAAGGUAACCUCAUUACAUGGUGGUGAUUUGGCUCUAAUUUUUACUUUGGUCAUUUAUAUUAAAGAAUAUAUAUAUAUGUAUGUUUGUGGUGUCAAAAGAAAUCAACUUAGCACGGUUGGUAAUGUAUAUAUCGAUUGUACGAAAGACCAAGGAGUUCAAAUAUUAUUUUUUAAUAAAAUGACGCCGUUUUGUGUAGUUUAACAUAUAAUCUCAUUGUAAAUUUAUCUCCGUUAAUAAAUUUAUCGAUGUGAUUUAUUUAGUAAAAUUAAGAAAAAAUAGAGAUUAAAAUAUAAAAAAAAUCAACAAAAUUUAGAGAUUAUAAUGAAAAAAUUAAUAUAAGUUAGCUAAUUAUUUUAUCAAAAACAAAGUUAGAGCUUUUGGCAUUUUUGACAGUUGAGGACUUUUUGACAUUUUCUCAUACAUUGGACUUAAAUUAGACAUGUCAAUUAGGGCCAAAGCCCGCAGGCUAGCCCGGCCUAGCCCUGAAAAAUAGCUGGCUCGGGCUUCAAAAUAUAUGUCCACAAAAAAUCGGGUCUUUCGGGCUAAGCCCUUUAAAAAACAUUUUGACAUAUUUUUGUUAAUAUUUUCGUUUAGUUGUAAGAUUUGUUGUAAAAAAAAUUUUUAGUAGAGUUGAAAACCCUAAACUUAUUUUUUUUGUUGUGUAUUACUAUAAAUCGAAAAAGCAAAUAUUAGCUCUACUACCUAAUUUGAAUUAUUUUGAUUUUAUAUUUUAUCUAGUAUAAGUUUAAAUAAUUUAUUUGGAUUAUUUAUUUGAUUUUAACUCUCUUUUUAAAAAAUUAAAUUAGCGUUAGUGGUUUUUUUUUUUUGACGUCUGAAUUUAUUAUUUAUUGCAAAUUGUGAGAACUGUUACAUAGACGAUUCUACAACAGACAAUUCCUUCCGACCCUUAUUAGAUCCACGACAGACGACACUUCCAACUUCAUGCUCUUGACGGACAUCUUCAAUGAUCCACGACCUGACGACACUUCUCUCUCUGCGUAGAAUCCUGGCGAACGGCUAUAAUUGUACAUCGCUGGAGAUCUCCUGCACACUUGCUUCCAUUAAUUUGCAAAUUUAUUAAUAAAUCGCAGUACCUGGGACUCGAACCCCAGACCUCUUGGUGUAGAAGCAUUAAUUAACCCUUGAUCAACCAAUAGGCCAAGGGGGCUUCCACCUAGCGUUAGUGGUUAUUUAAAUUUUGAUUGACUCGUUUCAUAUAUAGAUUUUUUUUUAAGAGAUAUUAGAAAUUAUAAGUUUGUUUUUUUGUUGUCGGAAGAAAAACCCAAAAAAGCCCGAAAAAGCCUUGUAACCAUGUUAGGGCCGGGCCGAGCUUUAAAAUAUAGGCUCGAAAUUUUUACGGGCCGAGCCGGGCCUGGCUCAAAUAUAUACGGGUUUUGCGGGCUUCGGGCCGGGCCGAGCUAGCCCAAUUGACAUGGCUAACUUAAAUAUUGAUUGAAAAAGACAAGAAAAUGGGACUUCAAUAAAAACGUUAAUUGCAAAACGUACCCAUGAUGUCUUUUUCUUGGCAUAAAGUACCAUAAAGUCUUAUUUGUUACAAAAUUAACCCCUCUAGUUAUUUCGAAUAAAUAUCUUUCUUAUAAAUUUGACCAAACCCUUAAGAUCUAAUUUUCUCUGUUUGAUUUUUCCUCCCAACAAUGGCGGCUUCAUCAUCUUCUUCCUCUGACGUCUCCUCUGACUCUUCAGACUCUCAUCGUCGCCGUAAGGAUUGCCGUCGUCACCGUAGAAACGAUCGAGACAGAGACUCGCUCAAAGUACGGAAGAAGAGCCGAUCCACCUCGAAAAAACGCCGUAGACGCCAGCACUCCUCCGAUUCCUCCGAUUCUUCUUACUCCGAUUCAUCCAGGUCCGUUGAUUUCUUAUCAACUUCUCUCACCGAUUGAAAACCCUAAUUUUCCCGUUUGGUUUCAUUUCUGGAUCGGAGACCUUGAUUUUACAUUUUGAAUUGUUCGUCGAUGUUAGGGUUUAGGGUUUGGUUUGAUGGAAACUAUAUGAGAAUAUCGUUAAUGGAGCUUUAUAGAUUCAUUGAAACAGAAACUAGUUUGAUUUCAUUUUUGAAUCGGAGCAUUUGGUUUGACAAUUUGAGUUUGUUCGUCAAUGUUAGGGUUUAGGGUUUCGUUUGAUGGAGAAUAUCGUUAAUUGAACUCUUUAGGUUGAUAUAAACAGAAAUUAGAGAAAACAAAGAGUAAUAUUUGUGUUUUUGUCGCAGUGAGAGCUCAGAUAGUGAGCACGAGAGGUCACGAAGGCACAAGAAGCAUGAAAAGCCAAAGAAGGUUACUUUGUUUGAUCAAUUCUUAAUCAUGUGAUGUCUCUCUCUUAUGGUGUUCAGCUUAUAAGUAUCAAUUUUUUUGUUUACAGGCUAAGGAUAAGGAACGAAGCAAGAGUCAUCGUCAUAAACGGCAUAAGAAUAGAGAUAGAAAGGUGAGCCAUUGUUUCUUGUUAUGCCUUAGAUAAAUUUUCAACAAGAUAACAAGUUACUUAUAAUACUUCUUUUGCCUUUCUUUGUGGCCUCUUCGAACUUGGAGCUGGGGUUGGUGAAAUGAUAAACUGGGGACAUUUUGUUUUCUUCGGUUUGUUUGUUUUUUUCUUUUUGGUCCUGGCAAUGUGAGUGUUGUAUAGAAAGGGGAAGGAGAAGGAAGCAGCGGGCCUGUUAAACUAUCAAAGGUACUAAAGCGAUAUACCCAUAAAGAUCUUAAGUUUAUAUGAAGUCCAUGUUUUUUGGCUAAACCGUUACUAUGUUCUUUCUGAUUCAGUUGUUGAACCGUGACAAAGAGGAUGGUGAGCGUAGAAGUGCUGUUUCAGGGAAAAAAGUCAGUCUAAAACUCUCUUUUGGGUUGUCUAUCACUCCCUUCACAAUAAAUUGAUGUUCUUUUCUCACUUCUUCUGUGUGUUUGGCUACAGAUUCUGCUGAAGGUUGACAAGUCCAAAGAGGACAAAGCUGCAGAGAGCAAAAGAAAUGAACUACUUAAGUUCUUAAACGCAAGUUUUGACUAGUAUUUUUCGCUUUUGUCUCCAUGACAGGAUCUCAAGAACAACAAGAAUGUAAGAUGCUAUCUGAUUAGAUUCUAGUUUGCGUAUCCGUUUGGUGAUUCGGAUGCUUGUUUUGUUUAUCCAGAGGACUAAGCCUGUCAUGGAUUUGAGUUGUUAUUAUAGCCAUUUGAACUUAUAUUUUGACUUCUAUUCUCUUGUUUGGUCUUAAAACUUUGUGUUAUCGCACACUGUUCUUCUUGGAAACCCGAGAAAUGGUUACUGAGAUUUUAUCGGUGCGUACAUCAAACCAGUUCCAACUUCUAAGUUCCAUACUGGAACUUUCGAGCCAUCUCCGGUUACCAUGGAGUUGUGUUCCAAUGUUGUUGGAGUACAUACACUUGUGCUAAGAAGCCUUAGAUCAUCCCUAUUUGACAUGUUUCAUGAUCAUGGAAAUACUAUUUUGCAAGAACCUAAUUUUCGCAUAUGUGAAGAGUUUUAGAAUAUGUAGAGAGAUUUUUGCCCAAAAAAAAAAAAAAAGAGUAUGUAGAGAGAUUUUGGUGUCAGGUGGUCCAACAAGAUAUCUUAUUAUCAUUCAAAACCUCAAAAUAUGAAUUGUGUUUGGCUAUUAAUCAUCAGAUUCACAAUAAGAGUUUUGAGUUUUUUUAUUGUCAUUGCAUGGGUAAUCAUCCGUAAUGGUUGUUUUUUUAGGAAUGCGUUGAAAUGAAUAGUUCUACAAUUUUUAUAGCGAUAAAGAUUUGUAUAAAUAAAAAUUGAGUAAACACGAAUCUUUGAAGAAUGAAAAUCAACGUAUCGCCGUGGAAAAAAACUCUCUUAUUGGACUGCCAAUGUGCUUAUGUCGUAGAUCAGGACUUGCCGUAACACUGAUCUAACAUUGGUAACCUGGCUACGACAAGUUCUUAAUAUCAAUCAAAAUAAUAAAUUGAUUGAUACAAAACGGCAUGUAUCUUUGUAAGUACCUAUUAGCUUUUUGAAGUAAUGGAAUGAAAUUGUUUAUAAAUAAUAGAACAAUGCAAUCCAAACCGAAUUCUAGACAAGUCUCAAAGAGGCUAGUAGUAGUAAGAUUAAAAGACAAAGCAAAAUAUCCAAUAGUCUUAAGAAGAGAAACAGAACUUAAAACAAUGUCUGGAACAGGGCAAAGAGGAACCAGUGUUCCCUACCAAAACUUCGAUACUGAAACCAAGCAAAACGAAACACAACAAAGUUAUCUUAGACCUUGAAUCCACGACUCUUUCGCUUUCCUCUAGCUUUCUCAAACUUCCUUCCCUUAUGCCUAACAUAUGGCUUAGUGCUACUGUGUGGCACACCAGGAGCAGGUCCAAAAUGCUUCACUGCUUCACGAGAGUUCUUUGGUCCUCUAAGGAGAACCUGUCACACAUCAAACACAGCUCAGUCUCAUAUAUAUUAAACUUGAAUAUCCCAAGUAUUCAGAUCAAACACCCAUGUAAAAUCUACUUACUGUGUUCUGGCCCAAUGGAGCUUUGAGUGCAAGCUGGUCAAAGGUUAAGCACUCUCCCCCAGCUUUCUCAAUUCUAGCUCUAGCCCUCUCUGUGAACCUCAAGGCAGUAACUUUAAUGGCAGGAAUCUCAUGAACUCUCAAAUCAUCAGUGAUGGUUCCAACCAACACAGCAAUCUUGUCCUCCUAAAGAAGAUAAAAACCACAACAUUUCAGUACUAACAAUCAGAAACAAAAUCUAUAUCAGACCAUAUUCUCACAUACUUACAUAACAGGACAAUGUCAAAACUUAUAACUUAACCAAAUGAAAAUAAAACUACAUGAAAUGGGGUUCUAGAUUAAUUGACCAAGGACAGACUUUAAAUGUAUAUAAAGAGAGAGAGUUUCAAAAGAUCGAACCUUGCCCGUCAUGAACUCCACAAGCCUAGAGAGUGAAAGAGGAGCUUUGUUGACUUUGCUCAUGAAAAGCCUCUUUAGAAUCACAGCAUUGAACUUGCUUUCAGAUCUCCUCACCAAAAACCGGUAAAGCUUCAAAAUUUAUCAAAAAAACGACCAAAUCUCAAAACCAAAUGUAACAGACAGAGAAACAUAACUAUGUAAUAGACCUGUCAAUGUUUUGUUACCUUGACGAGAAGCUUGAGGUAAACAUCAUCGGACUUUGGAGCAGUCCUUUUUGUCUUCUUACUCUUACCUCCGGCGAUAAGAUCGAUACCCUACAACAACAACGACAAGACCAAAUAAGCAAUCCAUAACCUAAUGAAGAAAUACAGAUACCACACUCCAAAUCUACAAAAUCUAGAUUCCACUAUCGAAACGAAGAAACCUAAGGAACCAUUAUACGCUAAACCAAUAGAUCAAGCUCGCAAACGGAGAAUUCAUUUGUUAAAACAUAGGAGGCGGAGAUCAAGAAUUACCAUGGCUGCGUCUGCGAGAGGAAAAUGAAGUUAGGGUUUAUGAAUUUAUAGGAGCAACAAGCAAGCUCGCUUACAAUUUAGGUUUUUAUGGCUUUAUCUCGGCUUUAGGCUCUUUGGGCCCAAAAUUACAAGCCCAUUUCUUAAACAUCGUUCGGCUCGGGAGAACCUAUCUAUAUAUACAUCUAUAUAUACAUUUUUUUAGCACAAUUAGCAAAUAAAUCCUGGAGUUGGGAAGUAUUUACAACUUAUGCCAUUGGCAUUUAUUAUUAAGUUACAAAAUUUAAAUAAAAUAUAUUAACCAAACGAUAUCUUGCCUAAUUUGUUUCUAAAAAUCUCUACACAAUCUUUCCAUAUAUCUUCAAAAAUAUUUUCCUGAAUUUUACUCUACAAAAUAUGCAUAAAUCCGAUUUAUAACAAAUAUUUAUAUUAAAAUUUUGCAUAGUAAUAAAAAUACUAAUUUAUAAUAAUCAAAAUAUUCACAUAGAAAAAUCAUAUACACAUACAUGAAAAAAAACUAUAUAUAUCAUCAUUUAAGCCGUUGCUUUAUUUAAAUAAAAAAAAUAACACAAAAAGUAGAAAUCAUAUACUUUAUAUGAUAAAUUUAAAAUAUAUAUUAGUAGUAUAAAUUUAAAAUCAUUCAAGAACGGUAUACCACGGGUGAGAUCCUAAAAUUAUUAGAUUUUAUAAUAAUAAGAAUUUAUUUUCUUGGAUUUUAUAACACUAAUAAUUUAGCUAAUGGAAUAAUAUAGAUGGGUUUAUAUGGGAUGACGGGUUUAGAUCGAUAUUAAUAAAGAACAGUUUAUUACGGAUGAAAUCCUAAAAUUAACAAUCAAAAUACAAUUAUACAACAUUAAACACAAAACAAAAUAUACAAUAUUAACAAAACAAAUAUAACUUGAAAUUUAAAAAAAUUAGUUAUAAAAAAAUCGACCCGCGGUAUACUGCGGAGUAAAAUAUUCAAAAUUUUAAAAUCUACCAUACAUCGUUACUUAAAAAAAUGUAUGUUUUCGAAUCUAUACUUCAAAAAUUGAAACCUAAACAAUAGUAAUCAUACACUAAAUAAUAUAUAGAUAAAUAUCUACAUUUAAAAAUACAAAUUAAUAUGAUAUAUUUUCAGUUAAUCUUUAAAAAAAUAACAUUACAUUUAAAAAAAAUAUAUAUAGCCCCGCGGUGUACCGCGGGUUAAAUUCUAGUUUUAUAUACAUUUUUGGAUGACAAUUAGUAAAAAAAUCCUGAAGUUGAGAAGUAUUUACAAUGGCAUGCCAUUAGCAUUAAUUAUUUAGAUUUAUUUUAUUUAAGUAAAGAUUUUUAAAUGAAAUUCAUUUCUCAUAUAUUUAGCAAAAGUUUCUACAAAAUCUUUCCUUAUCUAUUUAAAUAAAGAUUUUGAAAUCAAAUAUGUUCUCAACAAUUUACCAAAAAUCUCUACACAAUCUUUUUAAAAAUCUCGACUUAGUUAACUUCUGAUUUUUAUCUGCAAAAAAAAAAAAUUAAUAGCAAUGAGUGAUGUAAAAAUCGGGAAUGUUGAUAUUACAAUUUCUUCUACUUCUUUUUUUUUCAUAUAAUAAAAAUUAUUUUUAGGGAUACUUUCUCAAAACCUCUAAAUAAAACAAAAGGUUUCAAAAGAUAGCUUCUCUUUCAAAACACGCAAACCCGCAACUCUCUACGGGCUUAUCCGCAUGAACCUGCGACCCGUAGUGGAUAAAAAUAUUAUUCAAAAAAAAUAACAAAUGAUGUUUAAUUUUACGGGACGGGGUUAUAUGGUGCAACGGGUUUAGAUCGAUAUUAAUAUUAAACAAUAUAUUAUGGAUAAAAUCUUAGAAUUAAAAAUCAAAAUUUAAUUAUAAAAUCAGAAACACUAAACAAAAUAAACAAUAUUAACAAAACAAAUACAACUUAAAAUUUUGCAAAAUAAUUUUUUAGUUGUAAAAAAUCGACCCGCGGUGUACCGCGGGGUAAAAUCUAGAUUUGGAAGUUUAAGGAAGAAAAAUCUUUUUUUUAAAAUAAUAGCUCCGCGGUGUACCGCAAGAAAAAUCUUUCUCUUAAACUGAGGCAAGAAGAAGAAGAAAGCCAAAUGUUGUUUAAGUGUAUAUAACUAUAUAUAGAUAUACCAUUUAAACCUAAAACACAAUUAAUAUACUCAAAACUAUUAAUAUAGAUAUAUGGAUGGUACAUUUAUAAAAUAGGUCGAAAUAUUAUAUUAUACUCUCUAUUAAUAAACAAAACUAAUUAUAUUUAGAUUUUUUAAAAAAAAAUUAUAGCCCCGCGGUGUACCGCGGGUUCAAAUCUAGUUUUAAAAUUAAAAUUCAGUAUGAUUUUAUGAUUAAUAAAACAUAUUUAUGUCAAACAAUGUUGCUUACCAAAAAAAAACAAUGUUGCUUACCAAAAAAAAAAAAUGUUGGUGUUGGAUCCCGAAAACGAGGAUCUUCGACCCGGGAAACAUUCGCACUUCGUUAAAGUGCAAUUUGCUAGAUACAUCGUCAAAAUCAGAAGUCUCGGAUUAGAUAAGAAUAAGGGAAACGACCCGAUCGCAAAGCCGAAGUUAAAAAGAAAAUGAAGUAAAUUAGGUCAAAGAAGAUAGAAUUAAAGGUUUAAACCCCAAACUUUCCUAUUUAUUUAUAAUUUAUAGUUGUCCAGAUCCACAAAUAAUAAUAACAAUAAUCUAUUUGUAAUUUUUGUUUUUUCUUUAUUAAAGAUACACUAUUUUAAAAUAUAUUUACAUAAAGAAUUACUUUUCAAAAACAAUUACGAAAACUUUCAAAUUUAUAAACAUAAGCAUAUAUCUCUCAAACAUACAAAAAAAAAAAAAAAAAACUAGUCUGUGAUAACAAAAAAAUACUCUACAUUUGUGAGUCUAUGAAUUCAGUAGAGUUAUUUUUCCACUUCUGUUUUAUCAGUCAGAAACUAAGAUAAUUAAUUAAAAAUGAUGAAUUAUUAGAGUACACGUGUAAUAAAAAAUAGCAAACCUAAUUUAGUAAGCAUUUACUCAAAAAAUGUCGAAUAAUAUUCUUGCCUUGAUUAAGAUUUUCUUGUAAUGCAGCAUCCUUAAAACUUUCUACAAAACUUAUGAUCUUGUUUGUUAGUUGGAAUGGACUAAAAGAUGAUGUUCAAGGAUAUAAUAAAAAGGUGUAAUCGUUUCAACGUGACAUAAUAUAUAUGUUUUUACUUCCACAAAUUGUAUUUUUCUUUUACAAUUAUGUAUAUAUACAAUUUGACCACAUACAAAUUAUUAAUAGUUAUUGAUUGAUUUUUUCUGUGUUGAUUUUAGGUUUGGAUUAAUUGUUUAAAUGAUAUAGAAGAUUCUAUAUUUUUUCGGCAAAAGUUAUAUAUAUAUAUAUAUAUAUAUAUAUAUAUAUAUAUAUAAUAUAAUGCUUUAGUUGCUUCAUUGUCUUUAGAGUUUUAUGAUUUGAUUUGUCAUUGCACUUGUGAAUAUUUUGUUUGGUUUGUGAUGAUUGUAGUUGUUGUUUUAAAAAAAUGGAUAAUAUGUUACAAAUGUGAGUGAUAAAAACAAUUUGAAUGAUCAAAAUAUGGUUUAUGUAAUUGAAGAAUGUGGUCUUCUAGAAAGUACAAAUAAACGACAUAUAUAAUUUUCUAUGUAAAGUUUCUAAGCGUUGGAAAAACUUUACAAAAAUAAGAGAAAGAUAAUUCGAUGAUAAAAAUAAUAUUAGAUGCGUAUUGUAAAUGAAAUUAUUUAUAUGUAUACAUAGAAAUAGAGUUCAACUUUUCUUCAUCAUAUAUAUAAGAACUUUUACAUAAAAACAUCUCUUGAAUUAAAACUCGAAACCGGAUGUGUUAGUGUUUCAAGAAAUGAUAGCAAUAUCAAUAUAAGAAUAUAAUCUUUUAUAUCCAUUUGUUGAGUUAAAAUGAUUUGUUUAUUGAGUAAAACACUUUUGUUUUCAAAAUUAAGAUAUGUGAAGACCUACAACACGGUUCAUGUGAUUGUUAGAAAAUCACAAAAAAAUGAUAAAAUGUAAAACACUAGUAUUUUAGUUUUCGUUUUUUAAUGCAUGAACUAAUGCCAUCCCCAAAAGAUUAUAUCAUGAACUAAGGUGGUGUUAUUCAAUGAUGGAUUUUAAUAGAAUUGAAAUCCAACACUAAUCCAGUGUUAUUAACCUAAUGAUUCUAAAUCUAACUCUAAUAGAUUUUAAAGUUUGGUGUUAUUCAACUAAGAUUUAAAAUGCUUCAUUAAAAUCCAGUGUUAUUCAAAACUAAAAGACUUGUAAAAUCUUUGUAUAUCAAAUCAUUUGAAAUGAAACAUCUUUGGAUUUCAUGAGUAAAUAAUUAGAAUCAUAAUCCUAGAUAUACUGCAGAGAUUUUGAACUCCACACAAACAGAUUGUUAAAAACAAUAUCAGAAAUCAAAUCUAAACCUUUAAGAAUUGACUUUAACUCCAUGAAUGAAUAACACCCCCUAAAUGACUGGACUGUCGGAUAGAUUUAAGUUUAUAAAAUUUAUAAUUAUUGUGGAAGUUAUUUUUCUGUUGACAACAAAAUCGGACAUCGAUGUUUCAGUAUUGUUUAGAUAGUACAAAUUUAAAAAUAUUUCUUCAGCAUAAAUUAUGAAUAUAAACAUAUGAAAUGAGAAAAGUUCAAAAGCUAGCAAACACAUCAUCUCAAAAAGAUGAGAAAGAUAAAAAAAGGAAUUGAAGUACAAACGAUUUUGAGCGUUUUUCACCUAUAUUUUGCAUUUCGUUCAUCUAAAUCUUCUACGCUUUUAAAAGAUGUGAUCAUACAUAUAAUGAUUGAUUUCCACAGACGAAACUCAAAGUCCAUUACUAAAUUUGAAAGAAAAACAUAAUCUAACAAAGGAUAUUGUUCAAGGGCUUGGUGUAUAUUCAUAGCUACGCAAACCCCGUAAAUAAUACACCGUGAUUGAAAUAUGAGCAAUACCUUAGCAAAAAUCCAAACACUUUAGAAAAUAAUAAGAUAAAAACUGAAAUGAACAUAGGAGUUGAGAAACAACCAAAACAACAACAUACUAUUAUUUCUAAAAGCUGAACACAUUUAUUUUGAGUAAGUUUUUAAAAUUAAAAAGAUAUUGCUAAUUUUAAUUUGCAUGUUUUUCUUAUAAAGUGAUUACAUAUUUGAAGGAUAUGUGAUGCAAAUUAUAUGUUUGAAAUAUUAAAUAUUUAUUAGUUUUAAAAUCAUGGUACUUAAGAUUAUUACCCGAAAGAUAAAUUUAUAUUGUUGUAAUUCAUAUUGUAACAAGGUAAAAUUAACAAACUUUGAAAGAAAUUAUUUCUAGUAAAAAAUACUUACAAAAUUUACAAAUGUUUUGAUAUUUUGUAACAAUUUUAGAAGCAUUGUAAAUUUUUAACUUAUAAAUUGUAACUUCAUUGAUUAGUUAUUAAUGGAAGAAAAAAUGUUCAAAUGCAUUCUAUAUUAUUUUAUUGUGCGUUUACGAAUAGAUUAACGAUAUAUAAAUUCAAAACUUGUUGUCUUAAUGUUUGAAAGCAUACAAUCAAAAAAAUUCAAACCAUAGAGACCAAAUUAUUAUUAUGCAAGAAUCAUCUCCGAUAAAACACAUUCAUCAUCAUCAAUUGAACAAUCUAAUAUUAUAAACUAUGUCGCUUUAAUUUAAAAAAACUUUUAAUUAUGAAAUAUAAACUGUGCAACUUUAUCACAAUAAUUCAAUAAUGGAAGAGUACAAGCAACAGAGUGGUAAACACAUUUACAAAGUAUAUGUGUGUUAAAGAAAUGAGAUCUCAAAAGAAUAUUUGUUAAAGUUAUUUGCGAAAUAAUUUUAAUUAAAAAUUCGUAAAUAUUCUAAUUUUUCUUUAAUAAUAACUAUAAAUUUUUUAUUUAAUUAUCAAAAUCAAAUACCAACAAACAAAGAGAACUACCAAUAGUUGGUGGAAAAUUUUUAUAUUUGUCUAAUGUAUGUUUUGACAUUGAAUAUGUGAUAAUUCAACUUAUGUAUUGAUUUAUCAAAAAUAAAAUGAAUGUAUAUAUUACAGAUAUUUUGAUAUCUCAAGUUUAUUCUCUAAAUGAUUUGUUGUUUAAAAAGAAUGGUCACGUAAAAAUAAGAUAUAUGGAUAAUGAAUGUUAAUAAAAAAUUUAACUAGUUGGUAAAAUAAGAAACAAAACUUUGUUUCAUGGAACGUGAAAGCAAAAAUGUACACGUGAGUUUUUCUAGAUUAAGAACUUACUAUCUCAAAUUGUUAUGUGAGAAAAAUAUUUGGUAUGGUACAUAAUAAACUAAGUACGUGGAUGUUGACAUCUAUAUUAUCAAAAGAUAAUAAAAUAUAGACUAAGUUAUUUUUUAACAUCUUGCUUUACUUUAUCAAAAUUGAAACAAAGAUUACAUAGUUAUUUCUUAGAGUCGAUGCCACAAAUUUGGAGUCGAAAAAGUUACUCAUGCAAGAUAAUGUAACAUGUAAAUAGAAUGAACAUUUGAACGAAUAAAUGAAUUUAUAGCUGCGUGGAACAAAUGUUAUCGCUUGAUGUUAAAUCAUGUAAGAGUUGUUGUUACAAAUAUGAAAUAUAAGCAUGUGAAAGAUAAGUUACCAAAAAAAAAAAGCAUGUGAAAGGUUCAAGCAGAACUCAAAAGAUUGCUUUGAAGAAUUUUUUGUUGCUGUAAUUUCCAAAAGUAAGUUGACUGUGAGUUUAAUCUUGAAGUUUAAGACCGUAUUGAUAAUACCAUGAGUUGGUGAUUAACAUUUUUCCCCAAAACGGACUGAAAAAGAAGCAACCUCUUUGGUCGGUAAUGACUUAAGUUACCUUCUUUUAUAUUUUACGAUCGGGUGUAGUGAUCUAAUGCUAUGAAUAUAUUAGUCAAGUGAAUUUCAUGUGCUUCACCAAUUUUAAAUUUCAUGUAUAUCUUUUUUCCUUUUGUUGUAUAACUUUUGUUUCACCAUUUUGCUUUUGACUAAUAUAAAAGUUAAUAUCUUUUGUAUUUUGCUUCGCCAUUUUUAAAACGACUAUUAUUGUAUCGCAUGUGCCAAAGAAGUCGUAAGAAGUGGUGACUACUCUUGGUCCUUUGCUCUGAAAAUUUCCGCCUAUUUUCGUUUACUCCCCGCUUAGUUGUUAGGUCCACUCUAUCCAACUAUCCGCCUCGAUUAAUAACUAAUUCUUUGAAGAAAUCAGUCACCCAAUUAAGCUCUGUCUAAUCUGAUUACUCUCCACCUAAUCUUUCUUACUCCGAUUAUUUUUAUAUUGCAAGUAUAAAACACCUUUACUUUUUGUUAUUCAGACAUUUAAAUUGAGAGUUUGUGAUGUUUUACAAUAACUUAUGUUCAAAAUUGUGAUAAAAAUCAUAAAAUUUUGUCGUAAAAAUAUAUUUUUAUUGUGUUUAUAGUAAUUUUGAAAAUAAUAUUAUUUAAAAUUUUAAUUAUAAUGGAUUAAUAUAUAUUUAACACAUUAAAAUAACCUUAAAACUAGUUUUCGAUUAACCUCUAAUUUUUAUCUAAUUUUUUGAUUAAUCGCUAAACCCAUACCGAAUGUCCAACUAGCGCUAGCGACUUUUCGAACAAGAAGUCUUGGUUUUAUGUACUGACCUCUUUCGUUGAAAAAUUGGGUGUAUUUUUCACUUUCUAUUAAUCAAUGUUGAUUUCUAAAAUACUUUGAAAGUUUUGGAUUUCAUUUCAAUUUCCUCAUUUUAUAAUCAUUUGUUCUUUUCUUAUCUCCUUCCAUAUUGAUCCACUUCCCUCCUCUGAAUUUUAAGACAAAAUAGAUUUGUAAACUUCUGGGCUCUCUUCGUUUGACCCACAUUUUCUCGGGAAAAAUUCGUCUGAUUUCUCCGAUCGUCUCUUCAUUGAUCGGAAAACCAACCACGACCCAUUAUUCCUCGCCUGUUUCUGGCGCAAACCCUUGUAUCAAUUUUGGAUUUUGGUGAGAAAAAUUUAGGGAUCUGAAGAAAAAGAACACGAUGAUGACGAGUAUGGAAGGGAUGGUGGAGAAAGGAGUAUUGGAUGAUAUUAUAAGAAGAUUGUUAGAAGGUAAAGGAGGCAAACAGGUUCAGCUUUCCGAGAGCGAGAUUCGUCAACUCUGCUUUAACGCUCGUCAAAUCUUCCUCUCUCAACCUAAUCUUCUCGAUCUCCAUGCCCCAAUUCGUAUCUGUGGUAAAAUCUCAUGAUCGAAUUGAAUACUUGUGUUUGAAAUGGGAAAAUUAGGGUUUCGACGUGAAUUUGAGCAUUUGUGUAUUGUAAUCUCACAGGUGAAAUUGUAAAGUUAGGGUUUUUUUAUUGUGUGGUAAUGUUUUUUCUUUUUUGGGGAUUCUCAGGUGAUAUCCAUGGCCAGUAUCAAGAUCUUUUGAGGUUAUUUGAAUACGGAGGCUAUCCUCCUUCAGCAAACUAUCUAUUCCUUGGUGAUUACGUUGACAGAGGCAAGCAAAGUCUUGAGACCAUAUGUUUGCUUCUUGCUUACAAGAUUCGGUAUCCGUCGAAGAUAUAUCUGUUGAGAGGGAACCAUGAGGAUGCUAAGAUCAAUAGGAUUUACGGGUUUUAUGACGAGUGCAAACGGAGAUUUAAUGUACGACUUUGGAAGGUAUUUACUGAUUGCUUCAACUGUUUACCCGUAGCUGCACUCAUUGACGAGAAGAUACUGUGUAUGCACGGUGGGUUGUCACCAGAUUUGGACAAUUUGAAUCAGAUUCGAGAGAUUCAACGGCCUACAGAGAUUCCAGACAGUGGUCUUCUUUGUGAUUUACUUUGGUCAGAUCCUGAUCAGAAGAUUGAAGGAUGGGCUGAUAGUGAUCGAGGUAUCUCUUGCACUUUUGGAGCCGAUAAAGUCGCUGAGUUCUUGGAUAAGAAUGAUCUUGACCUCAUUUGCCGAGGCCAUCAGGUAAAACAAACAAGACCUCCACGAAAUCAAAGAUUCGAAAAAUUGAAACCUGUGAAAUUGUACUUUACUAAAAAUAUGACUUGAGAUUAGCUUUUGUCCAUAAAGCUAGAGACCUCAUGAAUUCUUACCAUAUUGCACAUGUGUGAUGGUUUUGUGUUGCAGGUAGUAGAAGACGGGUAUGAGUUUUUCGCAAAACGGAGAUUAGUCACGAUAUUCUCAGCUCCAAACUAUGGUGGGGAGUUUGACAACGCUGGUGCAUUAUUGAGCGUGGACGAGUCUCUUGUUUGCUCCUUUGAGAUUAUGAAACCCGCCCCAGCUUCAAGCAGUCAUCCUCUCAAGAAGGUUCAUUUCUACCACAGAUAUAUAGAUUUAAGCCCAUCUUAUUACACGAUUCUUCAGCUAGAACAAACUGAAACUUGAAACUUUCUGAAAAGGAUAAUAAACCUUAUUGGACUUUUGCAACAGAACCGUUAGUCCAUAGGUUUUAAUGUGAGAACUUUGUAUGGAAUUCAAAGUCCACAUUCUUAAGCAGUGGGAGCAUUAUUGCAAUUUUGUUAGGCCACAAAGAGUUACGUUCCUUCUCGCAUGUUUCCGCAAACUUUUAACACCUAUUUUCUCUACAUUUCUCUUUAUCAGGUACCGAAAAUGGGGAAGUCUUGAAUUUCUAGUUCUCUCUCUCUCUCUGAAGAUAACGGUUCCACUUCCACAGCUCAAGCUAGGCAAAAGAUUCAGACUGUCUUUACAACUGUGUCUGUGUCUCCAGUUAUGUGUUGAAUGCAAUGAAGAACCCAAAGGGUACUUAGUCUGUAAAAAACCAAAAAAGUGAGAAAACAAAAAAACACUUCGUUUUCUUUGUAUAGAUGCAGAAUGAUCUGUCUUCUGCUUCUGGGGAUUUUAUCUCCUUAUUAGUCUCUUUUCUCUCUUCUUUUAGCCCUUUUAGUUUAAUUCAUAGUGCCACUUUAGAUUUUAUUUCUUGGUUAUUUUUUUUCCUUGUUGUACAAACCCUUUUGCAUUUCUUCAUUUUCAUUUGUAAUCUGUUGCCAAGGUUUUAUUUACUUGUCUCUAAUUUUAUCAGUAUAAAAAGACAGAACAAUACAACACAGUUCUUGUCGCAUUUGGCAAAAUUUCCACUUGAGACAAGCCUUUACUUUUGGUAACAGUUAAUUCAUGGUCUUUUACAAACUACUGCUUUAAAAUAUCAUUCGAUAAGCUUAAUCAGAGCUUGUUCUUCUAUUUAUAGCUGCACUGUAUGAAUUCCCAUUCCCGUUCCCUCCCAAUCUUCUAGAGGUCCUCUGAAUCUCAGCUAGCCGCUGCUUCUGAUUACGGUUAUUAGAUUGCCUGCAGUACCUAAAGCAAGUGUUAAUAUGGUGAAGUGUCACUUAGAGGUUUACUUAAAGAGAGAGGAGAGAAGAGAGAGGAGAGAAGAGAGAAAGGUGAGACCUGAUCAAGAACAUUCCUGCUACAAGAAACGACAUUCCCAAAGAAAUCUUUUGAAUCGUUGUCAUUUCACGAACCCAUUGGAGAAGAUCUUUAAAACAUGACAAAGUCUCAGUCUUUAAAGGCGUCUCCUUUCGAGAGUCUCUUGACCAUGAUUCCACUACUGAUUCUAGACUUGCUUUGCUUCCGUAGCAUGGUUUUUCUCUAGAAUCAUGAUUUGUUUGAACAGCAAAACCAGCUGCUUCACAGAAUGCUGUGCCAUUGGAUUCCCAAUUUGAGGCCUUAACGCAGACGAUGUCGUCGUUUACUCCGCAAGGGCCAAUCACCUAAGCAGAUACUGAAACCAUUAGCUUCCAAAAAUCUACAGAAGAAAAAGUCCUACCAUUUGUAUAUAACAAUCUUCCAAACACUGAGAAGUUUCUUACCCGUGUAAGUGCAUUACUGGCAAAGUAUGCAUCUUUGCAGGCUUCAAAGACUCUGUCACAAAACGAGGCGCAAAUACGAGGAGGACCUGGUUGAAUUCCAACAUUUGGGUUACAGAUUGAACACUCCAAUAACUCAAACAACUCCAAGCACUCUUGACUAGCUUCUCCAUAAGUAGCCAAGUUUCUGACAGCUACGAAAGCCGGGUUUGUCUGAACAGCAGUACAACAAGUCCUUUUACGAAACACCCGGCACAGAGUAAGAUCCUUGGAUCCUCUACCAACAGAUUUAGGAGGCUUUCCUUCUGAUUCAUAAGGCGGAAACCGCCCUCCUUUAGAAACACAUACUCCUUUCAAAUCUGGUUUCACUGCACCUGAAAACAUUGUUCUACAACCAUUCUUAAGCAAGUACAACCCCCAAAACCAGGCACUUCACUCAAAUUGAACAGUUCUUAAUAAGUUUCUAUUGCACAUUUUUCAUCUCUUUUCAUGAUAGAACAAUCCCAGAAUGAACCAACAAUUCAAUUUCUAAUCAAUUUUCUUUGCAUCAAACGAGUCAAGAUUAUCCAAAUGACAAAAACAUUACGAAAGAUUGAAACUUUCGAUUACAAAAAUCAAUAUCUUCGGUACCCAUUUCUAAAAUCUAACCAACAGAUCAAAUGGAAAUGUGACAACAAAAGAAGAACCCUGAGAUUUAAUACUAACCGGACGAUAAGGAGAUCAGGAGAUGAAGAAACAAAAUCGGACUCUGAAUCAAAAACACCCUCUUCGUUGAACAUCUUCCCAUCUUUCUCUUCACUGAUCUUAGCUUAAAGCAAAAACAGACAAAAGACAAAGACGAGUACUCGUGACUAAAGGUUCAACAUUUACAAGUCUUGCCCGAGAGGAAGAGUAUUACGGGUCGACCCGAAUACCCAAUUUCACAGACUCCGUCAAAUUUGGUUUUAGAACAAAAGAAUCUCUCUUUUAUCGUCACUCUGGGACCCGUUGGAAUAAUCUUAUGAAGAAAACACCAUUAGUCACAUAAUAAUUAAAUUUAUAUAAUCUAUUUUACUUCAAUAUAGUCAAAGCUUAUAACAUUCAUUAUAUUGUGAACUUUUUUUCCUCCUUAAGAAGAGAUAUGGAUUAAAAAGCAAGGCUUUAAAUGUGUCACCAAUAAUCUGUCCGAUUAACCGGAAAAAGAAACGACAAUGUUGACAGUUAACAAGAUGAAAUUGAUUCGGAUGAUUGAAUAAUCUUCAAAGCAACUUCACGCCAGCUUCUCUUACAGAAUCGAUAACAGCCUUGACUUUACCAUGAUACCUCUGUUCUCUCUUCAUCUGAAUAGUAACAGCGGGAAUAUCUUUCAUCAAGAGUCUUUCUCCAAGAAUUUUACCAAUCUUUGCAGCAGCAGCAACGUCGCGCGUGAUGUCCAUGGUUUCCCUCAAUGCUUUCUCCUGUGAGCUCGCUGAGCAAGCCACUGUAGCUGUUGGUGAGUGGAUGACUUGUGCGUGAACAAACUUGUUUGUGAAAUGCAUUUUCAGCACGUAAGGUUUGAGGUAGUCGAAGAGACGUGGUGGUCUCACUGCCGGUGGAAUCACCAUCUGAGAAACAAAGCAUAAAACACUUUAACAGAGAAUCUAAUCAAACAUUGUAAAGGGAACUGAGAAAAAACUCUCAACUUUCACUACACAUCAAUAGCCCAUGACCAAGAUUCAAACUUUGAAUCCGUAAAUGAUGUAAUCGGAAUUGAAUUACGUUGAAUACAGAAAGAUCACAUAAGUAGAGACAACUCCAAUGAAUAAUAUAACAUAAUAUCAAACAAUGACCACCCUAUCUAAAGCCAAAUCUUUGCCAGUACAAUAAUGUGACACUCCUGGUUUGCUAAAACCCGUCUCUUUGUUGAACCAAAACCAAACCUAUAAAAAUCAAGAUUCUAAUCAAACCAAACAGCAUUUGACUUCUUUCAGACAUUUCAUCAAACACUUGGUGGACAUCAAUUUGUGCUUAAACCACAAACAUAUACUCAAAUAUCAGAGUAUCUGCAUUUCAAGCUAGAAUGGAUUCUAUCUAAUUUCGUCAAUUAAUUUCCAUGAAAACAAAGAUUAAACUAAGUAAAGAAGAUAAACUAAAAUCUCUUAAUUUUCAUCUCUCAACGGAUUAAAUACAAAAGUUUGAUAACAAGAAAAACUCAUUCUGUGGUACCUGAAGCUGCCGAGGAAAAUCUUGGAAGAUGGAAACUGUAUGAAGCGAUCUCUUGAUCUUUGAAAGAGAGAAGAAGAAGAAGAAGAUGCGUUUAGGGUUUUUUUUUUUUGGCUUUGUGAUUCAGGUCAAUUUCUGGUAAUAAUGAAUAACAGAAGUGGCCUUGAUUUAUUUGUUUAUUCGAAAUAAACCCCUAAGAGUUUCAGAUUUUUUGAAAAACCCACCAAAUACAUUUGUUAAUGACUUAAUGGGUAAGUUUGAAAAUUUAAUGGGCCGACAAAGCCGAAAUUAGGCAUGACCCAACAUUGAAUCUUGAAGAACAAAUUCAAUUUAUUUUGUAUGAAAGCUAACGGACAUUUUUUUUUUUUUUGGAUCAAAGCUAACGGACAAUUUUAAAAGUGCGUUUUUCAACCUAAACAAACGAUGAGUGCUAAUUUAUAUCUAAACGUUUAAAAAUUUCAAAUAACCUACCUGAACUUUUGAUGAAGUGCGUACGAAUCAAUGUUAACAGAUGUUAGUCAACUGUAACGGUUGUUGACUCAGCUGCCACAUAUAUAUCGACGUGGCAUGUUUUUCAAGUAAAACGACGUCGUUUUAUGUUUUUAGAUUCAAAAUUUUUUAAAAAUUUGAAAAACCGAGAUUCAAACUUGUGAACCCUUUACAUUUUUAACCCAGUCAUUGCCACAUUUUUUACAAUUUAUUUUGGUACCAAUUCAAGUCUAACUAUUUAUAUACAUAAAUAAAUCGCGGGAUUGGAUUUAAUAAAACGACUUCGCUUUCAAUUGGGGGAAUAAUCAAAUUUAGGGAUUUCUUGUUUGCUUUCAUUUUCUUCUUCUUCAUAUGAGAACUCAAACGAAGAAGGAGAUAAUUGAGGAGAAAACAAAUUUUGAAUCCAAAAACGCUAAACGACGUCGUUUUACUUGAAGAACAUGCCACGUCGAUAUACAAGUGUCAGCUGAGCCAGCAACCGUUACAGUUGACUAACAUCUGUUAACAUUGACUCGUAAUUACGCACUUCAUCAAGAGUUAGGUUAUUUGAAAUUGUUAAGCGUUAAUUUAGGUAUAAAUUAGCACUCAUCGUUUGUUCAAGUUGAAAAACGCACUUUUAAAAUUGUCUGGGUUGAAAAAAGCUCUUUUCUCGUCUAAACCGUCAAGAAUCAAGUUGAGACCGGUUCAUACCAAGACAAAAAAAGUUAUAAAAAAAAAAGAUUGUAGUCUUAUUUAUGAAACUUUUCAUAUUUAAUCAAGUUACAAUCCCAUCGAAAUUUAAAUUCAGGAUUCAACCACGGCUUCCUGAUCGAAAAUUAUAGAUGAAACUUGACAAUCUAUAACCAUAUAAUAACUUUGAAAUCCAAAACGGUAUGGCAGUUAAUUUUUUAAGAAGUUCGAAAAUGAGCUUAAACGAAAUCUGUUAUAGAUUAAUAACCAAACAAUAUGUGUAGUUCAGGCAAAACGCUAAUUUUUUUAUUUGAAUAACCAUAGUAUUUUGCUUUCUGGUAAAAUGUUACAAGUUUUAACUAAUUCUAAAAGUUUGUGUUUUUGUUGGCCAAAAAAGUUAGUUUGGUCUCUCCCUUUCUCCGGUUACAAUAGUAACACACAUCAUUUCCACCAUGCAUAACAAGUGUAAUGCAAUGCUUCAGUUGGGCUUUAAGCUUGGAUUUUCACUUAUUCAGUGCUCGACUAACUAAGGUUUAAAUCAAGAUUUGGGCUCUGUUUUCUUUUCUUUAUGCAGGUUUCCUUUGUUCUUGAACUUUAAUCCUCCUAGCAUUAUCUGCUAGUCCUCUUUCUUAUCUUCUCGGUUGUAAUAGUUUCGUCUUCCUUCUUUGUAUACUUUCUCUUUAAGUUUAAGAAAGCCUUUUAACAAAAAAAAAAAAAAAAAAGUUAGUUUGUAUAGUUUAGUGGUGAUAUUAUUUGUUCAUUUAUGAAAGUUUGUGUAGUUAUGACUCUUAUCUAUUUUUGAUGUGGGUUCUGAUUUAAUGUUACAACUAAAAAAAAUUAACAAAAAUAUCGUAUGGUGUAAAAUAUUUAAGGUGUAAAAUAUUUAAGGUGUAAAAUAUUUUUCGAAUUGAUGAGUCUGUUAGGUUAUGUAAAUUUUAGCUGAUGUUUUUUACAAUAUGUAAUUUGUAAACAAUAUCCUUGUUUCUUUCUUAGAUGAACCUGAUAAAAGUUACUUUAUUUUUCUUUUGUCAAUAAUAUUAAAUUAAUUGAAUGGCAGAAAACUGUGGAAGCCCCCUUGGCCCAUUGGUUGAACAAGGGUUAAUUAAUGCUUCUACAACCAGAGGUUUGGGGUUCGAGUCUCAGAUAAUGCGAUUUAUUAAUAAAUUUGCAGAUUAUUGGAGGCAAGUGUGCAGGAGAUCUCCAGCUAUGUACAAUUAUAGCCGUUCGCCAGGAUUCUACGCAUAUCGGAAGUGUCCAUCAAGAGCAUAAAGAAGGAGGUGAAGAAGGUGAAGAAGGUGUCGUCUGUCGUGGAUCUAAUAAGGGUCGGAAGGAAUUGUCCGUUGUAGAAUCGUCUAUGUAACAGUUCUCAUAAUUUGCAAUAAAUAAUAAAUUCAGACGUUAAAAAAAAAAGAAUGGCAGAAAACCAAACAAGGAGAACAUUACUUAUAUAAAAAAAAACGUAUUACAAUUAUAUACGAGCAUUCUGUGCAAAUUUAUCCUUUUUAAAAGUAGCUCUACAAGAAACAAAAUGAUAAAACCCCACAAAAAAAAAAACUUCUUAACUCUUCUCUAAUUUUAGAGAUUUACUUUCAUCAUAAAUUUCAUAAUCUUUAAUGGGUAAUACAUUUGUUUUUGCAAAAUCAAAAACGAAAAACCAUUCCAAAACAUGUAGCCAUUCAAGGUGACUUCGUUUAGUUAUUGAUCUAAUUAAACACUUACAACAUAGUAUACAUUACAACAUAGUCACAUACAACAAAACAAAUUUUACAAUAACACUUUACCUAAUUAUCGCAUAUAAUCAGUAUAUUGGAAGGCCCACAUAUCGUAAGGACUCAGACCCAAAAUCAAACAGAUAACAUUUUUUUUCCUUCACAAAACGUUUUUUUUCAUCGUAGGACUUCACAAAUUGUACCUCAAGAAUUUUUUGGCUGUCUCCAUAAGUACAUGACAACAUAGCUUACGUAACUUAUUUUUAUUUUUGUGUGUGUUUGUUUGUUUCCCUUCGUCAUAUAAUCACUUUAUUCAUACUUUAUUAAACUGUUACUGUUACUGAGCACAGAGACAUAUGUCAGUGAGUGAAAGAGAGAAAGUCCCCCGCUUUCUAAGGCAACUUUGCCUCAACAAACUUUCUUCUUUUACCCUACACAUUUACACGCAUGCAUACAUUUUUUGUAACUAUGACGUAACCAAAUCGUUUAUUCAACUUUUGUUUUAUAUUAUUUUAUUACACUCUCCUCAAGUUACUUCUUUUUCAAACAUAUAUCAAGGUUUCUUAUCCAUUUAUACAUCUGAAAUUCUGAAUUUAUUACUUAAAAAAUAAAUAAAUAAAAGCAUAUUUUGUUUGUCAGAGUUAACAACAGUCUUGAAACUUGAAUAUUCAGAUAUCAUGUAAAGUAAAAUAGUUCUAUUAUAUUUCACAUUAACAGAAACUAAUAGUUUCUAUUAAAACCGUUACAGUUAUUCGGGAGCAAGUUCCUAGUAAAAUAACUCUAAGAUAUAUCUUCAACUUUGAGAAAGUUUUUUUUUUUUUUUUGUUAAAAACUUUGAGAAAGUUCAUAGUAGAUUGUAGAAUAACUAUAAGAAAAAUCUUUAACAAAUAGAUAGUAUUAUAAAUGACUAUAUCGACGCAUUACUAUAUCACAUGUCUUUAAUUAUAGUCGUGUGCAUUAUUGAAGAAAAAAAAAAAAAAAAAAAGUCGUGUGCAUUAUUAUUACGUACCACUACCAACUCACAAAAAGUGGAGUACCAGCCAUCAAUGUUUACGCAUGAAGUAGCCCAAUAAAAUCUGAACUUAGAACGCUUUUGUACAUUCUCUUCUCUCCAUGGACGAUUGCAUACUCGGGGAGGGGGAGAGACACGUGUUGGAGGAGUAGAACACGUGCGAAAAUAUGAUCAUCAUGUACCGAUCGAUCUCAUUUGUGUUCGCACGUGCCCUGCUUCUCCAUCAAGUGUUACUCACCCAUUACAUAUCUCUUGCAUCAUCAAACUGCAUAUAAUCUCCAUGACCAUGCAUAUAUUUUAUACAUAGAGAGUGAGAGAGAGAGAGGAAGAUUUGUAUGUGUGUGUAGAAGAAGAAGAGAGUUAAGAAUUAAAAUAUACAACUUAGAGUGAGGAGGCAAGAACUUCUGCUUGCUCAUUCACGUACAUUUAUAGUGGGUUUCAAGUGUUUGAUAAAAUGAGGCAAAAGUCUUAGUAUUAAAAAUAAAUCACGAAAAUACAAAAAGUAUUAGCUUGAAGAUAGAUGGGAGUGGAAUUAAAGUGAUUGAGUCUUGAAGUGGGAUUUCUUUAAAUGUAGAUAAGAAGUAAAAUGGCAAUCAUAUCACACCAAGUCUUUCCAUUACUUUAAAUGAUUCUUUUAAAAAUAAUUAUUUUUUCAGAAAUGUAGUAGACACAAGACGCAUGUGUACAUAGCUAGACCUCGCAGUUAAUGAUAUAAUUUAUAUAUUUCGCAUUAUUUCCAACCCUCCCGACGUAAUUUGAUUAUAGAAAUAGUGAAAUAGACCAACUAAUUUUGGUUGGUAGAUAAUUAAAAAUUGAUUAUGCAUAAAGAUACAGAAUUGACCUUUGACCAGGACAGGGGGAUCAGAUAAUUAAUUUACAAUUGGACAAUAUUAAAAUUGGGUAGCUUGUAAGAAUAGUAAUAAUAUUUUAAAACAUUCCAUAUAAAUAAUGAAAUAGUUUACUACGCAAUGUAUAUGUAAUAGAGACAGACAGUAAAGAUUGGUGAUGAGUUUGAGUCAGUUUAUGUCUACUUCCUGCCGCCGAAUCCAAUUUCAAGUUUCACUAUUUUAUCCCAAUUUUUACUUCAUUCUGAUGUCACCAUAUGUAAAAAUAUAAAUGUGCUAACAGAAAAUUAAACAUAUUUUAUCAACCAAGUGUUUAAGAACGUUUUUGCGCAUUAAUUUUACCAUCAUUUGUGUAUCAUGGAUUUUCAAAAUUCCAUAUACAUAUAUGCUUGGUCACCAAAACGAAGAAGCUACAAAAUGCGGUGCCUCUUUUACAUAUGGUUCUUGAAAUAUUUGUAUAAUAUUUAUAUGUUGAACCAAAAAAAAGAAGUAUAAUAUAUAUAUAUAUAUAUUUAUUAAAAUAAUAUAUAGAUACACUUAAAAUGAAAGAAAAUGCUAAAUAUUAUAUAGUAUAUAACAAUAAAUUCUUAAUUUAAGCAUCAAUUAAAUAUUAAAAAAAAUAUAGGGAAAACAUAUACCGUCUAAUCUCCAAAACAAUUUAUUAGUGCCUAGAAAUUUUUAAAAAUAUGUAUUUUUCACUUCGUCAAAUACAAAAUCGCAUUAUUUGAUUUUAAAUAGAAAGUCAUUUUUUUAAAAAGAAAAGAAGAAGAAUGGUGAAGAGAAAUGAAAGAUGAUGAUGAGUUGAUGGAGACAGUGACACAGAGAGGAAUGGGUUGCGUGUUCCUCGCGAGUUUCUUCCUCUCUCUCUUUUAUUUACCCUCAGUUAGCAAAAAAAAAAAGAUCUCACCACCAAAGAUAGAGAGACAGAGACUUUGUGUAUUGCAGAGUUCCGAUGCAAUUCUUCUCGCUGUUUAAUCAUUUCUUAUUCUCCUCUUUGCCCGUUUGUUACUAAACAAGUCUUUAUGAUCUAUGUAUCUUAUAACAUUCACAUAUUUGUAGACUAUAGUCAAUGGGAUGCAAUAAUCUAUGUUCUAACAUUUUUUUAUAUAUAAAAAAUUUAGCAUUUACGAUAUACUAUUAUUUCCAUUUGGUCGAGAUGGAGAACAAUUACCUAUAGCGACCACUGUUAUAGGAAAACCAAAAAAGUGCUAGGAGUUUGUUAGAACUAAUGUUAAUAUAACUAUAGUUAUCUCCAUUCGUCGCUUAAAAUGAAGCAAUGAAAAGUUAUUGGGUAAAUUAAAAGUAAAAUUCAGUUAAAAAAAAUCAUAUUUUGCGUUGGUCAAUUCAAGUUUGAUUGCUACAUGUUUAAAAGUAUAAGCAUCGAAUCUUGGAUAAUAGAUUUUUCAUGAUAUGUGAAAAAGAAAGGGUUGCGCACAAAGAAAUAGAAAAGAUAUUUGUAUUUUUGUAAAGGAGAUUUCAUUUUUACAAGAAAAAAAGAAAAAGAAAAAGUGGAGGGAUUCUGAAGUUCACUGUCACUUACUUCUGACGAAGUGGAAGUGAAUCGUUCCCCCAUGUUUUAUGGGUUUGCAUUUCCCCUCUGACGUCGUUGCUUUUAACACUCUCUCUCUCAUUUCAAUAUUUACAUUUUCAUUUUUAUAACUCACACAUUAUGACAUAGUAGUUAUAUUCAUAUUCGUAAGUAUCGUGAUAAGUUAAAUUAGGAAUGACGUUCGGGAAUUCGGAUCGGUUCCGCUAUGGUUUUAUUCGGUUCCAGUUUUUUAGGUUCUAGAGAUUAGGAUCAAUAUAGGUCAAAGUAAAAUUUUGUUACAGUUCUGGUUCGGAUUCGAUCCUUUGUUUAUGAAGUAUAAGAUCCCUUAUAUUAUUAUUUUUUAUUAAACUUUAAGAGUUUUUGAGUAUUUUUGGAUGUUUUGGGGAUUGAUUAGAGUAUUUUUGGACAUGUGCGGGUAUUUUGAGUAUUUUUUCUGGUUUCUUUUGUUAUUUUGGGUAUUUUAUGUUAUUCGGUCUAAUUUUUUUAAUAUUUUUGGGUAUAUACUAAUUGUACUUCGGAUAUUUUCAGAUACUUAAAAUAUUUUUUUGUUCGGUCUGAUUAUUUCGAUUCUAGAAUUUAUGAUUCAUUUGGAUAUUUAUAAUUUUUCUUCGGUUUUGGUUCCGUUAGUUUGCUGUAUACUAAGCUAAAUAGUAUCGAAAACUAAAUAUCUGUUAAAACAUAAUAUAAAUGUUAAACUAUGAUAAGCAUUUUGAUAUUAGAAAAAUUAUGUUAAUGAAAUUAGAUAAACUUUGGUGAUUUAUUUACCGCCAUAAACUAUGAGGGUACAACAUUUUGUACCACAAUAAUACUACCGAAUGAUUCUAAUUACGUAUCAAAAUCUGAUGAGGUGAUUUUUAAAUCUCAAAAACACUAACUCGAACUUAAUUAAGAAUCAACACAUUGAGAUUAAAAUAAUAUUGGAAAAUGUCUUCUUAUUGAAACUUUGUGAGCUAGAACACAAAAGAUGAAUGAAAAGUAAAGGUAAUGAAAUCUAGAGUAAAAACAGUAGGAAAUAGUUGCAUUUCUUCCUUUAAUAGUCAUUUAAUUCCCAAAUCAAAAUGUCUUAGCUUGUCGAUUUCGUCCCUAAAUUCAAUAUUUUAUCCUUUGAUUCUGCAACAUGAAUGUGUCAAGCUUGUUUGGAAUGACUAAUACUUAUUUACUGUUUUUUUUUUUUUUUUUUCAUCACUUAUUUACUGUUUUACUAAGUAGUUUGUUGGUUACAUAAAAGACGGUUCACAUUGUGCCGUUAUAAUGUUACGAUCAAAUCCUAAAUUUUAAAAUCAACCAUCAAAGUAUGACACCAACCCAAGUCUUUUGAAUUUUUUUAAAAAACUAUCAAUGUAUUAUAUAUUCGUGGUUUUGGCUGACUAUCGAAGCCAUUUAUUUUUGUCAAACUAUCAAAGAAGCUGUUUCAGUAAAUUCUACCGUGAUGUUCAUAUGCUCAGUUUACGAAUGGACUUUUUCCAAAUUGAUACAACAUUCUAGUGAAGGCCCAACCAAAUUAUGCGGCCCAUAUUAUUCAUCAGAACUCAGGACAAAUAUUGCUCUCUUCUAACGUGAGUGAUAAUCCAAAUACUGUAUUGGCCAAAUUAAAUAAAAUGGAACCAAACCCAAGUAGUUAACUCAGGACAAAUAUUGCUCUCUUCCAAAUUACGAAUUUGUUAACUUAGUCAAACCCUAAAUCAUAUUAUAAGAAUUUUCAUAUUCAGGAAAAACUAAUCAGAGAAAAAAACAAAAAGUUAGACCUCCUAAUAAAAUAUUUUUAACUCUCUAAGAUAUUUAGUUUUAAGAUAUAAACUGAAUCUCUUAACAACAAUACAAAAUAGUUACACCUCGGUUGUUGUCGCACACACAUAGUCACAUAUAUUAUGUGUACGUAAUCCGUUAUUCAAGUGUUCUCGAGAAAGACGAUCCACACAUUAAACUCAUAUAACAUAUUGAUCGAUCUAUCUGUAUAUCUACUAUACCUCUAGUUCUUUCCCGACAAUAAUAAUUAAUUAUAUCAUUUGUUGGAUAUUUUAUUUCUUCUUUUAUUCGUACUUAAUAUCUCACUUCCAUAAGUGAUACAAGUCUGAAAGUGUAAGACUUCGCUCCUAGCAAAAAAAGAAAAAGCACUUUCUAUUUUCUGCUUUGAACAUUGCUUAAGUUCUUGAUAUUUUUACGUAUCAGAAACGGUAGAUGAAAUGUUGGAUAAGUUGAAGAAGAGAACCAAGCCGGAACACAAGUACUAUGUAUGAAGUUCUCUAAACUCUUUUGCGAUUACUGAUGAAAGUUCAGUCUCUUGUCUUCCUCACGGAUAUGUUUAUCUUGCUAUUAAAAAAGCUUUAGUAAGUUUACUGUGUUUUUUUCUUUUUAUAUCAAAGUUUUAGUGCGUUAAAAAUAUAAUAAAAUCAAAUAUGAAAUUUAAAUAACCAAUAUGGAUAAGGGAUUUAGGAAACAAAAACAAAAACUACAAAUAUAACUAAUUAUAUCGAUUUUGUUGGUAUAAAUUGAAGAAUUUGAGCUUAUGUGAAAUUUAGACGCAAACUCAGUCAUGAAAAUUAAUAGGCUACAAGGUAAAAAAGUUUUGCCCCAUUAGUUAGUAAGACUGUAAAAAGAAAAAUGUAGAAAGAAGAAUUUGAAACCCCCACUUUUACGUUUCUCUAAAGGCGGAAGACCAGUGCCGUUACACUUAUACUUACUAAAGCAACUCCGUGCUAUUUCGGGAUUUUGAAAAUCGUUGUCCAUAUGUUGGCAAAAAUGAUCAUCAAUAACAAAGUCACAAGUGCAGUGACAAUGACCUUGUACGCCAAGAGUGGAUGAAUCCUCCAACGCAGAGCGGAACAAGACCUCCAAACAAAAUCUAGGGCACAUAUGAUGCUGCUUUAAGCAAAGUAGGUUGGAAAUCUGCAUUUUCUGCUUGCAUAGACAAAUAAGAUCAAAUUAAAAAAGCUAGUAAAUUCAAGUUUUAGUUAUAUAUUUUUUACUUACUAUAGAUAUAUAGGUGACGAUGUUGUUAAACACCGUCUCAAUAAAUCAGUCCACCCAAACUCGCAAGCGCACUCAUGCCAGUGAUCUUCACGUUAUCAUUCGCAUGUGUCAUAACGUAAGGGGAAAUCGACAUGAAACUACCUAUAAGGGAUCCAAGCUCUUCUCCCGUAGUAGAUGAUGUCACAUACUCAAAUAAAUAUUUGAAAUUAAUAGGUUCUCAUGUAAAUUCACUUGUCAACCAAAUUGGCAGUAAUAGAUAAUGUCACAUACUCAAAUAAAUAUUUGAAAUUAAUGAGUUCUCAUGUGAAUUCACUUGCCAACCAAAUUGGCUCUACAAUUGAGAAGAUAUGUAAUAAUGUAGUACACACAUAUAUCUCAAAUCACAUGUGGAUGUAAGUAUGUUGUUUUCACUAUUCUUUUCUCAAAUGUUAACUAAUUCCGAUAGUUUUAAUAUGAAAUAGAGUUUUAAUGGUGUAAGUGAAAAAUUAGAAAAAAUUGUACAAAAUAUGUUAUUUGAAUCAUUUUCAUUGGAUUGCUUUCCAUCUUGAUUAUUUGCUACACUAAUUAAACUUGAUCGCAUCUACUUCUUUUCAUCCUAAUCUACUUCUUUUCAAAACAAGUAAAUCAUUCUCUUUUGCCACUAAUAACGGUAUUUAUUGAUUGUAGCCAAAAAGAAAACUUAAGUCUUGAUCAUCAUCAAACAAAACCAAGAUACCAAAAAGUAAUCAGAAACUUUUUAAAAACAAACAAAACAAGUUGCUCAGCAUCCUUCUCUACAUCAUGAUACUUAAUCAUUCCUGCAAAAUUCACUUCAUCAGCUCACGAAUCUCUCUGCUCAAACACAGUUAAGGAAAAUCCGUUUAUUACUUACCUUUAGAGCAAUUGGACUAGAUCAAAUUGUUCAACCAAACUCCAUUCUUUACCUGCAAAUUUUAUUUCUUCAAAUUGAUUAAAGAUCUUUCUUUACUUUCUGUGAGUAGGAUUUAGAUUUAGGUACGACGGUACGAGAUUUUUUCUUUUUGCUGAAAAUUUUGCAUAUAAAAAAGGCCCAAAUAUUUUUAAAAAUUAUCAUUAAUAUGAGAAUUAUAUUUCAAAAGGCCUAAUUUUUUAUAUAGAAAAGUAUAAAAUUACUAAAAAAAAUUUAAAUAACAAUUUUUACUAUAAAAAAAACCGCAAAUUUUUGAAAAAAAUAUUCAAUUUUCUUUUGUUUUUAUAAUAAAUAGGCCAAAUUUUUUUUUUGCCUUAUAGCUCCUAAUGUAUUGCGCUAGGGCUGCAUAAACUCUGUGUGUCUUUUUAGUAUUGUAUUAUCUUGUUAGUCAGAUGUGUGAGCUUCUAAGUAAGAUAUGAGAGAUUCUCAUUCAGAUGUGGGAGUCCUACUGCCAAGAAGAUACCUACGACUCCCAAUGCGACAACAAACGAUGCCUUUUUUUGUAGGGAUAUUGUACGAUACACUCCAGACAUAAGUGAAUAGCUUCUUCAAAACCAGUAGUACUGCUACUGUAUUGAAAUUUGAAGGGUAUGUUAACUGAUUUUUUUACUAUCUAUCUUAUUAUACAAAUCUUUCUUUUAGGAUCGAAUUAUUUGGAAGAUUGGAUAACUUUCUAACGGAUAUAUACAAUAACUAAAAUCAUUUAUAUUGCUCGGACCGGAAUCAAUUUAAGAGUCGGUUAAAUUGAAAACAAUUUCUAACCGAUGAUAUAAAAGAAAAUGCAAAUGUACAUGUUUUAUUGGGGAAGAGGAAGAUUUACAAAUCUCGACAUUAAACCCGUCACUUGUUAAAGAUAUUUCUUACCAAUUUUUAUUUUUGACAUUCUCUAUCUAUAACUAUAACCAUUUUAAAUGAUUUAAAUUACCUAAUCCUAUUACUAACUUAAAAUAAUUAUGCAGAAUCUUGUUUAAAAUAAUUGACUCACUCUCUCUCUCUCGUUCUAUUUUUGUGAGACUGUCAGACUUUGUGGGUCUCGUUUUGCUUAUUUUGUCUGUCAAACACUAGAAAUGGAUCCACGCGUUGCUUGGAUUUAAUAAUAUAUAUUCAACUUUUUAUAGUUUUGUAAAUUACAUUAUUUUAAAUACUUUUUUAGUUACAAUACUAUUUGAAAACAAUAUGUAAUUCUAUAGGUAAAAACGGUUAUAUAAAUAUAAUAGAAAUGUUAUAUAUGAUAAUUGUAUAGAUUUACAUGUCUAAUGUACUACAUAUAUUAAAUGUUUUUUUUUUCUUUUUGUAUUUGACUUAUUAUCCUAUGACCGUUCAUUAUAUAUUUUCUCUUUUAGUGUAUGAAUUUUUAUGCAUAACAUUUUUUUCUAUAAUUCUAGAAACUCAAGUUUGAUAUUUUAAAUAUUCGCUUUCUCUUUAGGAAUUUAGCUUUCUGAGACUAUUUUUGUCACUCAAUUCCGAUAUUUCCAUAUUCUAUUAUUUUUAAAAAAAAAAGUUUCUAUCUUAUUUAAUUCAAUGAUGCAAUUGUGCUCUUUCUACCUAAUUUUAAUAUUUAUAAAAUAAUAUUUUAUAUUUUAAAUAAGUGCAUAAUAUUUGUAUUACUAUCAAAUGCCUUUAUACAUUUACUUAUAUAAAAUUUUAUAUUAUAUUCUAUAUAUAUUUUUAUAUAUAUAUUAUAUUUUUGAUAAGCUAAAAAUUAAAAGUAUACAUAAUUAUAUUUUAGUUUUGUUUUCAAUUAUUAUACACGAUACUAUUUAAUUAGCUACAUUUUAACAUUUUGUUUAUUUUCAUUUAUAAACUAAUCAACUAUUAUUUUAAUUAGUAAUAUGUCAUAAGAUUCAUCACUAAUUCACUAUAUAUUUUUUUGAAACUAAAAAAUGUAUGUCUUUUUAACUUUCAUUCAAUUUUAGAAAUAGCUAAUAAAUAUAUGAUAAAAUAUCCAUCAUAUUAGUAAUAUGUCGUAAGAUUCAUCACUAAUUCACUAUAUAUUUUUUUGAAAACUAAAAAAAAAAUUUCUUUUCAAUUUUCAUAUAAUUUUAGAAAUAGCUAAUCAAUGUAUGAUCUUUCAACUUUCAUACAAUUUUAGAAAUAAUCAUCAUAUUAGAAAUAUGUCAUAAGAUUCAUCACUAAUUCACUAUAUUUUUUUUUGAAAACUAAAAAAUGUAUGUCUUUUGAACUUUCAUUUAAUUUCAGAAAUAGCUAAUAAAUAUAUGAAUUUUCAACUUUCAUUCAAUUUUAGAAAUAUCCAUCAUAAUGAUUUUUAAUAUAUCAAUUUUAAAACGAAAAUGUUAUAAAUUUAUAUAUAUGAUUAAUCUUAAACACUUUUUCGCUAAAAUUUAAAUUAUAUUAUUAUGAAUAAAUUUAUAUUUCUUUGUUUUUUUACUUAUAAUAUCAAUUCAUUUGUAUUUAAAUUAAAUAUUUUUUAAUCAUAAAUAACAAUAAAUAAAAAUAAGUAUGUAUUGAAUGAACAUUUUAAAUAAAUUAUAAUUUGUAAUUUUUAAUUAGAUGCAUGCUUAGGUGGAUGAUGAUGUGGAUAAUCUAUAUAGAGAGUAAUCUCCUGUUAUAUAUAUAGAUUUUAUAUCUUUUCUGAUUUUAGCGUGUUAUUAUUCUUCAUCAACCAAACAAAUUUUAUCAAAUCAUUUGCAAUCUCUAAUCAUUUUGUUUAUCGAGAAAACUGUUUAGAAGAAAUAGACUCCAUAGAAAAUCUCAAGUUUCGCAACAACAAAAGGAAACGAGUAUUACUUCAAUCAAACUAAAUAAUAUCUAACACAAAACAGAAGAUAAUUGAAGAAUCAAAACCAAACCAACAGAAAGAGAGGAACAGAGGAUAUAGCACUAGCCCAAAACCGUUUUUUAAUCUUCUUCCUCUGCUUCGUUCUCGGCAAUGUUGAAGUACCUCAACUCAUAGAGGUUACGGUCCUUGUUUGCCGCAAUCACUCUGAGCCAAUCCCUCACGUUAUGCUUCUUCAAGUACUUCUUUGUCAAGUACUUGAGAUAUCUGUCACAGACAUAAACAAGGAAUUACACUUAAGAGACAAUCUAAAAUCAGGUAAACGAAAGCAUUACCAACACUAUUCGAUAUUCUCCAUUCAACACCGUACUAACCAACAAGAUGAACAAAAGCAUUACCAAAACUAUUCAAGUUUCCACAUUCAACACCGUACUAACAACCAAGAUGACCAAAAACAUUACUAAAACUAUUCAAGAUUCUAUAUUAAACAUUGUACCAACCGACAAGAUAAACAAAAACAGUACCAACGAACCGACUUUUACAUAAACAUAUACUCGACUCUAAGCGAUAAAUUAAAGAUUCUACAUUCAACAUUAUACCAUCCGACAAGAUAAACAAAAACAUUACCAACCAACCAGUUUUUGCAUUGACCUAUUCUCAACUCUAUGCGAUAAAUUCAAGAUUCUACAUUCAACAUUAUACAAACCGACAAGAUAAACAAAAACAGUACCAACACAUCGGUUUUUACAUUGACUUAAACUCGACUCUACACGAUAAAUUCAAGAUUCUACAUUCAAAUUGAAGCAUUACCAAAACUAUUCCUAACGACCAAAGCCACAAAUCUAGACACAAGUUAGGUCAAAAUCGGUGCAUUUGGUUUCAGUUUUAACGAUACCUCUUGGAGAAUUGACCAUCAGAAGUGACAGUAAUCUUGCUCUUCUCACGAGUGAUAGAAACAGAAUCACCAAGAGCACCAGCUUUACCACCAACCUUAAUCCUCUCCUGAAGAAACUUCUCUAAAGAAGCAAUCUCCAUAAUCUUAUCAUCCACAGGCUUCGAACAAUCGAUAGUGAAGGAAACUCCCUUCUUCUUUCCCUUAGUCGCUGCUGCAUUACCACGACUCAUUUUCACCUCUGCAAAUCCAAAAACAAACUCAUUUUCAUUAUGUAAAAUUCGAAUCUGAAUCUAUGUUCGUCGAUUACAUUUCCAGGAAAACGAAAACUAAACAAUAGAGGUAAGGGUUUAAACAACAACAAGAAUCGAUUCAAUGGAAGAAUAACGAAGGACGAUAAUGGUGUACCUGAAGUUGAAGAAGAUGGGAACUGUGUGAAGCGAAGAGCGGCGUCUAUUGAUCUUUGAAAGAGAAGAAGAAAAAUGCAAUUAGGGUUUUUUGGCUUUUAAGGUGCUCGUGUCAUUUUGUGAUGAUAAAUAACAGAAGUGACCCUGAUUUAUUUGUUUAUUCGAGAUUAAACCCCGAAACUUUCAGAUUCAUUUUUAAACCCAUUUAUUUGUAAUGGUUAAGUUUGAAGUUUUUACGAUGGAUCUUCUAAUGGGCCGAGAAACUUGAGGAGUGUGUUGCCCACAUUUUUCUUUUGCAACAGUAGGAAAAUAACUGAGCCAAAUUAGAAUCUUCAAAACAAUUCCAAAUUAAUUUAUUUUUAUUUUUUAACUCUGGAUUUAUUAUUUAUUGCAAAUUAUGAGAACUGUUACAUAGACGAUUCUACUGACAAUUUAUUCUACAAUUAAUUUAUUUUAUAUGAUAAUUUAUUUUAUACUUUUAAAUAAAAUAUAUAAAUUACAAAUUUACAUGAGAGGGCAAAAAGAUGAUAUAAAGAAACGGAUCCAAAAUGGAAUAUCAUAAAAUAUGUAAAUAUCAUAAUCAAUCUUUUGAUAUGUGGAUUGACGAUCUAAUAAUAUUUUUUAUACAACAUUGAUGAACCAAAUUAUUGCACGAUAUAUUUUGGUUUUUGAACUUAUUAUAUAUCGCUAAUGUGAAUUAUGUGAUUAUGUUAGAUACAAAGAAUCAAUAAAAAGAUGAUCAUUAAUAUAUUUUAUACUUUUGAAUAAAAUAUACAAAUUACAAAUUUACACAAAAGCAAAAAGAUGUCAUAUUCAUAAAAUUAUACAUAGGUACAUAUAUAACGGAUUGUUACUAUGGUUUAAUACAUCGUUUUGGUGGUCUCUUUGUUGGUCCUCUUCUUCCAGGUGCACGCCUUGAACAACUACCAUCUACUUCAAUCUCGAUUUCUUUGAUCAUCUUUUGAUCCCAGACCUGAGACCCCUACCUCGAAUUCUUUCCCAACAAAGAAAACAAUCACCUAAUCAACUUUUUAUAUCUUUAAGUUAUAAAUUUUAUAAAAUGCAGUUGAAACAAUGAUUCAGAUUGAAUAAAAUCCGUAUCGAAAAAACCAGUACAAAAAUUGAAAGGGAGUAGAAAGAGAAUGUUUCAGUAUUUUUUUUAUAUAUACACAAAGAGACGGUAAAAUCAAUUAAAAUGAAUAAAUUAAACGAUUUUAAUUUCGUAUUCUUUGAAAUUUCUUUGUCUUGAAGAUGUAUUGCCAAACAUAGGAUCGAGACCAAAAAUUUGUCAAAGUGAAAUUGAAUAACAUUCAGUUAUCAUUCUAUAUUGUAACCCAGAAAAAAGUUGAACUACAACAAAACCAAAAUCGAGUUGGAUAUAUCAAAAUGAUCGCAAUAAAAAACUUACUUGGCUUUAAAGCUUCAUAUUGUACUCGGGCCAAUUCUGUGUUCGAUAAUCCAGAGAACAAAAACAAGGACAAAGUUAGCAAGCAAACCACGACGUUACACAUUUUUACGUUGUAUUAAAAUUUUAAAGUAUGAAUUUCGAUAUGUAAAUCGGUGCAUAUAUAUAGAGAAAAAUGAACUCAAGUUACGGUAUUCAAUUGAAAAAUUACUAACCCCACGCGCCUGAAAUUGUUUUUCUCUCAAAUUUUUUUCUCGCCCUUGCCGCAACCUCGAGCGUCUUCUCCGGUGACUGGUGGUUGGUGCCUUCUUUAGCAUCACACCGGUCACCCCUCUUUUCUUUUAUCGUUGCUCCACUCCGGUGCUUGAGAUUCUCGGCCAAGUCUCGAUUAUGCUAUGUUUCUCGCGGCGAGUGUUGGAGAUCCGCCGUGCGUGACGGCCUCUUACGGUGGUCGGGAUCUUUUCCUCUGUGGCUCUAUUGCUUGUCGACGGCGAUAGACGAACGGCUGAGUCUUGUUUCCUUCCCUUGCGUCUCGCAUCUCGACCGGCGGAGCAAGCCUCGCUUGCAGAUCUACUUCUAGAUCGUCUCCUUCCUGGUGUUUCUGGUGGCGAUAGAAGUUUCUAUCGGCGGCGCUAUGGUGUCGCUUCUCCGCUUUGCAAGGAUUCACAUUUUCCAAGCCUCCGCUUGGAUUAACCGCCGUGCAUUGUCUCGCUUUUUUCGGAGGUUUGUCAUCUUUCUGAUGGGUUGUUUCGCUUGAGGACGGCCAAAUUCCAGAGGUUAGGUGCUACUGUCCCUUCCGCGUGAGUCGAUUUCGUGCGUUGGAGUUAGUUUCGCUUUGAGUGGUUUUCAGUGGCUCCGUCGAAGCUUCUCGGCCGUGUUGGUUGUGUUGUUCUUCGUCUUGAGUCGUUGAAGCCUCUACCGCUCUUGUUACUCUCCUUCGCAUAGGUUUCAGAGUAUCGCUGCUAGUUGGUUUCAGUUUGGGCGUUCUCCUUGACGGCGAGACUAGGCGAUUUGAUGAACAUUUCUCUGUUGGCAACUUCUGCUUGAGGACAGUGGCAGGACUAUUAGGAGGAUGUUCUGACGUGGCACGUCUGGUUUGUUCACCGUCUCGAAUGCUCUUUUUGUGCCUUCAGGUGGCUGCUGUGAUGUUUGAUUUGUUGAUGACUUAGUCGUCGGUGGUGACUUGUUGAUCAUCUCCAAUUGAUAACGUCACUUGUAUAUCUUGACUUGUUGAUUUUGCUCAAACCCAGGUUUUGUUUGUGUCUUGCUAGUGUUGUUGCUUUGAGUCGAAGUAGGCUUUGCUUUGAGUACUCGCCUUUUUGCGUUUUGCUUUGUGCUUUAGAGGAGCUAGUAAGGCUUUUGACGAUUCGGUGUGGUUGUGCUUUGUGUUAUCUUGCUCUGUGCUAGCUGACUUCGGGGAAUGAACUUGGUAGAGGGAGCUCGUACCGUUUCGCAUAUUUUGGCUUGUGAGGUUCCGUUCAGGGAAAGCUCAUGGAUAUGUUCGCAGAACCGCUCUCACAUGACGGGAGGAGUAUGUGAUCGAGGGCUUUGAGUUCUAUGCCGUUGACGGCUCGGUCUCGGACCUCCUUUGAAAGGCUUCUGAAGCUAAGCGUCCUGUGAAUCUAGGUGUUUACAAUUUGCAGUCGCCCUUCUUCUUCAGCAACUAAUCCGGGAAGAACAAUAAAAUCGUCAUCGCUUCAUCUAACUCCCUUAGCCUCGUUGCUUUGGUUGAGUGGAUGGACCGAGUUCUUUGGCUUCCAAAUUAUGCUUCCAUGUUUUAAUUUUUUUUGCCAUGGGACCAUUUGUAUAGGUCUAUAAUCUUUGAUUGUAAACCUAAACUGUUUUCAUUUUCUAUGAAAUAUUUACCUUCUUAGCAAAAAAAAAAAAAAAAAAAAAAAAGUUACGGUAUUCAUUUAUAUAUAUAAUUUUUGAGAAAUGAAGUCAGAUCACGCGGAUUGGUGCUAUGGACAUAUGAUUUAUAUAUAUAUAUAUAUUUCUUUUGUUUUGUUCAACUGACUGUAUCAUUUUUCUCUAAACAUGUUAGUUUUUUUUUAUCAAAAAACAUGUUAGUUUAUGUGUUGAAAAUGUACUGCUAGAAGAAAAAAACUUAUGUGUUGACAAUGCGUAUUUGACUCUUGAAAAUGUCUUAUCUGAACUGGUCUAACAUAUUAUUAUUAUUAUUAUUUCAUUAUUUUGUGGAGGUCCAGGUUCUAAUUAGUUUACAUUGGCUACAAUACAUCUGUGUUAUAUUUUUUUAAAAAAAAAAUUACAAUACAUCUAUGCUAACAAAACAAAGAGACAAAAAUUCAAAUGGGCAUUACGCUAAACAGCAAAAGCUUUGUAUCUUGAAUGCAUUUAUUAAACUUGAUUGCGUUGCUUACUUACGAUUUGUAAGCUUCUUGCAGCGAUGAAGUUCAGAUUACCACCUUCAACCGUCACUUAUCCUAGUGGUUCUCAUACCUCUUGUGAGGUUUUAGACAUAUAUUAAUAUGACACACCAAUUCAGAUCACAUACAAGUAUACUAACUUUAACGAGUCCCGGGUACAAUGAAUCUCGUGUGGGGCUCUUACCCACAAACCUCCACUAGAAUCGAAAAGAGUUGAAGGUUUGUGCCACGACCUCUAAUUUCUCUCUUUAGACGUUCCUAGAUCACUAUUACAUCAUCUAAUGGAGAGAGAGAGAGAGAGAAUCACGAAAAGGAAGAAGAAGAAGAAGAAGCAUGUAAACGAUACAAUCAGAAAAUAGAAGGGAAAAGUGACUGUACUACUCUGGCUUACAUGCUCUGUUUUUUUUUUGUAACUAACACCUACCAAAUUUUAGCAACGUGUGAAAUUAUUUAGUGUUAUUAAACGGUCGAAAAUUUAUCAAUUCGUCAAUGUUAUAAUAUGAGCCGAAACCAAUUUGUCAAUAAAUAUAUCAAUUACAUAAGAAAGUGGCUGCUAUGUAAUUUGAUUAAUGCAAAAGCUGACUAUUAACAUGACACAUUUUUCUCACUUUCAAAUGAGAAAACAGAAAGAAAGUUGAGGCAUAUCUUAAUAUAGCAUAAAAGUAGAAACAUUUUUAUGAAUUUGGACGUGACCAUUGAAGAAAUUAUUGAACUAGGAAUUGUAGAGCUUUACCCCUAAGGGAACUCUUCCAGAAAUUCUCGAAGGCCCAAGACAAGCUUAGGCCUAGGAGGGGGUUUGGAAGUAGUUUUCAACAAGCAAUAGACGCACCUCGGUUAAGACCUCAUUAGCUGCGUCAUUGCCCCAAGCGCAAGGAUGAUUUUGAAACGAAAGAGAGGCCCUUUAUUUAUAGCCAAACAGAGCCUAUCAAGCUAAUAUAUACUUCCGAUGUGGGACCUUUUGUGUACCAAAUCACAUAACGCAAAGUCGCAAUACUACCGUUGUUGCUUUGUGGGAUUAUUGCAUACGUCAUUAAGUUCUCGAAAACAAAAAGUUUCUCAGCGGAAGCAAAAAGACUCAAAGACUGAUAUUAAAUGGUAGGGGCUGCGCGAACGCAAACCCCCUCUGCCACAAAUAAUGACAUAGGCUCUUCCUCAAGGGAAGACCUUAAGCAUAGCACCCCAACAGUAUGUGCAAUGCGGUCACUAGCCUAGGCCACUCGUCUUAUUGAUCGCGAGUCGACCCUGUCCAGGUAAGUGAUUUGCUCGAGCCGUCCACUUCUCUAUAUAUACUCCUGCUUCCCCAGUCAUUGCUUUGGGUGUAAGCGAUGUGGGACUUCUUAAUAUCAUCAACACAUUACACAUCGUGCUGGUUUCUUUUCAACGGUAUGAAUUUUUGUCUUGAUUAUUAACAUGGGCUGGAUGCUCUAGGCCCAAUUAAGUGGUUGAAACGACGGUGAAAACGUUUUUUACAAACAGAAAAUUAUUAACAUUGCCAGGCACAAAAAAAAAAAAAAAACACAUUGCCAGGAGACUGUAAAAACAGUUUUUAAAAGACAAUACAGAAAAAUGUGAAUUUGGGAUAGGAGAUACAGAUAUUAUCAGGAUUUAGGCUAAUAUCAGAGUGAAAUGACCAUGCUUAAUAAAAUAUAUAUUUAUUCAUUUAGUGUCUGUAUGAAACUCUUACAUUUUCGCAUCCCGAAUGUUGCAGUCAAUCUGCAAGGCUAUAGUAUGCCUAAAUUAACAAAAUAGGUAUCAGCCAUUUCAAAAUACCAAAAGAACUUACAAAACAUGAAGUUUUCAUUAGCUAAAAUAUGCCUACAAUAACAGAAUAGGCAUGAGCCAUGGUAAGGGUUUCUAGUCCUUAUUUAAGUUAUCAGGCUUCAGAAAUUUUGGGAUUCUAUCAGUGGCUCCAGAUUUGUGAUCAUAGUACUCCACUGCAGCUGCUCCAGCCAGAGCGGCUAAUGUCAGCGCCUGAGCAUGCAACCUGACAAUAUGAUAAAAAUCUGUGAGAUACCAAAUGUCAAAUAAGAAGAAUUGAGAGAUCAUCAUACAUAUAGUAAAGAACCAAUCUAUGAAAAUUUUAGAACUGUAAUGGUCACAUUUGUGUUACAUAUCCAACACCCCAAGUACAUGUAUUUAAGCACAAAACACGCAUACGAUUAGCUGUUGUUACCAAUUGAUUUGUCUAGCAAUAAGGCCCAGCUAAUACAAUGAAGAACAACACGAACAAGCGAUUUUAAUUCACUUAAAGAAUCUAAGGAAAAGAAUUAGAGUACCCCCUAAUUGAAGGCUCAUGCUUUCUCUACCAUUAGUGUUCUUUAACGUAAUUGUUUGUGGUUAAGCAAAAUGUUGUUAUAUGAGAACACAUAACUAAGUUGCUUUGAUGUUCAUUAAAAGGAGAUAAGAACCAGGUUCUUCAAUUGAAUGAUCUAUAUAGCUUAAGCCAUUGAUAACUUCUAUCAUCUAAGAACGUCUAUAUACCAAAAUCAAAAGAAACAUUUAGGAGCACUAAGAUAAGAAAAUUUUACCUAGCGUGGAUGAUUCUGACACUGGUUUUCAUGGCAGGUUUUGACCAGUUAUAGGCGAUUGAACCAGAGAUACCACUAAGCCAUAAACAACCUAUCAAAAAUCCAAUUCAGAAACAACAAAUUUUAUCAGAACAGAACACAAAAACUCAUACAUGCAUCAUCAUCUCCAAUGUUACGAAACCAAAUCGGCAAAAAAUGGUGAAGCAAAGAAGAAAUUCGAUUUUGGAAAGGAGAAAAAAAAAAACCCUAAAGUUAUCAAAAUUGAGAUAAUUUAGAUCCAAAACUUUGGAUCUGAGGAUUUAUUCAGAUCUAUAAUAACGAUGAACCAACACGAACAUUCUCCCGAAACUCGAUUCGUGUACGCUACGAGAAAAUUUGUUAUACGAUGAACACAAAGGGAAUAAGAGGAGGAAGAGUGAGAUUACCAACGGUACGAAGCUUGUGUUCGACGAUCCAUUCCCUGACUUCUGCAAAUUUUGUCUUUGAUUCUGCCAUUGUUGAAGAAGAUGAGAGAAAAAUUAAGAAUUGGGAGAGAAGAAAGAGCGUCGGGCGUUGGUUUUAAAGCGGUAAAUUCUGAGGAAGAGAAAGCCAAUUUCCUAACUUGCGCUUCAUUUCGCUGAUUCGUGUUUUUUUUUAAUAAAGUGUAAUUUUUUUUUUUUUUUUUCAACAUUCCUUAAUUGACUUUUGUUAUUUUAUUUCAACGCUAGUUGAUUAAAAAAGCCAUCGAACAUAUAAAAAAUCUUUUUGUUUGGUUAAAUUUCCAAAGAGUGGCAAAACCACACCGAAUUUAAAGAACUUGAAACGUCUAUGGCUAAGAAAUCCAACCAGAACAACAAAAUGAUUUAAAAAAAAUGCUAAAGCUUAACAGCAAUUUUCAUGCCAAAACAGACUCACUCUUACACUGAUAAUGCUCAUGGGCUUCUUUCUUCAUGGUUGCGCAUCAGUAUUCAUCAGUCAUCAUCAACGAUAAUUCGACAUCUCCGAGAACGUUUUGUGAGUUUAUUAAGAUCCUCGUAGACAUCUGAAUUUGAUGCAUAUCGAGGGUAGUCUAUGAAACUCAGAGUGAGUUUCUUGAGGACUGCUGAGUUUUCAAGAAAGUACUUCGCUAUUAUCAUCUCCUCUUCCUCCCAUUCAAACAAUCCUUUUAUCUCAACACAUUCGAGAGUCGAUAUGAAACACCGAGGCACAUUUACGAGAUUCAGCUCCUCCGUCUCGUCAUCCUUUGCAAAAGCAAUCUUCUGCAAACACCAAAACAAAGGCCGGGUAAUUAUACACAUCAACAAUACCAAAAUGCAUGUUGUUACGGCAAAAUCGCAAAAGGUUUUACCAGGAUUAGGAUUUUCAGAUUCGGGAAACUCUCAAGAAAGGCUGGCAAAAACGGUAGCAAGGGGCUCGGGAACACAGCCUGUAAACGGGAUAAGUUAUUGAAUUUGGGAAUCGAUCCUACUUUUGAGUAACUAUCAAGGGCCUGCAACAAGAAGAGAGGAAAAAAGAUACAAGUAAGAAUUUUCCAAUUAGACAAAUUUCAGGAAUAGUUGUCUGCGAGAUGAAAUAUAUAUAUACCUUCACUGUUUUCUUAGAGAUGAUCAUAUGUCUUGCACGAGAUAUCCCAGUGAGAAAAUCAAGGAUUUCAUUUGUCUUCCAUAAGUCCUCUGGAUCAAAACUACUGUCAUAAUUGACAACAAACUUGAUAUCAAGGUCAAUCAUGAACAAAGAAGUCAGGUUCUUUACUAUGAUUUUCUCGAAAUGGUCUUCUUUGAGAGUCAUAGACUCUAGUCCUGGAGCAUCAAUCUCAAGUACUGUGUCUAGGACUCUUGAUCUACAAAAACUUCCAUAUGUGAGCGGAACAUAAAACGUCUUCAGACUCCAAGAUCUCACACGGGUAAGCGCAACCACCAAUUCAUCCUCAUCAAGAUACCUUACCAAGGUCAGUUCUUCAAGAACAGGACAUCCAGAGACAAGCUUUUCAAGAUGCAUAGUACCAGACCAUCGAAUUUCCUGAAGAAACAUGACUUUAAGACAAGGCAUAUAAACAAAACCCGGAUCCCUAAGACCCGAACACGAGAGCUUUAAAGAAACCAAUGUCUUGCUCGUAAACAGAUUCAGAGGCAUGAACUCGAAAUAAGGAUACAUAAAGCCGUCAUCCUCUCGAUAUUCGGUACUGCUCACAGCAUCAAGAAGUCGAAUUCCGCGGUUAAUCGCUGUACCGAUCCGAUCCUUGAACCCAAGUAUCUCACGCCUACUGUAAUCUACCUUGAAUUUUUGCAGGCGUGACUCAGGAUUAAACUCUAAAAACCUGUCGAUGAAGUUAAUAAACACUUCUUCAUAUUCUUCAUCUUGAUCAGGUAAAUCACGGCAGUUCAAGUCAAGUCCGGGAACAUUUAGCCAUAGAUUCUUCCAUCUAGUAGAUAAAACACUCGUCUUCACCGAAUCUUUAGUCGGAAGGCAUAAGAGUAUUUGAGUAAUCAAAGAUUCCGGUAAUUCGCUGAUUCUAUCAAACCCAGGCAUCACGAGACACAAAACCCUAAGAGCAUGAACAUACAACAACAAUGUAACUUGAUCGAAUCCUAGGCGUAUAAUUAUAUAAAUCAAUUAAAAUCAAGUAACGUUUACGAAAGACUCACCGUGGAUUUGAUUCUCCGGCGAAUUAUCGACCGGAGUUCUGGCUUCAGAGGCUAAGUGAUAAACGCUGGUAUCGAUCAUUUUGACUCAAAACCCUCAUUUUAGUAUUUAUACCAGUACUCGAAGCAGCUCCAAUUCCAAUUGCGUUUCGAAAAAAAAAUGGUUGCCAGUAUUAUUUCUUAAACGCAAUUCCAAAAAACGCGAUCUAUAAGUAACUUUUUGAAAUAAAUACUAGUUUUCACAAGUAUUUACAAUAAAAUAUCAUUAGAUUUAAUUCUUAAGAUUUGCAAAAUUAAAUAGAAGAUACAGUAUUAACAAAACAAUUUGAAUCCUAAAUUGUCUCUUAAAACUUAUUUUUCCAUACCUACAUUCGCUCAUUUGCUAACUACCAUUUAAAAAAUAAUAAUUAAUUCUAACAAUAAUCGUUUAAAGCUAACAAUAAUCGUUAUUUAGCUGAUAUUUAAGAAAAUAGAAACUAAUUACUCCACAUAUAUCUCAUCAGUAUUCAUUGUUUAGCUACAUAAAAGUAAGAAUAUUUAAGAAACUAUAAACUACUUACUCUACAUAUAUCCAAGAUUCUUGGUAUUUCCUUAUCUAUAAUUCAUAUAAUGGAUCAAAUAUAUCUUCGAUCCCAACUACAUCUUAUGUCUCAACUAAUUAGUACUAUCAAUCUCUUAAUAUAUGGCAUAUUCCUUGCAUUUAUAAUAAAUCCGAGAUUUUGUUCCAUAUAUGUUAUUGUUACAUAGAUAUUAUACUUCUUUAGCAAGAUUUUCAUCACUAACUAACGUGUAUCGAAAUUUACAUCUUAAACCACUAUAAAUAGAGGCAUUAUCUACGUCUUCUAAGAGCAUCCACAAUGGUGCAUGUGGGUGGAUGUGUGUUAACAAUAUAUUUAUUAUAAUUUUUUUAAGAGAGAGAGAUUUGGUUAGUGGAGAAACAGAGAGGAGAGAGAAAGAGAUAGAUUUAUUAUUUUCCAUUUUUAAAAUAGUCACAUUCGGAUGUUAGUUUACAUCCAUAUUUUGUCUCAACACCUCUAAAUCUAUUAUUUUCAAUUUUUAAAAUAGUGACACCCUUAGCAAAGGUGUGCCACUGCGUAUGGUCUAAGGUUAUCAUAUUCGUGUCCGUCUCCAAUUAAUUCGUCAUCGGGUCGUAAAAAGAUUAAAAACCCUAAUUUCUUUCUUUUAUUGGUUUUAGUAUUAAAAGAUUAACCCUAAUUUCUAUUGUAGAAGAAACAUAAACCCUACUCUAUUGUUUUAGUAGAUUAGGAAUCUAAGUUUAUCGAAUCCUAGGCGUUGAUUCUUGCGUAUAAGUUUACCUGAUUUACCGGACUACUUAUUCUUAUUAACUAUACUUACUAAAAUUAAAUAUUUCUUUAAAUAAAAGCUUCUAUAUAAAAAUUCUAUAUAUUAAAUUAUUAUAUUUUUAAUUGAAAAAAUAAAUAAUUUCAACAUAAUUUCAACACUAGCAUAUUCUAUCAUAUAUUAUUAAAUUUUAAAUUAAAACUGUAAAUUUAUAAGUCUAAAUUUAUGAAUGAAGUAAAUACAAUUUUAUUUGUAUAUAAAUAUAAAUAUUGAAUAAUAUUGUUAAUAUAUAAAAAUAUUUUUAAGAUACUCGCUUUUAGCCAAAAUAUCUUAUAAAAAGAAACUGAGUAAGUAUAUAUGUUAGAGUGAAAGGCUACCCAAGUAAACUAUUUGCGUCUUUUGUUUGUCUUUUUAAAAAUCCUUUUUAUUUUAAAUUUGUAUGUGUGCUUUUUUUUUUCUUUUUUUGGGGAGGGAGACGUAUUAUCAUAAGAAAUUAAAAGAAAUUACAUUCAAACAUCAUCCAAACAUGUCUUGGGCAUGUAGCCCCUCCAACACAUCCAACAUAAUUGAAUUAACACAAUCUGGCCUAAAAUCAAAUAAAUGAAAUCCUAAAAGCAAGAAAAAACAUAGUUUGCUAACCAAUCUGCAACACGAUUAGCUUAUCUAUACACAUGUGAGAUACAAACUAUCCAAUCUUUUGAUAUAAAGUCAUAGCACAAACCUACUAGGAAAGACAGUGGGUGAGAAUCACUGAUCACGGUCUUAAGAAAAUCAACCACAAUCUUCGAAUCCACUUUCAACUCCACUCGCGUCACUCUUCUUUUCCAAGCAACAUAGAAACCAUAGUAAAUCGUCCCAUAGUUCCGCUAGAGGUGCAUAACAUAUGCCAAUAUUAACUGAGAACCCUCUAUAGGACCACUCACCCUUAUGGUUUCGUAGGACUCCACCCGCAGUUGCUAAGUCCGGGUUCCCACGUGAUGCCCCAUAUGUAUUUACCUUCAUCCAUCCAUCUCCCGGUGGGAUCCAAGCAAUCAACCUUUCAAUUCUCUCCAUAUUUCUAGUCGGUCCCCCAAAGAUAAUUGCGAGUCAGCCACCUCUUUUGCCAGAUCUUUGAUUAAUUUUAUUUUGUUUCUACACUUUAUGUUUUCCCCAAACACAUUACCACAACUCCACUUCCAUCUCCACCAUGACGUUAUAGAAAAGAGCAUGGACCUUAACGUGUCCCCUGACAUUCCUGCCUCCACAUGUUACCAUAAAGCCACUCAAACAAGGUUUGGGUAAAGAACAUAUUGGCAUUUCUCGAACUAACCAGUCGGUUCCAUAUACCUGACAUCGUCGGGCAAUCCCUUAACACGUGUAGAAUGGUUUUCUCUCCUCCCUUACAAACCUGAUAUAUGCCCGAAUCACAGAGAUGGCGCCUACAUCUUUCCGCAUUCGUCAUGAUGGCUUGAUUCAUAACUAAAUGUGUGCUUCAUUUAAUCAAUCAUUGAUUUAGCGUUCUUUUAUCAUACACUUCUUGUCAAGCUUUUCAUUCAUCUCUUUCAAUAUUUUUUCAAGCUUUCCCUACAAUUUUUUCUCCUUCCAAACUUUCAUUACCUCUUCAUACACAUGUCUCCUUCUCUUCAGCUACGGUCACCAGUUUUCUGAUUUGAUUUUUGUAUGAUCUCUCUGAGCUUUAAAGACUAAGACCAUCUCCAAUGUAUUUUCCUAUUUUUAGCUCUAUCUUUAUAAUAGAGGUAAGUUUUCUCUAUUUUUACUCCAAUGUGUUUCUCUAUUUUUUCUUCUAAAAAGUUUAACUCUAUUUAUAGGGGAAAAAAUAGAGAUUCUUUAUUCUCACCUCUAUAUAUAGAGAAUAAAAUAGAGAUCUCUAUUUUAGAGGUGAGAAUAGAAGUGAGUUGGAUUAGAUUUGCCUCUAAAAUAGAGUUUAGAAGCAAAUAUAGAGGUGGGUUGGAAAUGCUCUAAUACGAGACUUUGCAUGUAGGAAACAAGCUUUAUUUGAGCCACCCAAUCAUAAUUAAAAGCGAGAGUAAUAAGAAGUUGUAUCGUUUUGACAUAAGAUUUCGUAAUGAUUAAAUUGUUCUCCAACUAAACACCGGAGUCAAAGCUUCUUUCACUAAAAGAGAAAAUUUUUAAGUUUCUUUUACAUCUUGUUUCUAAAAUAAUCUAAAGAUUACCAAACCCACAAGAUGAUGAACAAUGAUAAAAAAUUAAGUUAUAUUAAUAAUGAAUACACCAGAAUUUCAAAAGAAUCCUUAACGAGUUUAGAUCACUUAGUUUCUGACUAACACAAAAGAGGUGGAGAGUUUUAAUUCUUUAAUUAAGAUCCCAAAAAAAACAAACUCUUUACGAACACAAUCAUGUGAGCUUGCGUUUGCGAGUUUUGAUCUCCUUUAUCAUGUGAGCAAUCCCUUCUUUAAGUGUUGCUUUCCUCUCUUGUUCGAAAUUCCACAGUACCGGAACAGUGUACCGACCACUCGGGUUAAACUCGUUCAGUUCCACAAGUGCUGUCUUAACUGCGUUCUUCACUUCUUCUCCCCACUCUUUUCUCAGAUUCUUAAGUUUCUCAUCUUCUUCAUCCACCACUUCCUGCACCAUCAUAACCAUGUAACUAACAUGCACCAGAAUCAAGAUAUCUAAUACGAGAGAGAUGAAAGUAACUGAACUAAACAUGAGACAGAACAAACCUUCAUUUUUUCUCCGGUUCCGACACGUUUGAAUGGAUACCAUGAUGGAUCCUUGAGUGUUUUCUGCCAUUUCGAACAAAGCAUGGCUUGUUCCAACUCAACGUUUUCACCACUAAAUCUCUGUCUACACACUUUCAAGAAAGGCUUUUCAUCAAUUUCUCCCAUUCUUUUUACUCCAAUGGUGGGUGAUCUAUCACCUGAUAAAUCUCUCAAUCCCUACACAAACAAAAAAUAGACUUAUAUGUGAAAGUGAAACCCACAAAACAUAUAUCAUCAACACACUCAAGCAAGAACAUGAAAAUAUAGUUAUUACCCUAAUCGAUUCUUUGCGUGCUUCUUGUAUCUCAUCAUUGCUUUGACGUUCUUUAAUAAGUAAGACUGAGUUCAUAUCCUCUAAUUCUUCUAACUCACAACGCUCCUCUUCCAGCUUCUCGUUCAUCUCCUUCAUUACUUUCUUCAGCUCUUCAUUCUUCUCCUUCAUUACUUUCUUCAGCUUUUCAUCUUUCUCCUUCAUUACUUUCUUUAGCUUUCCAUUCAUCUCCUUCGUCACUUUCUUCAGCUCGUCAUUAUUCUUCUUCUAUUAAGGAUAUUUUCCUAUAUUGUAGAUAUUAUCAAAUCUCAUAUGUAUAUUUUGCUUUGUCUCCAAGCUAUUAGUUUAGGGUUUUCGGUUUCUUAGGAAUGUAUAAAUACUUGACCUUAGGGUCCAUGAAAUACAAGCUGAAUAUUAUUCAAUUCUCUACUUUGACAUGGUAUCAGAGAACGAAAACUUUUUCUAAAUCACAAUCACGAAUCUUCUUCCCCUUUGCCUCUCGGCAUCUUACUCUCACGUUUAAAGCCUCUCGGCUUCUUCUUAUCUGUUUUAAUCUCUAAGCCUCUCGGCUUCUUAUUCUCUGUUUCAAAAUCCUAGCCUCUCGGCUUUAUCUUCUCUGUUUUCUCGAUCUCUACUCUAUUUUCCGGUUUUAAAACAGAGCCCUUUGAUUCACGAUGGCUUUGGCUACUACAAACCCGAAACAUAAGACCAUCUCUCCUUAUGAUUUGACAGCGACUGAUAACCCGGGAGCUGUGAUUUCUUAACCUCUUCUCAAUGGACUCAACUACGACGAAUGGGCCUUGAAUCUGCGUAUGGCUCUCAGCUCACGCAAGAAGUUUGGCUUCCUUGAUGGAAGCAUAUCUAAACCAGCCAACGAUGCUCCUGAAUUCGAAGACUGGACGGCUAACAAUCAUUUGAUUGUCGGAUGGAUCAAACAAACAAUUGAACCGAAGAUCAGAUCAACGAUCUCAGCUCGUGAAAUUGCCAAAGAUCUCUGGGAAAUCAUCAAGAAACGCUUCUCUGUUAAAAGUGGAGCACGACUACAACAGCUUCGUAACUCAUUGUCUAGUUGCAAACAGAACGGGUCUACGGUCGACGAAUACUUUGGAAGAUUAACAAAACUCUGGGAUGGAAUUGCAGAAUGUAUGAAUUCAAAACGUUGCAGUCGUGGCAAGUGUGAAUGCGAUCUCAAUACGGCUCGGGACAAGGAACUUGAGACUCUCCGAGUUCAUGACUUUCUUUCGGGACUUGACGACUCCAUUCAUGGUGCAAUUCGAUCACAGAUUUGUGCUAUUACUCCACUUUCCGAUUUGGAUACGGUGUAUCAAACGAUUUCCCAGAAUGAAACAAUUCGCUCGAAUGUAACCAAUGAAGCUGUUGUGAUGGGAUUUGCCUCACAAGUCUCUGGUCUGAAUACUUCUCCCUCGAUAUUUACAAGCGAUGUUACAAAACGGAACACAAGCUUCACUGGUUCUUCUCGGUUUGGUCCAGGGAACCGCGAUCCGUCUCGUAAAUGCUCUGGCUGCGGGCGUAUGGGACAUGAGGCCUCUUCCUGCUUCCAAGUUGUGGGCUAUCCAGACUGGUGGGGAGAUAGACCACGACAUAGACCUGAUCCUCGAAGCACACAAGGACCUCUAGCAGGACGCGGACGUGGAACAAGUCCUCGUGCAAAUCUCACACAGAUUAUCAAUGCUAACUCUGCGGCUGUUGGAUCUUCGGAAAUCACGGACAGCGAUCAACAAGGUUUACUGGGAAUUACUGAUGAUCAAUGGAAGAUUGUUCAGAAAGUGAUCAAUGCGGGAAAGGCAACAGAUCAAUUAAGUGGUAAGACAAAUGAAACUUCUUGGAUUUUAGAUACCGGAGCAACGCAUCACAUGACAGGCCGAUGUGAUCUUUUGAUGAAUGUACGUGAUAUUGCUCCGGUCUCCGUCUUGCUACCCGCUGGUGAAGACGCCAUUGCAACGAAACAGGGCACUGUGCAAUUAACUUCCCGUAUCUCUAUCAAAAAUGUUUAUUUGGUUCCGGGAUUUCAUAUUAACUUGACCUCGUUUUGUCAGCUCGUCACCGAUAACUAUUUAGUUGGACAAGUGACUGAUAAACUUAUGAUCUUGCAGGACCGCAUUACGAGGAUGGUGAUUGGGUCGGGUGAACGAGAGGGAGAGGGGCUGUACCGGUUUCGUGGAAUUGAGACGAUGGCAGCCUUGCAAACGAGUGUUACGGAAAAUUUGAGUUUGUGGCACAAACGUAUGGGUCAUCCAUCUUCUCGAAUCACUGGAAUGAUCUCGGGAGUCCAUGGUGUUUCUAAUAAUAAUAGUGAGCUUUUAUUUAAGAGUUGUGAUGUUUGUCUACGGGCAAAACAAUCUCGUCAGUCUUUUUCGGAUAGUUCUAAUAAUGCAAAAGAAGUCUUUGAUUUAAUUCAUAUUGAUUUAUGGGGACCCUAUCGCACUACGGCAUUUUGUGGAUCACGUUACUUCUUGACUAUUGUUGAUGAUUAUUCUCGGGCGGUGUGGCUUUAUCUACUAGCCGAUAAGACUCAAGUUUCACGAUAUGUACAAGACUUCUUAGCAUUAAUCGAGUGCCAAUUUUCCAAGAAAGUGAAAUCUAUACGAAGUGAUAAUGGGAGUGAGUUUAUGUGCCUUACUAAGUUCUUCCGCAUGCAAGGAAUAGUUCAUGAGACUUCGUGUGUACACACUCCGCAACACAAUGGCCGUGUCGAACGCAAGCACCGCCAUAUUUUGAAUGUUGCUCGAGCUUUGCGGUUUCUAGCAAAUUUACCAAUUGACCAUUGGGGAGAAUGCAUACUUACUGCUGGCUAUAUUAUUAAUAGGACACCUUCUCCAUUGCUUCAAGGUGCAUCUCCGUUUGAGAGAUUAUACGGGCAUUCUCCUUCAUAUUCACAUCUACGGGUCUUUGGAUGUCUUGCCUAUGCUCAUAAUCUUGAUCAUAAGGGUGACAAGUUUGCUUCAAGAAGUAGGCGUUGUGUGUUUUUAGGCUAUCCAUAUGGCAAGAAAGGAUGGAAACUUUAUGAUCUAGACCGUGAAGUUUUCUUUGUAUCUCGUGAUGUUCGGUACUUAGAAGAUACUUUCCCGUUUGCUUCUCCUACCACGACUUCUCUCUCCAAAGACACAGAAGUGUUAACUCCGGUGAUCGGAGUUAUUCCGGUUGAAGAUGAUCCUAGUCCGUUGCAUCAUGAGGCUGAGAAUCAGGUUGACUCCACGAUUACAUCUCCGAUUCCAUCCCCAGAGAUACAUAAGGACUCUGUUAUUGAAGAAACUGAUGUGUUAGAAGACACUCCGACAGUUGUUGAGACUCAGGCCGGCACGGAGACAGUUUUGAUUGAAGAAUUAGGACAAGGCAAACGACCUAAAUUUCCAAAUGUCCGUCUCCAUGAUUAUGUUAUUAGUACAGUGUCAGUUGCUCCGCCUCCUCUCUCUCUCACGUCACCCUCUCCACAGCCAUCCUCAUGUUCGUGUUAUCCCUUAUCUGAUUAUGUUUCUUGUGAGAAAUUUUCUGUUAAACAUCGCAGUUACUUGGCGGCUCUUACUACCAACGUUGAGCCGCGCUCGUUUGCGGAAGCAAUGAAACAUGAGGUGUGGAGAAAUGCUAUGGGUUCCGAGGUGGAUGCAUUGCAAAGAAACCAUACAUGGGAUCUUGAAGAACUACCGCCGAAUAAAAAGGCGCUGGGUAGUAAAUGGGUGUUUACGAUUAAGCUCCGCUCGGAUGGUUCGAUUGAAAGACAUAAAGAUCGUCUUGUUGUCCUUGGCAACCAUCAAAAAGAGGGUAUUGAUUAUACGGAGACAUUUUCACCUGUGGCUAAGAUGACCACGGUUCGCAUGUUCCUAGAUUUCGCUGCCAAGAAAAAUCAUGAAGUUCACCAAAUGGAUGUCCACAACGCAUUUCUUCAUGGUGAUCUUCAUGAGGAAGUCUACAUGAAAUUACCACAGGGUUUUUCGUCUCCCAACGAGACUCGUGUAUGCCGUCUCCGUAAGUCAUUAUACGGGUUGAAACAAGCGCCACGUUGUUGGUUUGAAAAGCUAGUGGAUUCUCUUCUCAAAUACGGUUUUUCUCAAACCAAAUCCGACUACUCUUUAUUUUUCUAUUCGAAGAACGGCAUUUCUCUCCGUAUUUUGGUCUAUAUAGACGAUUUGAUUAUCUCUGGAAAUUCACAAGAAGAAAUCAAGACAUUCAAGAAUUAUUUGUCUACAUGUUUUCAUAUGAAGGAUCUUGGAUUUUUGAAAUAUUUUUUGGGGAUAGAGGUAGCUCGGAAUUCUUCGGGAUUUUAUUUAUGUCAGCGUAAGUAUGCUACCGAAAUUGUUGUUGAAGCUGGUCUCCUUGGUUGUAAACCGGCUGGCUCUCCAAUCGACCAAAAUCACAGCCUCUCUCUUCCGAAGGGUGCCCUGCUCGAAGAUCCGCACACGUACCGCCGACUUGUUGGACGUCUUGUUUAUCUUCUUGCUACUCGACCUGACCUUACGUACGCAGUCCAUGUGCUUUCUCAAUUUAUGCAGUCUCCACGAGAGGAUCAUUGGCUUGCAGCGUUGAAGGUAGUCCGAUAUCUUAAGGGGACUCUUGGACAAGGAGUACUCCUUCGUGCAGACUCACCAUUUCACUUAACCGGCUGGUGCGAUUCCGAUUUUUCAACGUGCCCGCUGUCACGACGCUCCUUGACGGGCUGGUUUGUUCAACUCGGCUCUUCUCCGAUUUCAUGGAAAUCUAAGAAGCAAGAUGUUGUUUCUAUGUCUUCGGCGGAGGCUGAAUAUCGUGCCAUGAAUGCUGUUACUAAGGAGCUCAAAUGGCUCAAAGAACUCCUUCAAGAUCUUGGCUUUGAUCAUCAAGAACCGAUGACGAUUCGAUGUGAUCGUAAGGCGGCUAUUCAUAUCAGUUCCAAUCCGGUGUUUCACGAACGUACUAAACACAUUGAACGUGAUUGUCACUUUGUUCGUGAUGAAGUCCUCAAAGGCAAUGUCAAACCUAUUCAUGUGUCUACAACGGUGCAACUAGCGGAUAUUCUUACAAAGGCGUUGGGACGCAAUGAGUUUGAUGCUUUUCUUCUCAAGUUGGACAUUCGAAACUUACAUGCUCCAACUUGAAAGGGGGUAUUAAGGAUAUUUUUUUAUAUUGUAGAUAUUAUCAAAUCUCAUAUAUAUAUUUUGCUUUGUCUCCAAGCUAUUAGUUUAGGGUUUUCGGUUUCUUAGGAAUGUAUAAAUACUUGACCUUAGGGUCCAUGAAAUACAAGCUGAAUAUUAUUCAAUUCUCUACUUUGACAUCUUCCUCAUUUUCUUCAUCUCUUCAUUCUUCAGCACAGUUACUUUAUUUAUCUCUUCAAAAUGAAUGUUCUUCAACUCAUUCAUCCCUACAUAAAUUUUGUCCCUCAGCUCAUCUAAGCCUUUCUUGAUCUCAUUCAUCUUCUGCCUUUCAUCCAUCUCAUUCAUCUUUUUUUCUUUGUUAGGUUGCUUCGUCUUCUUGUCUAUCUUUCAGCAAAAACUGUAAUCUAAUCUCCAAGCUUCACACACAAGUUUUUUUUUUUUAAUAAGAUACGAAAGUUCUUUAUUGAGCCGCACAAUCCGAGAGUGAUAAGAACUGAGAAGACGUAUCGUUCUGGAUGUAAGAUUUUCGUAAUGAUAAGUUUUGGUUUCCAAUAAAACUUAUUAAUGCACCGUCUCAAACUUUUCUUCUGCGGCUAUUAAUUUAUUAAUUAUUUAAUUACGCUAGAAUACCGAAAAAACAAAAGACGUUGGGUUUGAUUGGUGAACAGAAUAAAAGUAUUACAAGUGGUACAGUUUUUAUUUUUAUUAAUCACAAAAACUUUAUCAAAUGCGUUACUAAAAGUUUAACUCUCAUCUUUUUUUUACAGCUUUCUCGUACAGCUCUUUUAUACAGCUUUGCACUAUUCCGGUAAAGCUAACAGUUCCAGCUAACAGCUAAAAAACUUGUACAGCUUUUAGUUACCAAUCAGACCCGUAAACUUUUAAAUUUAGAUGGUUAGAUGCAGUGUUUUUAAACCCGACCCGGACAGUGAACCGGACUACCUUCUGGGUCACCGGGUCACUGGGUCAACCGGGUUUGAUCACGGAUCAAUUGAUUUAAAUUUAUUUAAUAUAUUUAAUAUUUAUAAAGAAUAUAUAGUUUUAUACAAAUAAAAAUAUUCAUACUAUAUUUACAAAAUAUGAAGUCUAACAAUAAUAAUAAUGUAAUUCAAAUUAAAAUUUUAAAUCCAACUCAAAGUCUAAACCGUAACAAAUAUUAAAAUAGUAGGAGAUCGCCAAUAAUGGAAAUAAACUAAUAAAACAUCGCGAAUUCAAAAAAAUAAUUUCGGUUAUUUCUCUCACCAUUUCAUUCAUUCUUCUUAGACGGUACUGUGAAGUUUCAUUAAAAUCUAAAACAUCAAAUGAGUCUAAGAACUACCAAAAAGUUCUAAAAAUAAUUGAAUCGAGUCUAAAACUCUAUAUUUUAUUCCAAAAUCAAUGAUAUUUUUAAAACUCAUACCCAAUCGGUUCAACCGGUUCAUUGGAUCGCGGAUUAAUGGCGGGUUUUUCUGGUUUUGAAAUUGGCGGAUAUUAGCACUAAACCUAAACCGAAAAAGUAUUCGGGUCAUGGGUUAACCGAUCGGACCGGACGGUCCGGGUCGGGCGUGAAAACACUGGUUAGAUGGUACCCAUAUAUGGCUAGCUAGUGGCCCAUUAUUGACAAAAUACAGCCCACUUUUAGUUUCUGAUUAACACAAAAGAGGUGGAGAGUUUAAUUAAUUAUAUAAUUAAGAAUAAAAAAGGAAAAAAAAAAAAAAACUCUUUACAAACACACUUAUGGGAGCUUGCGUUUGCGAGUUUGAUCUCCUUGGUCACGUGACGUGAGCAAGGCUGGCUCAAAAAGUUUUUGGACCUUGUGCCCAAUUAUUUUUUUUCCUGAAAACUUAAGGUCUUAUUUGAAAAGUUUUAAAAUUUAGGAUCCGUAUUUACAAAAAUAUAAAAAAUUUAGGACUUUAAAACCUUAUAAAAACCAAAAAAAAAUAUGGACCCAGUACUCUAACACUGUCAACAUUGUUUAUAAGCCGGGCCUGGAAGCCCUGGACGUGAGCAAUCCCUUCUUUCACUAUUGUAUUCCUCUCUUGGUUAAAAUUCCAUAGUACAUGCAGUCCCGUCUUAGAGGGUGUGCCAACAAUGCAUUUGCACAGGGUCCACUAUUUUUUAGUCUGUUUUCUUUAAGCAAUUAGGGUCCUGUUUUUCAAAAAAUUAUAUGAAAAUGGUCCAAAUCUAAACAUAUUUAAGAUAUAAACGUUUUUUUUUCAAUUGGGCACAAGGCCCAACUUUUAUAUGAGCCAGGCCUGAGUACAUGAACUGUGUACCGACCACUCGGGUUAAACUCGUUCAGUUCCACAAGUGUUGUCUUAACUGCGUUCUUCACUUCUUCUGCCCACUCUUUUCUCAGAUUCUUUAAGUUUCGCAUCGUCUUCAUCCACCACUUCCUGCACCAUCAUAACCAUGCAACAUGCACUAGAAUCAAGACAUCUAAUACGAGAGAGAGGAAAGUAACUGAACUGAACAUGAAACAGAACAAAUCUUCUUUUUAUUUUCCGGUCUCGACGCGUUUUAAUAGAUACCAUGAUGGAUCCUUGAGUGUUUUCUGCCAUUCUUAUGAAUAGGAAAGAAAAUACGUGUGGACAGCGAUUCUUAUGGGUGGGUGGUCCGUAAUCCACCCUAGUUACAAAACCAGACAAAACCGGACCGGAGACCCAUCACAUGAUUGGACCAAAAAUCUAAAAGAGGACUAAAUCAUCACGGUUUGUUUUGAACUACCAGAGACACUUUUUUUUUUACUUUUUAUUACAAAGCAUUAGUGUUUAAGGUUUUAUGUUUUAUGUUUGAACAAAAAAUGUUACUCUCAAAGAUGAUGGGCAUGUCGGCUCGUUCCUCUUUCAUGUUUCGAUGCUUCCCUACUCUAUUACCUAAAUUACAGACACAUAGUGGGUACAACCACGAAAGAGGUAUUUAAGAUCAGAAGUAUAGAAAACUACUAUAUGGAGGAAGUUAUAUCGAAGAGGAAGAGAUUAUAUAAAAGGGGGAGAUUUUAUUAAAACACUCAAAGGAUUACAAGACUCUAUUACUCUCUCAAAGUCUUUCUCACUUGCUUAGCUUGGUUCUAACACACCUCCAAGCUUCGUUAUUUAUAGUACAAGGCUUAGAGAAUAUUACAUAGAAUAUUCCUUAAGAUAUUUUCACUCUUAUCAUACAACCACACCCAUCUUAUCUUACACUCACAUCUUAUCUUAUCUUUAUUUAUAUUAUUUAUUAUUCCCCCUAUCUCCAAAAGAGAAGUGAUGUUCCCUUUAAUCGUUGUCGUCUUCUUCACUGUCAGAGAUCACUUCAGUCACGUAGAUUUUUUGUCAUGGGAUGUAACGUCUGAUUUUGAAUUUUUUGCCUUCGACUCUGUAGAUAGGAUGAUCUGGAUUUGUGUGAGGCCACGCAUAUUGAUCUUGAAAGCCUGCCAGUACUUGUCUUAUCUCUUCAGCGAAUCUCAUCGGGUACACGUCUCUGUUAUGAUAGUGUGAAGUAUGAGGACAAAAAAGCUUUAUGUCAAGGUCUGACACGUCUAAUCCAUUCAGUGCUGCUAUUGCCUCUACCCUUUGGUGAAAGUCGUUUUGGCUAAGGACAUCAUUAUUGUAGCUUUUCUGGACAUGUGCUUCAUACAGCUUCUUUAUUGUGACUCCAUUAUCUUCUUUGUUUUAGACUGUAGUAAUCUGGAAAGUGACUAGGAUGAAUAGCUCUUGUUGUGCACGGAUCUGUUCUUGCCACCACGUCACAUUGUUGAACAGUGUCAGCCACUUGUAAAGUAUCUUGUAAUGAUGUUUCCUUCUGGUGAAGAUGCACUUCGCCAAGUAUUGAAGCAGCUCCUUCUUGUGAACAAGGACUCCAAUAGUGUACAAGUCCGCCAUGUACCAAAGUACAAGAUACCCUUCUAUUGGGAAUCUUCCAUAGUGAACCGGGUUCAAGUUGAUGGUGGUGAGGAAUGGAUAUACCGGAUGAUAAGGUAGGCGAAAGAGUGGUCCUUGGUCAAGACCAUAUCUAUGGAUGUAGAGCUUCAAGAAACCAUGAAGUGUCUCGAUGCCUCUGUAGAUCAAAACAUUGUCCAGCAUCUUCUCUUGUAAACCUUGUGGCAUACUUGCGAUCAUACUCCUUAAGGUGUUUUCCGUUGGAUUUUCUGGACUCAAGGUGAGAAUCAUUGGGACGAUGGUUGAGAUUUGUCGUUGAGUUCUCGAUAGGAAAUCAGGGAGAAAGUUGUCUUUUCCUUUGAUAUGUUUCACUUCGAACUUCCAUUGUGAAAACCAGCUUGCCCACCUUAGUAGUUGUGCUUGUGGUAGGACCUUCUGCUUGAAUUGUAUCAUCUUAGGAAAUGAUGACAUGUCCAUCUCGAUGAGGAAAUGCUGGCCCACCAAGUGAAACUCGAACUUUUCUCUCCCUCUUUUUACUGCAAGUAUCUCCUUGUAGGUUGAAUGGUAGUGCUUUUCACUGUCCUUGAAAACUCCGCUUUUGUAACCACAAAUAUGUCUUUUCCCUUUCUCAUCUUCUUCCAAAAGGACUGCUCCCUAGUAAAAAUCACUUGCAUCCGUUUGUAGGAUUCAUCUGCCUUUUGAUGGAAUCUUUAAUGCUGGCAAGGUCUUCGAAAUUCGUUUUAGCUCUCUUACUACUUCUGUACAUUUUUUAUCCCAAGUAGGGGCAUUUUUCUUGAGUUGAUCAGAGAGUAUCGAUCUGUGCUUCGCCAGGCCAUGGAUGAAUUCCGACAUGUAAUUGACAAUGCCAAGGAAUUGUUGGACUUGCUUGAAAGAGAGGUUUUCGUCAGGGAACUCAUCGAGUUGUGUUGCAAUAUGAGGCUGAAGAUGAUAUUCUCCUUGAGAGAUGUGCAUACCCAGAAAGUCUAUCUAAGUUUCUCCAAUCGCCAUUUUCUUUUUAGAAAGCAUGACUCCAUAUUGUUGCACAAUGUUGUGAAAUUUCGCCAGCAGUGCUGUAUGGGAAUCAAUGUCUGGAGAGAAUAGUAGAAUAUCGUCGAUGUAGACCAGUGCGUUUGGGAGGAUUGGCUCAAAUAUCUUGAUUAUGGCUUUUUGAAAUAAUGAAGGUGUAAUCUUUAAUCCAAACAGCAUGACCUUCUAGUGGUAAUGUCUAUCUGGUAUGCAGAAGCCCGUCUUUGGUCUAUCCUCUGGUUUGAUUCCAAGUUGCCAAAAACCUGCUUUCAGGUCGAAUUUGGAGAAGACUUGUGCUUGAGGAAGUCUUUGGAAUAUGACUUCUCUCUUUGGUAGGGGAAACUUAUCGUCUACAAGGAAAUGGUUUAGCGGUUGGUAGUUAAUGACUAGCCUUAGUUUUCCUCGCACUUGUUCAACUCUUUUGUUGACAUAGAAAGCUUCACAUGCCCAUGGUGAGGUGGUCUUCUCAAUGAGGUCUUCUCUUUGGAGUUGGUCAACUUCUUCAAGAGCCAGAUUAUAAUGGUAUGGAUUCAUUCCCGGAUGGCUUGCUUUGGUUGGAUUGACAUCUUCAUUUUUCUUGAAAGGUAGUGAUAUAAAGAAGUCCGGGUUCUUCCAUAACGGUGAUGAACACUUUGUGAGGAACUCCAAAUGUGAGGCAACGCAAGAAGUUUUGAUGAUUUCGUCUUUGACGGGAUUGAGAAUCUCCAUAGGGUAAAGAUGAGAGACAGUAGUCAAUGGUAGUAGAUGAUUCUUGUGUUUAAGCCCUUUGGGAUACCAAGAUACUCUUUUGAGGCCAUGAAGGACAUCAAACCCAAGUAUCAAGUCUUUUCCAGGAAGUUCAGACCCGUAUACCUUAGAUUUGAUCAUGUAUCCCGGAAAGAGUUGGAUAUAGAUAGGCUUGCUGGUUAAGGAGAUGUGGAAAAUCUGACCAUUAGCCGCCUUGAAAGCCACCGAACAGGGAUUCCAGUGAGAAGCUGGAAGUAUGUCUGGCUUGAUGAUGGACGAUGCUGCUCCCGUGUCCAUAUAAGCUAUGACUGAGAUUGGUUUGUCAUCUUUGGUCGGGAAGAUGUAGAUUUUGGCGUUGGGUGAUGGUUGGGAUAUGUACGCCAAUUCUUCCUUCUUUGGUUCUUCAACCUUGUAGGCAUCAAAUGUGUAGAGGUCAAAUAGCAUGAAUUGGUCAUCUCCGUCUUCUUCUUCUUCAGUGCUUGAUCCAUCUGAAGAGUCUUCAUCUUGUUCUAUACCCAUAGCUAGAAUUAUGUUGUCUUAUGGUUCAUCGUCAAGAGAGAAAAUGGAUUCAAUGUCGGAGUCAUCGAUAUCUUCGAUUUGGGCCAAGUAUCCGAGUAGAUUAUCUCUUUUCUUCUUGUUUGGGCAUUGUUUUGCGUAAUGACCUUUCUUCUUGUAGAUGUAACAUCUAUCUGAUUUCUUGAAACCUCUUUGUGACUUUUUCCUGAAGAACUUCCACUUAUUUCUUCCUGACAGUUAAGGAUACUUCUUGUGCCAUUUCUUCUUGAAUCUUCUUUCUUUUCUGUAACUUGUUGUGCAUCCACAAUUCUUUUGUUUGCAUUUAAUGGAGAGAUCUGGACGAUCACAUGCUCUUCCAAGGAGUUUUCCUUCUUCUUGUAUUUGCUUUAAAAACUUUUAGUGAUUGCAUAACUUCUCUAGAGCUGCAAGAGAUGUCUAGAAUAUUUCUCCUAAAGAGGCUUGAGCAAGAUUUGCAUUCUUGAAAGAAAGCAUCCUAGAAGUCUCGUUUCCAAGUGGUUCUGGAAGUGAGUUUAAGUAUGAUUGCUUAAGAUUGACGUCAUCUAUCCCGUUUAGGGCGUAGAACCUUUUAGACAUCCUCCCAUAGUGCUUUUCUAGAUCUCUUCGUUUGAAAGAACAACACUUCAUGCUGAGAUAUUCUUCCCUUGCCUGGUCCGUGUAGUGAUUCCAUGCUCCAAGAAACUCAUUGUGGAUGUGUCCGACUAAUGCAUCAAUUGAAGGAGUUUGACGUAUUUGCAACUGUCGGUACUCACCAAGGCUUAUCCACCAUUGUCUGAGUCGUCCUUGGAAUUUGGAGACUAAUUUGUCAAUGACCGUAGGGAGGGUGGCUCCUAGGUGGAGUAAAUGUUCUGUAAGCCAAGCAUGCAUCUCAUAGAUCUUGUCUCGCCAUUUGGAUGAAGGAAUUUCAUCAAAAGAGAAACCAUGAUGUGGUUCAGCAUCAAACCUUGGAUUCCACUCUGGUGGAGGCUUCUUAUGUUCUCUCCCUUCUUCGUAUAUGUUCCCAUCAUCGCUGACCAUGUCAUUUUCUUCUACAGUUGGUUCUACCAUCAUGAAAUGUGGGAUUAGUACUUCGUCCUCUGCUUCUUCUUUUAUCUUUCCAGAUCUUCUUGGUUUGACCUUGCGCUCUAAACUUGUCUCUUGUUUAGCAACCUUCUCAAGGAAAGUAGAAAUUAGAUUGGCGUGUUCUACCAUAAAUUGAUCUUCACUUCUUUCAGGCGGGUUUUGGGACUUUGAAGUACUUGGAACAUAUUCCUUUUCUUUUUCUGUUGAUUGUUUCCUCUUUGUGACUUGUUUUUCUGUAGCAACUCGUGUUGGUAGGAAGGAGGAUGAGCAAAAAACACUUGGGUCUUGGGAAAAAGAUAAAUGUUGUGAUUGGGCCGUAUGAGGUGGAGUAUAAACAGGAUAAGGUGUAAAAAGGUCAUAUGGCAUUGGCUGGGGUUUUGGCUGAUUUUGUAAGGAAUUUAGUUGGGCUCUGAGGGAUUUUAGUUCUGACUCCUUUUGGUACAUGAGGAGUGAGUUUAUGGAAACAGUAAUGGCUAGAUGAAGGAGUUCUUGGUGUAGAGAAGAAAUUCUCCUGAUUAUAUCUUUGAUGGAGAGGUCUAUGAAGGUUACCUUUUUGUCAAUUUGGCUUAGUAGGUGAUUUUGAGUUGCCGCAUUUUCUGAUUGCCAAUUUAGCAUUGCUUCUGCUGCGCUGAUUUGCUUUAUUGAAUCAUCUGGAUUUUUUAUGUUCGGGGUUCUGAUCUUCCACGAGUGCUUGAUGUUGUUUUCUUCAAAAUCUUGUGAUGGGAAUGAUGGUGCUUGAUCUGAUGGAGGACCACACAUGUAGCUCAACCGAACUUCUUGUAUAUCUGGAGUUGCAUGGGUCAAAAUAUUACUUGGGUAUAAUACAUUGUAUUCAAAGUUUCUUCCGCUCGGUUCUCCAAGUAGGCCGACUUGCGGGUCUCCCGACUCAUAACGCUCUUUGAGAAUCUGUUGAGAAGACUUAUUCUUUCUUCGUCUUGGUGUGUCUUCUUCAUCAGAACUGUUUAUUAAGCACUUUUCACAAUCACAAACAUCAAAGAAAUUUGUGACUUGUAUCAUCAGCAAAUGAGUAGACAGGAUCUCCGAGUGAAUCAAACGACUCGAUUGGAAUGUCAGGUAGUUGCUUGUAUAGUUUCUCAUCAAAAUUAUCGUCUGUUGGAGAGAUCGUAUUGAUUUCUGUGCAGAAAGUUGUUGGUCUUGGCUUUUCCUCUUGUUGCUUAAAGGCAAUCUCUACGGCUCCGUCUUUUCUUCUGUGAAUAGAGGAAUCCACCGAUUGUAUUGGAAUACUUCUAUCAUGGAGUUUCUCAUAGUUCGUCACCCAUGAUUUAGGAAGUAACUUGACCAGUUCUUCUCUAGGGAUUUUUCUUGGAAUAUGUAUGCAUGAAGGGCUAUGUUGUGAUUCCAGCUGAAUGAGCAGAGCAUCCUCUGUAUCUCUAGAAAGGCUAAGAUCCAUAGCAUGGUUUUGGACUCGGUACGCCAUCUGAUGGUGGAGUGUCGCCGCAUAAGUAUUUCCGACUUGUGGAGCACCUGUGAUUUGGAGUUGGAUCUGCAUAUUCUUGUAGAUUUGGGGAUCUUCAAGCGCCACAUUGAAGUUUGGGAAUAGUGUGACAAAGAUAGUACCCCCCUCGGAUACUUUCAGGUAAUCUCCACACUUUGUUCCUCUUAAGCCUAUUCUCGAGAUUGAUGGUUUAGGGCUUUAGGAGAAAAGGAAUUUGGAAAAGAAAAAUGUGGCUUCUUUCUGCUCUAAUGGUUUUGACCCAAACAUAUGUUUUGAUCCACGUAUUUUCUGGGCUGUGCGGAUGCUGGAUGAUCCAAAACUCAUAAGAAUACUGAACAUUCCAAAGUAGAAAUCCGAUACUGAGUGUGCCCUUAUGUGGUAUGAGCAGAAAGUUGAUCAUCAAUUUGUUUGUUCAGUCCUCGAGAUAGAAGUUAACAUAAAUGUCAAGAUCCAGUUUUUCAAGUGGGCGGCUAAAGUAAGACACUUUAAUCAUGAUAUCUCCACCUACGUGACAUUAAUACGUUGCCUUGAAGAAGCUAGGCUUUAUGGUGAAAUACUGAAAUAUAUGCAACGAUGGAAGAGGUGAUCCGUAGCCCACAUGUUGGAUUUAGCCCAGCGGUACUUGAUAACAUGGGAUUUUCGCCCAUAUUUGUUAUUGUUUUCUUAUGUUUUAGGGAGCAUUUGGAGUGAUUUCAGAGCUAAGAGGGAGUUAUUCAAGUAUUUAUGGAGCCAAGAAGGUUUUAAGAGUUUUUGAGCUUUAAAGACCAAAAGGCGAUCAAAACCCGUUUCAAGACAGUUUCUGUACGUCAAAAGUAUGGCAUCCGUUAGAGGUCUUCCCGGUUACUAAAUCAAGAGAUCUUGGUGGCUAUGGAAAUCUAGAAGAGUCAAGAUUCGUCUCGAAGUGGAAUCAGAGCUUUUCAUUGAUCCGUUAAGAAGUUAUGACCAGAAGAGUGAAGACAUGUCCAGACCGGCCAGAAGCUAUGCAACCGUUCCGGAGCUUCUAGACCGCACCGGUCACAAGGGCCGAGCCCGGGCUGCCUCCUAAUCCCCACCCCGGUCACUAAUGCCUCUACCCUGUCCAGAGACGCAAGUUUCACUUAACCUAAUCUACGGGAAAAGACGCUUUUACCCCUAGACCUAACCCUUGGUUCUCGAAACCUAUAAAUACAUGUUGAAAGCCCUAAACCUAGUGUGCCUUCACCCGUGCCUCAAAGCUUUCUCUGCCCCCGCCGAAGAGCUGCAGCCGUCGUCCAUUGAAGCUUUGAAGAAUCACCAAAUCUCACUCUCUUUGCUCUUGCUUUCUCUAAGAUCUAUUAAGGUGAAGUCUUACCUCUUGUAUUCUACAUUCAAAGAAGUAAUCUCUAAACCCUAUUCAGUUCUUAUCCCUUUCUUUCUUAUGAGUUUAUCAAACCUUACUUUGAUGAUCUCUUUAACCAUAGAGUAGUUUUCUAGUUGGGUUUAAAGGGUUAAUCAAAGGGGGGACAUGAUCGAUCGUUUAAGUGGCGAUACUUAGGGUUUUCUUUG
rnacentral:lncRNA from 1 species